GACAAUUUAAUUUAGUGGAGAAAUAUAAAUUACGUACUUGUAGCUGUGCCAACCAAUUACCCACUUCUUCGUGCCCUUCAAUGGUUAAUCUUUGCAAAGGCAAUUGAGCAUCAAAAUUCCUUGGACCUAAAAAGCUGUAAUUAGAUUGGAGCCAAAGAGAAAAUUCUCUUAGCCGAGGGAACUUGAUGAUGCCUUCUCUGGUAAGUGCAUCUCCUUCUCCACCGUAAAAUAUUUGCUUUAAAUUGUCAGCACGAGCAAUCCUCAUCUGUUCCAGGUUCGUAAGACUUGGAGACAUGGAGACAGGGAAGACAUAUUCCAGUGAAAAACAGAAAGAUAUGUUGAUUUUUUUUAAUUUUGGGAAGCGAGGAGACUCUGGAAUUAUUUCCCUUUCACCAUCCUCUUCUCUGAUAAUAUGCUUUAAUUCACCGCAUUCAUUUAUGCGAAGGCUUUCUAGCUUUGGCAGAUUUCGAGCGAGGGACGGUGUGAAGAUAAAUGUCAGUUUUUUGAGAUCUGAAACUUUCAGAUGAACAAGAUUUUGGAGGCUGACAUGUCUGGUGGGCCCCUUCCAUAUGCAUUUGAGCUCAGGUAACUCUUGCAGCUUUAACAGUGUUAAAGAUGACAGCAGCUCCUUCUCCUCACUGCUUCCUUCAUCAGCCUCACCCAAUUCAAAUACCUCUUCCAAUGAUUUACAGCUGUGAACAAUCACCUCCUUUAGAUUUUUUAAACCUUGCCGCAAUUUUGCUGGAAACAGAGUGAAAACAUCCUCACAAUCCCUCACUUUUACAAAUUCUAAUUUAUGUAAAAACAAUUGCUCAAAUGUCUUCGCAUUGAAGGAUGUACCAGCCAAAAUUAAUCUUGUCGAGGUUGGGUAUCGUCCUGCAUCAAACCGAUUCCCAACAUUCUAGUAUAUUCAUCAGCUAUCUGGAAAAACAAAAUCUCUAGGAAUGCAUUCAACCUUCGGUAUCCUCAAUGAUAAUACGGCUAACUGAGACAACGAAUUUAGUUCUGUUAGUCUUGCAUUCAUUCCUCCUGUGCUGUCUCACAUCCAACAUCAUCCCAUCCCUUAAAGCUGUGACCCCCAAUCAAUAGCUCUUCUAACUUCUUCAACCUUCCAAUGAAAUUCACAGGGAUCCUUCUUAGCCUUCGACAACCUGUCACAUCCAACAACCUUAACUCCUUGAGCUCUCCUAUUUCACCAGGUAAUUCUUCAAUGGAUGAGCACCACUUAAAAACAAGAAUCUUAAGUCUCUGCAGCUUUCUCAACCGAAUGAGGUCCUUGCAUCCACACAUGAUCAACACCAACGAUUGAAGUUUCGUUGAGAGUUCAAGUGAUUGCAAUGACAAACACCCUCCCUUCAGAGACAAAACUUCAAUUUCUUUCAUCCCUUCGAAAAACUUCUCUGGAACAUUCAUACCAUCAUCCAGUUCUAAUAAUAGAACUUUGAGAUGUGGACAUUCCAAUCCUUCAGGAAGUUCGGUUAGUUUAUUGCCCAUUAACGAAAUUGUUGUAAAAGCUUCAAAGCUUUUGAUACUCAUUGGCCAUUCCUUCAACCCAAUGCCAGCCUUUACCAUUAAUCCAUAUUCUUUUGAUGACGCUAUCCGAAUAGCAACAUCACGCAUUCUCACAUGUUNNNNNNNNNNNNNNNNNNNNNNNNNNNNNNNNNNNNNNNNNNNNNNNNNNNNNNNNNNNNNNNNNNNNNNNNNNNNNNNNNNNNNNNNNNNNNNNNNNNNNNNNNNNNNNNNNNNNNNNNNNNNNNNNNNNNNNNNNNNNNNNNNNNNNNNNNNNNNNNNNNNNNNNNNNNNNNNNNNNNNNNNNNNNNNNNNNNNNNNNNNNNNNNNNNNNNNNNNNNNNNNNNNNNNNNNNNNNNNNNNNNNNNNNNNNNNNNNNNNNNNNNNNNNNNNNNNNNNNNNNNNNNNNNNNNNNNNNNNNNNNNNNNNNNNNNNNNNNNNNNNNNNNNNNNNNNNNNNNNNNNNNNNNNNNNNNNNNNNNNNNNNNNNNNNNNNNNNNNNNNNNNNNNNNNNNNNNNNNNNNNNNNNNNNNNNNNNNNNNNNNNNNNNNNNNNNNNNNNNNNNNNNNNNNNNNNNNNNNNNNNNNNNNNNNNNNNNNNNNNNUAAAAACACUUUUGCUGGGCACUCCAUAGAAAAACAUAUGCCUUGAACACGUGUGUUUAGAAGAAUUUUACAACCCCUGUGAUCAUCACCAAAUGGGAUCCCUAUCUCUUUCAAGUCAAUAUGUUUCCAAACAUCAUCCAGGGUUAUAAGCAUCUUCUCCACUUUCUUCAGUCUCUGCCGUAAUCGAUCUGCUCUCCCUUCUUUACUGUUUUCUUCAAUUUUCAAACCUAACAUAUCUGCCAUUCGGUUCUGAAUGUCUAUGACAUUUGGAUUCUGCGACACCGUAGCCAUCAAAACUUCAUCAAAAAGCUGCGACUCUCUGGCUAUCGUGCCUACUCUUUUCACCAGGGUGGUUUUACCCACCCCUCCCAUGCCGUACAGUCCGAUCAUAUUGGCGUUGUCAUCUUUGCGAGCUUUCAUAAUCUGUUCCAAUGAAUUCCUUUGAUGGGAGAAAUUCUCUGGGCUGAGGAUGAGCUAUGUCGGACACUUUUGUAAACUUUGUGCUAUUUUCUAGAAGUUUUCUGAAAGUCUCCGACUUCUUGGCCAGUGCCUUGCUUAACUUGAAUUGUCGCAUGCAGUUUGGGCACCAAGUAAAGCAUUUGCCAUUUCUUCCUAUUUCAUUUUCCAAGGGCUUCGCACCUUCAAUUUUGCUGUUUGCAUCUUCCAUCCACUUUUUGACAACUUUCUUAAUUUCUUCAGCAUUCCUUUCAGCAGCUUCGACUUCUUUUUGCAGACCAUCUAGUGCUAAAGCAAGGUUCUCCUUUUGUUCUUUGAAUUCUUCAACAAAAUUGUUGAAACAGAACAUGUAACGGAACUGCCUUCCCACUGGUUCCACCAUGAGUUCUGCUAUCUUAGAUAUAAUGGAUCCACCCACACUUUCGAGAGCCAUUUUCCACCAGUCUGAAAAUCAGAGAAAUGAGGAUACAGGACGUGAGAGUGAGUCACUACAAGUAAAACAGGCGCAGAGAGAAUGGGAAUAGGAAUUCCAUUACCGUAAUUUGGGAAAAUAUGCGCGGAAAGCACUGGUACUGAGAGCUCAAUGAAAUAGCGGGAGGAAGAAAAGGAGAAGGCCUUUAGCUCUGUAUGGAAUCCAGCUUCAAAAGCAACAAGGCAAGGUAUAAGGAUUCUAACUGACACUUGUGAGUUAAAGCAGUAAUUCCCAUUAAAAAUGCAUUUUGAUGACAUAAUUAAGAUCAUAUAGAGACAGUGGCAAACAAAAAAAAAUGUAUAAAAGUACUCACCUAGCAAAGAAAGAAACGAAUGAAAGGUUCAGGAUAAUCACUUAGCCGCUUCCAACAACAAAUAUAAUUAAUUAAUCGAAGCUAUGAUCGGUCAAAGUUUUUUUUAGUUUUAUUCUUGUUUUUUUUUUAAAAAAAAAAAACAGAUCAAUAAAUGAAAAGACUUGCAAAGAAAUAGAAUUAGUGGAAUGAACACAAUAAAGGAUGAAACUCAAGCAAUUAAAAAUAAAUUAUCUAUAAUGAUCAUCUCUGUGUCACACUCACUGAGGUAAUAUGAUUGGCCUAUUACAAUAUUAAAUAAUAAUAAAAAAAGCUAAAAGAACUAGGUUUUUGGUGGCAUCCAGAUUGCGGUUACUUAAUCCUUCUUUUGUGGUUUUAUUUUAUUUCAGUCCUUCAAAUCUUUUUCUUUUGCUAUUUCAUCGAGUUGCUUUGCUCGAGUUGAUGUGCUUGCCCUAGAAUAUGCAUCAUGCUAGGGAUUACAAUUACAUUACAUAAGAAAUUAUACUUACAGAUUAUAAUUAAAAAUUUCAGUUUUUUUUAAAAAACAAAUUUAUGAGAAAGUACCAAUUUACAACGUGAGUAAAUGAAAGGAGAAUUUUAAAUCUUUUUGUGACAUGGUGACCAGCUGAUCCAAGUAACCAAUAGAAUAUCACCACUUGUUCAACCUAUCUGCACAUUAAGAUAGGGGUAGACAUAACUAUGACUAGGAGGGAGCAAAAAAACCGGAAAACCGAUUUAACCAAGAAAACCAGAAAAAAAUUAACCAAAAAAACCGAACCGGUAAAAAAAACCGAUUGAACUGGUUAAAAUAUUUAGGAAAAUGUCCGGUUCGGUUUCCGGUUUUGGUGUGCCUGAACCAGCCAACCCGAACCGAACCGAACCGGUUCGGUUUAGGAAUGAAAAAAAAAUAUAAACCAAGCGGGUCGCCUCCUCCCAUUACUUUCCCUUUCAACAACCCUAGCAGACCAUUUAUUUGCUUUCCCUUUCACACAGCCGCCCCCUCCCCUCAACCUUUCAAUAUUCAUUCACACUUCACAGACACAGCCGCCCCCUUCAAUCACCCCUACUCCCAUUAACAGCCGCUCCCUCCCAUUAACAGCCGCCUCCUCCUCACCAGUCAACGAGCUUAGGCUAUUCUCGGACAACCAUUCUUCGAAUCUCGAAAGAAAUCGCCGUGCGUGUGAGGUGGCGAAACUGUUACCGCUUCUAGAUCUUCUUCAAUCUAUUGCUUCUAUCAAAGCCGAUUACAUCGCUCAGGUAAUCUUGUCAUGUAAUUACAUAUUUAAUUAAUUAUUGCUUGUUGAUUUUAUAUUGUUUCUAUUUUUCAAUUUUGAUGUGUUAAUUAUUUUGAACAAUGUAAAAAUGAAGGUGGACGAAAGAACACAAUUUGGAAAGGAAAUUGGAAUCGUUGUCCCUGUCUCAGAUUCUCAAAAGACAAUCAAUCGCAAACAGUAUGUCCUCAAUUUUUUUUCCUUCUUUUCUUUCUCACUAGUAGAUUGGAAUUUGGAACUGCCAACAAAAGUUUGUAUUCGAAGUUAGCUUUUUGAAAAUUGACCCUAUUAUAUAUUUACUGUGGCUUAAGCUUUGAGAUAUUGCAUGAUUAUGAAUUAGUUUAUAUGAGUUGAAACUUGAAACAUAGUCUGACAAGGAUGGAUUAACCAAUUGCUGGGAAAUUAGUUUUCAAAUCUCUUUGAAAAAUGUCUGAUGUUGCGACAUAAGUCACAUAACAGACUCGAUUUGAAGGGAAUCUUUGAGAUAUUGCAUGAUUAUGAAUUGGUUUAUAGGAAUUUGCUGGAUUGAUUUUUUUUCUUUUUCUUUUUUAAAAGGGAAUCUAAUUAAAAUACAUUUUUUUCAUCUACUUUUUAAGUUUAAAUCUUAGAAUUAAUAUCCAAAAAAUUUCACCUUUGCUCGCUAAAAUAUAAUUUUAAUCUUAACAAAAAACUAUAUCUUAAAAUUUUGAUGGCUUACUGUGUUGCUAUCCAACUAAGAAAUUGACUCAAGUGGCUUAGUGAUAUAUAGUGGGGACAUUCUAUUUUAGACAUGCAGCUUGUUGCCUUGUUCUACUUUAUUCUAUAAUCUAUUUGAGAAAAAUGUUGUUUAUUUCUUCUAGACACUUUAGUCUUCCAAAUUUCAAUUGUAACCAGCAAGCAUAGAGGUUAUGAUAGAGGUUAUGUAUUGGGAAGAUGAACUAUUUUUUUAUUUGCAGUGGCUGUGAAACUCUCUUUCUGUGUGUCUCUGUCUCGUGUGCGUGCGUACAUAUGCACCUGUAAUUCUUGCUUCUCUCCAAUUCCUUUCGUUUGCAAGUUACUGUUGCUAGAGUAGGUGCAACUAGUUCUUCCUCUACAAGUCGGGUUUGGUAAGAUUGAUUAUAAAGAAAAAUGUAUUGGUAAUGCACAAUUUUGAUUUUAGUGUUGAUGUUAAGUGUGGCUUGUUUUAUGAUGGAUAAUUAUGUUGACAAUAUUGGGCUUCAUGAAUGAUGAUGCCAGUUUAUUUAUGGUCUUAAUAAGCUAUAUUACUGCUGGAUUUGUGCUCUUUAUUUAUAUGGUAAAUUCUUAUUCAAAUCUUUGAUAUUUAUCGCUAAUGAAACUUCAAUCUUGCCUCAGGUUGUCGACCAAGUCAUAAUUCCUCCUACAAGUAUACAAUAUUGUUUUAUUAUAAUGUUAUCGCUAAUGAAACUUCAAUUUUAUCUUAGGUGCUCUUUAUUAUUAUAUUGAUAUUAAAAAUAAUUUUAAAAAAUAAAAAAUAUAUUAUUUUAAAAUAUUUUUAAAAUAAAAAAUAUUUUAAAAAACAACUAUUUAUUCAAGGACUUAAAAUAAAAACCUUAAAAUCACGGCAUGAUAAAAGGAGGAAGAAAGGAAUGGGACAAAGAAGGAAGAAAAUAAGGUCACGUAGGGGUCCAGUCUUGUAUAAAAUAGACAAUGAAAAUUAGUAUGAAAAAGAGGCUAUUUGUUUUUUUACUGUGUCAGAGUGGUUUUUAUAAUUAUAUUUAAUUUAUAAAAAUAUUAAAUUAAUAUAUUUUUAAAUGUUUCUUGUUAUUAUAUAUAUAUAUAUAUAAUAUUCUAAUAUGUUUUUAAAUAAAAAAUUAUUUUAAAAAAAUAUAUGUCACAAUACUAAAUUAUAGUAUAAAUUAAAAUAUAAAAGAGUUCUCUGUUUAUUACUAUUUACCGAGACUUAUUUUAUUGUAGAUAUUAAUAGUGAAUUUUUUUAAAAUUUUUAAUUUGGUAUUUGAAUUAUUUUUUUUCAUAAUUAAAUAUCUUUAUACCCAAAUUAAAACUCAAUUGCAUUUUGUUUUUUAAGAAUAAGAGUUGAAUUCAAAGAUAAAUGACUGAAAUGAAAAACUCGGUAAAAAUAUGCGGCAACAUUGUAAUUGUUUGCAAAGUUCAUUUUAGUCCCUUAUCUUUUUGAGCUACUAAGUAACAUGUCCCUAUAAUUUCUCAACAUUACAUUUUAUCCAGAAUCUCGGAUUAUGCUUUAGGGACUAAACUGAAUUUUUCAUAAAUUGAGAGACCAAACUGAAAUUUUAUCAUCUUCAAUCUCAAACCUAAAAUUUUCACAUAUCACCUACUGAUAUAACAAGAUUUCUAACUCAAAUUCACCAGUUAAACAAACCAUAACUCAAAAUCAUCAUUUUUACUUAAAAUCUUUCAAAAUCAACUAAAUAACUCAUUAUUCAUAACAAUCAAUACAUAAUAUUCAAAUCAAUUCAUCAAUCAAACCCAAAACACAAUCUUCAAAACCCUCAUAUUCAAUAAAACAAAAAAUUAAAGCUAAGAAAAACACAUUUAUACACAUCAAAGCGUAAAUAUUCUUAUCUUUUAAUUUAUUUUCUCUAACUAUCUUAUCCUUUCUUUAUCUUUUCCUCUUUUCUUUUCUUUUCCUUUCGCUUUCACGGUUUUCUCUCUAAGAAUUCAGAUCUCUCUCUCUCUUUUUCUAUUUAUAUUUAUAAACUCUUUAUUUAAUUACUACAAUACAACCGUUCAUUAAUUUAUACCUACUUCUAAGCCUCAAAGAGUUUUGUUAUCUUUUUCUAUUCUCUUUCAUUUUCAAAUCAUCACAAUAAAAUUGUUUUCUUUUUAUUAAGCUGCUAAUUUAUGCAGCUUUAGCUCUUGUUCUCUUUUCAUGUUUAGCAACUCUGAUCUGUUCUUUUUCUUUACAUGAUAUAAGAGCAGGUUCUUACCUCUUGAAGUCUGCUGGAUAAACCUAUCAGCAGAAGAUCCUGAAGCGAUCCCAAAUCACAGCUUCAAUCCCCACCACAACCAAUCUCCUCUUUCCCGUAGUCUGUCGUCCUCAAUUGGGAAAUGAUCUCAAAAAAUCACUUGAUGCAACAAGUAGGGUAAAGAAAUAUAAGACUUCAACAAAGAAAUCAAACUCAAAAAAAUAAAAGUAAUUGUCUAUGAGAAGCAUUUCUGUGUCACACACUCAAGUAAUAUGAUUGACCUAUUACAUUAUACAAAUUAAUAAUAAUAAUAAUAAUAAUAAUAAAAGAACUAGGUUUUUGAUGGCAUCCAGAGUGCUGUUACUUUCAAACAAAGAGGCUUGUGCAUGCGGCGUUACGCUGUUCAUGUAGGCUAAGAUCUCCUAUGAAUACAAUUGUAAAAUCAUACAAUUGUUUUCUUUUUAUUAAGCUGCUAAUUUAUGCAGCUUUAGCUCAUGUUCUCUCUUCUUGUCUUGCUAUUCUGAUUUUAUCUUUUUCUUUGCAUGAUAUAAGAGCAGGUUCUUACCUCUUGAAGUCUGCUUCAAUCCCCGUAGUCUUCCGUCCUCAAUUGGGAAAUGAUCCAAAAUCAACAACUGGUGCGGAGAUAGUUUGAGUGAAAACAAACGGCUGAGAGAUGAAAUGUGAAGGUUAUGGUGAGAAAUUAGAUGACAAACUUACUUUGUCCUACUAAUGCUUUUGCUUUCAUUGUUUCAAAAAGUAAAAGAGACAUAAGCAUAAUCAGUGUGUUUUCUGUUUAGCAAUAGCUAGCAAGGUAUCUGCUUAAAAAGACCAUUGAACAAGGGAUGAGCCAUUCAGCAAGGGAUUCUGCUAGGAAAACAUGAAAUUGUUCUUCUAAACAAAUAGUACAGCAUCAAGUCUCAGUCACCUAUUAACGAAAUUGUUGUAUUUCUAAUGACAAUGCUAAUAAAAAAAAAUUGAGCCAGCAUGACACAUGAAAUUCAAAAUUAACAAAAUAACAUGAAAAUAUAAAUAUUUAUAUUAUAAUUAUACAUCUCAAAAAAUCACUUGAUGCAACAAAUGGAUAGACUUCUAGGAAAUUCUUUCACUGUGAAAUGGCUGAAGGUUCUUUUAUGAACAUUUAUAUUAAAAAAUUGGGUCAAUUAAUCUUCGUUAUUUAACAUGAAUAAAGUGUUGAUUUAGUCUUGUAAUUAUUAUAUCAAAGCUUUUAUUAGUUUAUGCACGAUCCCUAUCGGGUCCCGGAUCGACCCAUAAAGCCAAACCAAGUGUUAAAACUAUGCUAUCUUAGCAAAUUUAGUUAUCCCAAUUCUUAAUUUUCAAUUGAAAAUGCUAAAGAAUUCCCCAUUGAGAGAGCAAAUAAUAAUAUGUUAAGCAUGACAAAUUUUAUUUAAAUUAAAAAGCUAAAAAUGAACGCAUCAACUCUUGCAAGAAUGGACUCAAAAGUUCAGCUAAUCAGCAUAAUUAAAUAGUACUGUUACUGUAAACUACUAGGAAAUUCAUGGGCAAAGCCAAAAUGUUAACAAUAGCAUUGAUUCGGUCAGGGGCUCUGGUGUAUAGAGAGGACCUUGCCGUUAGAAACAAUGGAGCCCACUAUUUAUUAAUCUAUUUCUAUUUACUACUUAUUAAUAUUUAUUUAUUUUUAUUUACUAUAUUUCUGUAUGUGAUACCUAAGUACCAAUAAAAUUUGAGAUUCCUUCAACUUUUUAGGUGCAUGGUCUAGUCUAAUGGCUGCAUGUACAAAAUCAAUUCAAGGGUGUGUAUCCUUAACUAUCAGGCUAACCUUUACAGGCUGAGCUAGCAAUCGAUAAUUAAUUUUUAAUGAAUUCAUUUUUUAUUUAAAAUAAGGAAAAGGACAUUGGAGAAUAUAUUGUUUCCUUCCUAUUAUAAUUGUUACACCUUACCAAAGGGCUAAUUUAGAAAAAGAUUAUAACUUAUAGGUCACCAGGGCCGAGGUUAACUUUUGAUUAAUUAUUUUUAUUAAAAUAAUAAUGUUUUGUUUUUUUAUAUUAAUUUGGCUAAUUUUUAUCAAAUCAAAUCACUAAAAACUUAAUCAAAUUAAAUUUCAUCGAAUCAAUAAUAUUUUAUGUAGUUGAAUUAAUAAUAUAUAUAUAUAUAUAUUUGAAAAUAAUUUAAAAAUGAUGUUUUCAUUAAUACCCAUUCUCAAUAUUGACCAAAUUCACAUGAAUUUAAUAAACUAGUUAUUAAAUUCAAAAAUGCAUAUUCAUGUAUAAUAUUUUAAUUUGUUUUUAAAUAAAGAAUAUUUUUAAAAAGUAUGUGCCACAAUACCAAAUUAUAGUAUAAAUUAAAAGAGAAAGGAGUUUUCCUUCAUCACUAUUCACUUAUAUUCAUUUCAUUAUGGAUAUUAAUAGUGAUUUUUUUGAAAAUUUCCAAUUUGGUACUCAAUUAUUUUUUUUCACAAUUGAGCUCUUAGUAACACGGUUGAGAUAAGAGAGGGACGUGGAAAUAGGAGAGGUUGAGGGAGGCAGAAACGGAAGUAGACAUUGAAAGAUCGGAGGAGAGUAAAGAUAAAAAAAAAAUAUGAAUAUGUGAUGCUCGUUUAUCUAUUUGAUUGGGAUUUUUUUUUGUCUCUUUUAUUUGGAAUUUCUUUGGACACUUUAAUAAUAUAAUAACAAAGAAAAUUAAAAUAUUGGUGAAAUUAUUGUUCAUUCAAUCACAGAUUUACCAAUAGUACUUUUAUUUGGACUACAAUAGUACUUUUUUUCUAUAUUUUAAGUUUUAGUUUUUGAUGGCCAUGCUCGUUUGUUUUUUUUUAAUUUUUUUUUCAUGCUCUUACAAAUAAUGCAGGAAAUGAGGACCUGAAAUCACGGCAGCGAAUAAGAAGAGAAAUAACGUGUUUGUUCUUAAGUAUUUUUUUAAAAAAUUACAUUAAAUUAAAUUUUAUUUUUAUUUCAAAUUAAUUUUUAAAAAACUAGCUUUACGAAAAAACAAAUGAUAGUAGAGUAGUUGUCCAAAUCAAAACACAUAAAUAUAGGACAAAAACAGGGAGAGAGGCUCUUCAUUUUUUUUAACUGUAUUGGUUUAAUAAGGUUUAUAUAGUAUUUUAUAAAUAUUUUGGAUAAAAAAUAGGUUAAAAACAAGUUUUUAAAUAAAAAAUCAAGCUUGUAACAUGGUGCAGAACAAACAGAAGAGACAUCUGGUUUCUCUUGACCAAAAUAAAGAAUAUAUCUAUAUAUACUCUCUCUUCCAAUUUCCUCUCCCAGCUGAAUUUUGGCGACCGCCCACACAACGAUAGCCUACACAACCACCAGCCAUGCCACCUUUCAAGACCCCAUCUCUCAAUCUCAAAACCAAAAACAACCCUUUCUCCAUUUAUCCGAACCUCAUAACUCCAGGAAAGUGAAGGACUAAACCAUAGUGGCAAAAAUCUUAAAGGGUUCUAAAUUGUCUCUGUUACUUUCCCUUAAUUUUCUAGACAAGCAAAAGGAGCUAAACUUAUUCCCGACCAAAACGUCAAGAAUUUCAGUGGAACAAAAGAAGAGAUCAUUACUUGACCAAAAACAACUAGUCAGCACCCAAAGAAACUGAGUGAAUGAGAGAAAAAGACUAAUAGCUAGAAAACAAUCAACAGAUCCAAGAAUUUUAUGUAUGGUUUCCAAGAAAAUGAAACGAAAUGAGCAGCACCACAACCCUCUUUCUCCUCCAAGAAAAGAAAGAAAAAGAAAGGAAAGAAACAAAGAAAGUCAAACUUGGCUCCUCUUUUAGUGUUAAAAAAAAAACAAAGAAGUUGAAGGAAGUGGGCAGCCUUUUUUCUGAUGUUCAUGUGGUGUUCUGCUGUUCACGCAGACUAAGAACUCCUACCAUCGUAAAAUCAUAUAAUUAAAACACAACAAUAAAAAAGUAAUAAGCAGCUAAUUAUGUGCGAAAAUCAGAGAAAUAAGGAAACAGAACGUGAGAGUGAGUCAUUGCAAGUAAAAGAGGCGCAGAGAGAAUGGGAAUAGGAAUUUCAUUACCUUAAAUUGAGAAAAUAUGUGCGAAAAGAACUGGUACUGAUUGCUCAAUGAAAUGGAGAAGGCCUUUAGCUCUGUAUGGAAUCCAGCUUCAAAAGCAACAACGCAAGGUAUAAGCAUUUUGAUGACAUACUUAAGAUACUAUGCGUAGUAAUAUAGAGACAGUGACGAAGAAAUAGAGAAAAAUAAUGUGUAAAAGAACUCACCUAGCAAAGAAAGAAACGAAUGAAAGGUUCAGAAUAAUCACUUAGACGCCUCCAUGGAUGAUAUACCAGCUCGCUUCCAACAACAAAUAUAAUUAACCUAAGCUGUGAUCGGUCAAUGUUUUUUUUAGUUUUCUUCUUUUUAAAAAAAAAAAAAAAAACAGAUCAUCAAGGGAAAAGACUUGCAAAGAAGUAAAAUUAAUGGAACGAACACAACAAAGGAUCAAACUCAAGUGAGGAGAGAAAAGAAGGAGAAAGAAAGGAAAGGGACAAGGAAGGAAGAAAGUAAGGUCACGUAGGGGCAGUCUUGUAGAAAGUUUGAAAAGUAGCAUGAAAGAAGAGGAUAAUAGAGUAGUUGUCAGAAUCAAAACACGUAAGUUUUUUUUUUUUUUAACUGUGUCUGAGUGCUUUUUAUAAUUAUAUUUAAUUUAAAAAAUAUUAAAUUAAUAUAUUUUUUAAUAUUUAUUGUUAUUUUAUAUAUAUAUAUAUAUUUAUUUAUUUAUUUUAAAUAAAAAAUAUUUUUUAAAAGUAUGUGUCACAAUACAAAAUUAUAGUAUAAAUUAAAAUAAAAAGUAGUUUUAUGCUCAUUACUAUUCACUGGACUUGUAGAUAUUAAUAAUAAAGUUUUUGAAAGUUUUCGAUCUAGUAUUUGAACUUAUUUUUUUUGCAUAAUUGUAUUUUUUAAGCUUAGUUGCAUAUUUUUUUAAGGAAAUAGGUUGAAUUGAGAAACAGAGAAACUCGGCAAAAAUAUGUGGUUCAAAUCAAUCCAUUUUUUUUUAAAAAAACUCCUUAGUUGUUCCAGGAAGAGGGCAGCCUUUCUUCUGCUGUUCAUGUGGUGUUCUGCUGUUCAUGCAGACUAAGAACUCCUACCAUUGCAAAAUCAUAUAUUUAAAAUACAAUAAUAAAAAUGUAAUACGCAGCUAAUUAAUGCUGUUGUUCUUUCUUCUUGUUUUGCUAUUUUGAUUUUAUUGUAUUUUAAAAAAAAAUUAUGAUUGUGAAAGCUAGCUAUCCAAAACAUUAGAUCAAAGCAAUCUAAGAGGGUUUUUUAGAGUGUGGUUAUCGUUGUUUUUUAAAGUGUUUUUAUUCAAAAAUACAUCAAAGUAAUAUUUUUUUAUUUUUUAAAAAUUAUUUUUGACAUUAGCGUAUCAAAAUUAUUUGAAAACACCAAAGAAAUACUAACUUAAAGUAAAGAAAAAAAUAAAAAAAAUUUAAAAAUACUUUUGAAACAUAAAAUCAAAUAAAGCCUUAGAAAUUAGUGUAUCUAUGCCCAGAGAUACCUUUUAUAACCUAACUUUUUUAAUAUAAUUUUUAUUUAAUUAUGCAAUAUAUUCAUAAAAAACACUCAAAAUAAAAUUAUAGACAAAUAUAUAUAUAUAUAUAUGAACAUCCAAAAAAGUUAUCGAUAGCUGUGUAAAUCAUUGAAAUUGCCACAAAAGCAACCCAAAUUAGUUAUGAAUUGGAUUCGAUGGAAGGAAGAGGGGAAAUGGGUAACGGCCAAUUAAAAGUUCAUUAAAAAAAAAUCUGGAACACAACAGAUGGAAAAAACUCGAAACAACUUGAAUUAUAGUAUAAAUUAAACUCGAAACUGGAAAAAAAAACUGGAACACAACAGACUCAUUAAAAGUCGACGUGUCUAGAAUUUAGGCAAGAAGAAUGAGCCAAGAUUUUAAUUGCAAUGAAAUUUAUCUCACUUUGUUCUUUUUUUAAAAAAAAUGAUACAAGAUAUACUGCUUGUUUUAAGUGAAACAGAAUGGAAUCGACAACUUUAAAGGGAGCAGAGACCACAUAUGUAUAGCUCAAAUUCAAUAGCUUUUCUCCCAUGCUGACAUGUGAUUUACACGCACCAACAUUUUUUUCUUCUUUAUUUUGUAAUAUUUCACAUCGGCAAGUAAGGAUUUGAUAGCUAACCUUAUUAGUAGUGUUAGUUGAUGACUUGUCAGACACGUUUUGAGGUCAUGCGUGAUCACCAAAAACAAAUCCGUGAGGGCGGUAAGGCCUAAAACGGACAAUAUCUGACAGGUUUGACCGGACUGUGACAUUUGGUAUCAGAGCUGACCUCACUGGCUAUCCAGUUGUGCUGACAGGGUCAUUAAACUCCUUAAAAGGGGUGAAUUGUAAUAUCUCACAUCAGUGGGUAAGGAUUUGGUAACUGGUCUUACUAGUAGUGCUGGUUGCUGACUUGUCAGAUGCGUUUUGGGGCCAUGCGUGGUCACCAAGAACAAAUAUGUGAGAGCAAUAAGGCCUAAAACGGACAAUAUGUUGUAGGUUGGGUCAAGCUGUGACAUAUUCAAUAAUUACUCUUCAAUUAAAUCCUAAGUCUCAUUUCAUCUUUUCAAUUUAAUCCCUAAUUUGACACCAACUCUUCAAUUAGACCCCAAACCUCAUCGCACCUGAGAAAAGCCCUCUUCUUUCAAUUUAGCCCUUUAUUAUCUUCAAUUUAAUAUCGAAUUUUAUUCGAUCCAAGCCCAAAAAAGGCUAAGCGAAGAUAGAAUAAAGGAAGGGAAAGAAAAUGAAUAAUUGCCCAACCGAGUUAACGUGUUCUGGUCUUUUCUCCAUGAUUCGGGUUGAACAUUUGACAUUUAUCCUUUUUUUCUAUAGUCUUUUCUCCUUGUUCGUUGUGACGCCGCACACUUGCGACAACCAGUAAAUCUAUAGUUAAUUUAAUUUUUUGAUAAAAGAUAAUACCAUCGGUAUAGAAUGGUUACCAACUGUUACUUUAACAUGCCUUGUAGCCAAUCGGUUAGUUGUACGAGGCAUUAUUAUAUUCAUGUAAAUACAUAUUUAUUAUUAAUAAAGGCUUAAUUUAACUUUAAUAUUCAUAUAAUAUUAGAUUAAUGAAUAUAGAGUAUAGAUAAAGUUUAUGAGACAAAAAUGCUUUGCAAAGGAAAUUAUAAAGUUGUUAUAAUUAUGAGAUUUGUAAUGCAUCAAAGUAUUGCUCAUAAAAUGUUUUUGGUCGAUGUUCUCUUAAAUACUGGAUAUUUAUUAGAGCCAUAAAGACUGAUACAUAUUAUGUUUUUUCCUUUAUGAAAUGAAGCAAUUGUUCUCAUAAGUUGAGUUAUAAGGGAUACCUAAAACUAAUAUGUAUGUGCUUGUCAUAAAACAUAUACACUGAAUUGACCCGCAUGAGAAUUCCAUAUGGAGAGAUUACCUAUGUCUAUGGAAAGACUCGCAUGACGGUUGUAUAUGUAAUCCUUAGACUUGAGAUCACUAAGUUAUCUUAUAUAGAGAUUGUUAUGCUUUGAUCCUGUUACAUGUUAUCUUAAUUGAGGUAACAAAAUGAUAGGCAUUAGGUAUAUCAUGAACUAUAUGAAGGUUUUCUUGAGUGAUCAAGAGAGGAUUUCAUCACCCUAUGUGAAUUAGGAAAAAUGUUCCAUCUGUUCUCAAAUAGUAUUGACUGAGAAAUCCUUAGCUAAGGAGGAAUGAGAUUUAAAAGGGGUUUCAAAUCUUAUUCAAAUGAUCAAUUACUAUUAUGUAGAGAAUGAACAUGAUUUAACAUGACAAACAUGCUUCAUGCUUUAAUGUUAAAUAAGAACAUUAAUGAUAAAAUGAUAUUAAUUAUAGUGAGAAACCAGUAAUUGAAAUCACUAAUGACUUUUCUAAUAUUUAGGGAAUCAUGACAAGUUACUAGACAAUGCACAUGAUCUUCAAAUUUUCAAUUCAAAUUUAUUUAAUUAUAAUUAUAAUUUAUAUUAGGAACCUAAUAGGUCAUACACAUUAAGAAUUAAACUGUGAUGAUUUAAUUAAGUAUAACUUGAUUAAAAUAUAUUUUAGAAAUUAAGGACUAUAAUAUAAUUAAUAUAAGGAUUAUAUUUCCAGAUCUAGAAAAAUCAGGUAAGGACUUGAUUGAGUUAAUUUAUAAAAUUAUCUUAAAUUAAUAUAUGGAUAUUAUUCAAGGGGGGAAAUUAAUAUUUUGUCAAUUUAUAGGAUUUUUCAGAUUUCCUUAUAAAUAGUAAGCUAUGCCUCUUAUUUUUUAGGAGUUAUCUGUUAGACAGAAAAACUACGUAUGUCACAGAAUAAAGAGAUAACACUCUAGGCAUAACAAUCCCUCUCUUCUAAAUAGGGACUUGUGAGAUUUUUCACCAGUGGUUCAUGUGGAUUACAAUUAAGAGACGGACAAUUGGACGACUUCUAGUUUGUAACAAUCCAAUCUUUAAAAAAUUAUUCAAAACUGAAAAUGAUCAAAUUUUCAGGUAAUAAAUCCCUAAACAACUCUAAAUCUGUUUAAUGAGAUUCUGGAGACUCCUUAAUAAUUUUAUUUUAUUGCUUUGGCUAAGUGUAUGCUAUUCUGCAAACCCAACACCAACUUCAUCGUGAGUUUAACAUUUCUUUUACAUGUUGGGAAUUUGGUACUAAUGGGUGUAUUUUUUUAAGUUGAAAUAAUGCCACACAAUCUAGGUUCAAGUGGUUCAUGAAUCAAAUAGUGGUUGUUAGACACUGCAAUUGGAUGGCUCCUAUUUGAUAUAUGAAGCUAUCCUAAGGGAAUCAUGCUUGUAUCACCUAUAAUAAUAAUAAUAAUAAUAAUAAUUAUUAUUAUUAUUAUUAUUAUUAUUAUUACAUAUUAACAAGCAUCAUUUGAUUAGUAAGUUUCCAAAUUCUAUCCACAAAUAUUAUAACCUCUUAAUUUAUGCAAGAAAUUAGCUAGAUUUCAUGCAAGCAAUCCCUAACUCUAGUAUUUUCUUUGUGUUAAAAAUGGAGACUUCUUGGUGUUAGCCGGAGCUUGGGUAUACCAUUUUUGAACAAAUAACAAGGUAAAAACAUCUUUUAACGAUAUUAAAAUCAUUUAUUCAUUUAAAGUAUCAAUAUUGUUAAAAAACAUCUUUUAACAACCAUUCUUCGCGUUUCACUUUUCUUCAAAUGUUUUCACCAAAACAAAGCUUCAGCCUUUAAAUUGUUGCUUAUAAAGUCGAGAUCCAAGGGAUUAUUUAAGAUUUUAUGGAAAUUACGUAUUUCAAAUAUUUUAUGUUUAUUUUUCUGAAAUAUCGUUUGAAGCAAAAAGCAAAAAAGAAUUAAAUUUUUUUUAAAUAUUUUUAAAACACAAAAACAACCAGAAUUUUUUUUUUUAUUUUUUAAAGAAUUGUUUUUAAAAAAUAAUUUUUUGUAUUCUAAAUUAAUUUUUUUUAUUGAUAUUAAAAAUAUAUAUUUUUUAAAAUAUUAUUUUAAUAUAUUUUUAAAUAAAAAAUAUUUUAAAAAACAUCUACUUAAAAAAUACUAUUUUUCUGAAAUAAUACUUUUCUCUAUAUUUUGAGUUUUAGUUUUUAAUAGCUAUGCUCGUUUAAUUUUUUUUUAUUUUAAUGUUUUUUCAUGCUCUUGCAAAUGAGGCACGAAAAGAGAACCUGAAAUCACGACAGCAAAUAAGAAGAGAAAUAGGUGUUUGUUUUUUAUUUUUUAAAGCAUUAUUUUUUAAAAUUAAAUUUUUGUAUUCUAAAUUAAUUUUUUUAUAUUUUUAUACUAAUAUUAAAAAUAAUUUUUAAAAAAUAAAAAAUAUUAUUUUAAUAUAUUUUUAAAUAAAAAAAUAUUUAAAAAAACAACUGUGUAUUCCAACACUUAAAAUAAAAAUCUUAAAAUCACAGCAUGAUAAAAGAAGAAAGAAAGGAAUGGGAUAAAGAAGAAAGAAUAAAAAAAACCCCCUAAAAUCACGGCAUGAUCAAAGGAGAAAGAAAAGGAUGGGACAAAGAAGGAAGAAAGUAAGGUCACGUAGGGGCUUGUCUUGUAGAAAAUUUGAGAAUUAGCAUGAAAAGAGGAUAAUAGAGUAGUUGUUAGAAUCAAAAGACAUAAACACGGGAGAGAGGCUGCCCCUUACCUCCUCCUGGGAAGGAAUAUAUGUCAGACUAUACAGCCUUUUUCAAUUCAUUAAUGUCGUUCUCUGUUUGUCUUCUAAAACCUACUCCCAUCAUAUACAUGUAUUAUUUUCUUAAAAUUGCUCUAUGGGAUUGCAGGCCAUGCUCGUUUGAUUAAAAAUUGCUCUAUGGGAAUUUGGUACUAAUGGAUGUAUUUUCUUAAGUUGAAAUAAUGUCACUGGGAUCAUGAAUCAAAUAGUGGUUGUUAUUUGACACCGUAAUUGGAUGGCUCAUAUUUGAUUUAUGAAGCUAUGCUAAGGGAAUCAUGCUUGUAUCACAUAUAAUAAUAAUAAUAAUAAUAAUAAUAAUAAUAAUAAUAAUAAUAAUAAUAUUUACAUAUUAACAAGCAUCAUUUGAUUAGUAAGUUUCCAAAUUCUAUCCACAAAUAUUAUAACCUCUUAAUUUAUGCAAGAACUUAGCUAGAUUUCAUGCAAGCAAUCCCUAACUCUAGUAUUUUCUGUGUUAAAAAUGGAGACUUCUUGGUGUUAGCCGGAGCUUGGGUAUACCAUUUUUGAACAAAUAACAAGGUAAAAACAUCUUUUAACGAUAUUAAAAUCAUUUAUUCAUUUAAAGUAUCAAUAUUGUCAUUUAUAGUGAAAUAUUUAAUUUUACUACAUUGAAAAUACGUUGACCAAUAGAAUCCCCGCCUUCAGCUAACCCCAAAUUUGUCUAUCAUCGUAUAAUAUUGAUCAUUACAUUAUGCGAUUUCCAGCUAGUGAUAGGAUUUUAAGGACAAGUUACCACAACAUUAUUAAAUUCACAUCCUACCGACCAUUAUGGCUGUCAUAGAAUAGCACAAAAAGAGGAUCUGAAAUCACGUGCAAAUAAGGAGAGAAAUACCAUGUUUGUUUUUUAUUUUUUAAAAUAUUGUUUUUUAAAAAUAAUUUUUUGUAUUUUAAAUUAAUUUUUUUAAUUUUUAUAUUAAUAUUAAAAAUAAUUUUUAAAAAAUAAAAAAUAUUUUAUAGUUACAUGAAGAUAAAAGAUAAUCUCAAAAGCUAAUAGAUGGUCGCCACGUGUUCAACUUUAUCUACCCACUAGGAAAGGAUAGAAAGUGGGAGAGAGAAAGGUUAAAAAGGCUUUAAAAAAAAAAAAAAAGGAAAAGACACGGUUGAGAUAAGAGGGGGGACGUGGAAAUAGAAGGAGAAACGGAAGGAGACAUAGAAAGAUCGGAGGAGAGUAAGAAAAAAAUAUAUGAAUAUGUGAUGUCCUAUUUCUCAUAAAAAUACUCUGUUGUUUUUUGGUCUUUUAUUUGAAAUUUCUUUGGACACUUUAAUAAUAUAAUAACAAAAAAAAUUAAAAUAUUGAUGAAAUUAUUAUUCAUUCAAACACUAAUUUACUAUGGACUACGAUAGUAUUUUUUCUUUAUUUAUAUUUUGAGUUUUAGUUUUUAAUAGCCUUUGAUUUUUUAAAAUCUUCGAGGACCUGAAAUUACGGCAACGAAUAAGGAGAGAAAUAGCAUGUUUGUUUUUUAUUUUUUAAAGUAUUAAAAAAAAUAUAUUUUUUAUUUUUAUAUUGAUAUUAAAAAUAAUUUUUAAAAAUAAAAAAUAUUAUUUUAAUAUAUUUUAAAUAAAAAAUAUUAAAAAAAAACCCACUUUAAAAACCUUAAAAUCACGGCAUGAUAAAAGGAGAAAGAAAGGAAUAGGACAAAGGAAGAAAGUGAACGGGAGAAAGGAAGAAAGUAAGGUCACGUAGGGGGGCCAGUAUUGUAGAAAAUAGGAGAUGAAAAUUAGUAUGAAAAAGAGGAUGAUAGAGUGGUUGUCCCAAUCAUAGUGGUUUUUAUAAUUAUAUUUAAUUUAUAUAAAUAUUAAAUUAAUAUAUUCUUAGUGUUUUAUAUGAUUUAAAAAAUGUUUUUAAAAGUAUGUAUCACAGUAUCAAAUUAUAAUAAAUUAAAAGAAAAUGGGUUUUAUGUUCAUUACCACUCACUUAGACUCAUUUAAUUAUGGACAAUAAUAGUGUCUCAUUUGAAAACUUUCAAUUUUAUACUUGAAAUUUUUUUCAUAAUUAAUCAUUUUUAAUUAAAAUUAGAUUCCAAUUGCAUAUUUUUUUUUUAAGGAGGAGAGUUGAAUUAAAAGACAGGGGACUGAAGUAAAAAACUCAGUUAAAAUAGAUGGCGGCUCUACAAUUUGUUUACAAAAUUUAUUUUAGUUUCUCAUCUUUUUAAGUUAUUAAAUAAUAAGUCCGCAUAAUUUUCCAACAUUGCAUUUUGAAUUUUUUAUAUUAUUAAUACUUUUUAUAUAUUUAUUUGAAAAUAAUUUUGAAAAUGAUGUUUUCAUUAAUACCCUUUUUCUAUGAUUUGUUUUUUGGCCUUAUGUAGUCUUUCUUUAAUUAUUUUUAAUUUUGUUGCUUUUGUUUAAUUUUUUAAGAUGUUAGUAAUAUUUAUCUGUAAAUAUUUUAUAUAUAUUUCAGAUAGAUUAAGUAUUUAAUUUUUAUAAUAAUUUGAACAUGUGUAGCCUUGCAUAGUUUUUUUUUUCCUUUUAUGAUAUUAAAAAAAAAUAUGUGUGUAUUGAUUUCUAUUAUAGAUUGAUUUUAGUAAACAAAUUCAUUAAAUAUAACUAGAUAAAUGAUCCAUGUUGUAAUAUUAAAUACUUUAUCUAUAUUUGUUUCUUAAUUUUUCCACUUGCAUUUUUAAUUAUCGGUAAUGACUUUAUUUUUUUCAUUUAUUUAUAUAAUUGUUUGUGAUUUAUUUAAUUUGAUGCGUGUAUAAGUUUUUUAAUUUAUAUUUAAAAAAUUUUUAAUGUAAAAAAACACGUUGAAGAAUUCUUAUUCUUAUGAUUUUAGCAUAAUUCUUAUUCUUAUGAUUUCUUAUUUUCUUUCUAACCCUUUUAUAAAACAAAAAAUUGUUUAUAGUUUUAUCCUUCAUUUCAACAUAAUGAUGUAUUUUUUCCUUAUAUAUAUUCUUGUUUGUUAUUAUUGCUUUUUUUUCUUUAUAUAAUUCAUAUAAAACCAGCUUAUUUAAUCGGUCAAGACUAAAUAAAUAAAAAAAAAAGAUAUACUAUGUCUUCCCAUUUCCUCUCCCUGGUGAAUUUUGGCGACCACCCACACACUGAUAGCCUAAACAACCACCAGCCAUGCCACUUUUCAAGAUCCCAUCUCUCAAUCUCAAAACCAGAAACAACCCUUUCUCAUAACUCCGGGAAAGUGAAGAACUAAACCAUAGUGGCAAAAAUCUUAAAGGGUCUAAAUUAUCUCUGUUACUUUCCCUCAAUUUUCUAGACAAGCAAAAGGAGCUAAACUUAUUCCCGACCAAAACGCCAAGAAUUUCAGUAGAACAAAAGAAGAGAUUGUUACUUGACCAUAAACAAUUAGUCCGCACCCAAAGAAACUGAGUGAAUGAGAGAAAAAGACUAAUAGCUAGAAAACAAUCAACAGAUCCAAGAAUUUUCUGUAUGGUUUCCAAGAAAAUGAAACGAAACGAGCAGCACAACCCUCUUUCCCCUCUAAGAAAAGAAAGAAGAAGAAAAAGAAAAAGAAAAAGAAAGGAAAGAAACAAAGAAGUUCGAGGAAAGAAAAAGUAAGAACGUUCAUUCCUUUAUAAACAUUGACUUUGAUUUUUCCUUUAUAAAACCAUAAACCUGCAAUUGUCCUACAAAUCAACAUGAAGACUUAUCAGAUCCUAAAGAAAAGCUGUCAAAAUCCUAUCAGAAAUUAAGGAAGAUGACGUUAACUUCAAAUCUGAGGAUUAAUUGUAGCAGAUCUUAUAGAGUUCAGCUGAUUGCUUUACUUGUUUAAAUAAUUCUCUUGUAAGCCUAAUGGUUCACGUCUUCCAUCAUUGCAACCUUUUUUUCUGUGAUUGAAAAAUCUAUAAUAGGAACCUGCACUUCAUCCCUUCUAUGCUGUUGUUCUUUCUUCUUGUUUUGCUAUUUUGAUUUUAUCAUAUUUUCUAUGAUGAAAGUUGAAGAAAACACCCCUUCUUUUGCAAUUAUUACCACUCCCCCCACGUGGCUACCCAUAAUUGGACUGUCAUCUCAGCUGUAUAAAUGUCUCGCUCAAGCCAAAAACAGAAACGCACAAAACCCCUCCCCCAACAGAGAAUCAAAUGAUAGCUAAAAUCAAAUAUUAUUAUUAUUAUUAUUAUUAUUGCCCCAACAACAAACAAUUAUUAUACAAUUAUUAUUAUUGCUGUUGUUAUUUUAGGUGCCACCUAGUCCUUUGCUAGGAACUUAACAUCCAAAAAUGCCUUCACUAAUCUUUUGCUCAUUUUCAAACCGAAGAGUCCUGUACUAACAAAAGCCUUUUUAUAGGAUGCUAUGUUUUCUUACCCACCUCACGAACAUGAUCAUGAACACGAGCCUAAGAUGACUCUCUUUUUACUUUCUUGAAUCAAUAAAAUAACCAGUGAGUCCUGUUCUUGCAUUCGACUAAAAAAGGUCUGCAAAAUUACAGUAAUUGCUUAUGAUGAUACGAACACAACAAAAGAUCAAACUCAAGCACUUAAAAGUAAUUGCUUAUGAUGAUCAUCUCACUAAGUAAGGAGAGAAAAGUAAGGAGAAACGGAAGGAGACAUAGACAGAUCGGAGGAGAGUAAGAAAAAAAUAUAUGAAUAUGUGAUGUCCUAUUUCUCAUAAAAAUUCUCUCUUUUAUUUGGAAUUUCUUUGGACAAAGGAAGAAAGUGAGGUCACGUUGGGGGGCCAGUAUUGUAGAAAAUAGGAGAUGAAAAUUAGUAUGAAAAAGAGGAUGAUAGAGUGGUUGUCCCAAUCAUAGUGGUUUUUAUAAUUAUAUUUAAUUUAUAGAAAUAUUAAAUUAAUAUAUUCUUAGUGUUUUAUAUGAUUUAUAGAAAAAGACUAAUAGCUAGAAAACAAUCAACAGAUCCAAGAAUUUUCUGUAUGGUUUCGAAGAAAAUGAAACGAAACGAGCAGCACAACCCUCUUUCUCCAAGAAAAGAAAGAAGAAGAAGAAGAAAAAGAAAAGGAAAGAAAAAAAACAAAGAAGUUCGAGGAAGUGUGCAGCCUUUGUUCUGCUGUUCACACAGACUAAGAACUCCUACCAUUGUAAAAUCAUAUAAUUAAAACACAACAAUAAAAAUGUAAUAAUCAGAUCUUAUAGCGUUCAGCUGAUUGCUUUACUUGUUUAAAUAAUUCUCUUGUAAGCCUAAUGGUUCACGUCUUCCAUCAUUGCAACCUUUUUUUCUGUGAUUGAAAAAUCUAUAAUAGGAACCUGCACUGCAUCCCUUCUAUGCUGUUGUUCUUUCUUCUUGUUUUGCUAUUUUGAUUUUAUCAUAUUUUCUAUGAUGAAAGUUGAAGAAAUUCUACUUCGAAACUCAAGACAAAGUCUCUCGGACUGCAUAUUAGUGGGUUGCUCAUUGGGAUUUCUAUAAACAACUGAUUCUAAUAUUGCACAGCAACAUUACGAAAAACUGAUUAUUUCACACAUAGUCUAAUAAAAGUAGAUUCCAUUGUCAAUUCCUUAACAUUUUCCAAACAAAUCCAUGCUCCUCAUUUUAUACUUUCUUGAGGGUUUCUAUUCUCUUAUUACCAAUUUCAGUGAGUUUCAUAAUAAGCUGCUUAGAAAGAAGCUAUCUAACAGGAGGGUGGGGCUACUCUUAGCCAAUGAAAACAGCUUCACAUGCUAUACAGCAACGUGAAAAAAAAUUCUCAGCCUGUUCUCUCUUUAAUGAACACCCUCUUGGAUUCUCUAGCAUUAGGCAACAAGGUAUCUGCUUGGAAUUACUUCCACCCAUCUGAAAAAAUAACAUACAAUCUAUUUAAUACACUUAACUAAAAAUGUAUUUUAUAACCCUAUAUAUUUUUUAACUAAACUAGUUAUUUUUUUCAAAAACCAAAAAAGUAAACAGUUUUUCAAAAAUCUAAUUCAUAAUAAAACAAAUAAUGAAACUUGAUAAUAAUUCACUAAAUAACCAUCAAUUAUUCAUCAAACCAAUCUGAAAAAGCUAAUAUUAAAGAUAGGAACAAAUCUAGAAUUUUAUCAUAUUUUUAAGGAUCAAAUUAUAAUUUUAUCAAAUUGGAGGACCAAACUAAAAAUAUCAUAAAUUCAUGACUAUACUGGAAUUCUGCCCAUAAUUCAUCCUAAAUUUUGCCCAGAAUCUCAAAUUAUGCUCCAAGGACCACUACAUAAUUUUAUCAAAUAUCUAGGGUCAAAUUGUAAUUUUAUCAAAUUGGAGGACCAAAGUGAAAAUAUCAUAAAUUCAUAACUAUACUGGAAUUCUGUCCAUAAUUUAACUUUAAUUCUAUCCAGAAUCUCGAAUUAUGCUCCAGGGACCAAUCUCUAAUUUUUCUAAAGUUCAGAAAUUAAACUGUAAUUUUCAUAAAUUGAGGGACCAAGCUGAAAUUUUAUAAUCUUCAACCUCAAACCCAGAAUUCACACAGAUAACCUAUUAAUAUAUCAAGAUUUCUAACUUAAAUUCACCAUUUAAAUAAACCAUAACUUAAAAUCAUUAUUUUUACCUAAAAUGUUUCAAAAUCAAUUAAAUAACUCAUUACCCAUAACAAUCGAUCCAUAAUUUUUCUGUAAUGUAAUUGUAAUUCCUAGCAUAAUGCAUAUUCGAGGGCAAGCACAACAAUUCAAGAGCAAAGAAACUUGAUGAAAUAGCAAAAGAAAAAGACAUGAAGGACUGAAAUAAAAUAAAACCAAAAAAGAGGGAUGAAAAAAGUAACCGCACUCUGGUUGCCAUCAAAAACAUAUAUAGUUCUUUUAGUAUUUUUUUUUAAAAUAAUAUUGUAAUAGGUCAAUCAUAUUACCCUGAGUGUGUGACACAGAGAUAAUCAUCAUAGAAAAUUACUUUUAAUUGCUUGAGUUUUAUCCUGAGAUGACAAACUUACCUUGUCCUACUAAUGCUUUUGCUUUCAUUGUUUCGAAAGUAAAAGAGACUUAAACAUAAUCAUUUCCUUCCUUUUACUUUCCACUUCUUUGUAAUAUUGGAUUGCAAACGGGAUGGUGCUUAGAGGGGCCACUUUUUCUUUUCCUUUCUUUUUAAAAUCUUAUGCCUUUGGGUGAGGAAAUUAGUGGAGCAUUAGACUUUUUAAAAGACAACAAAAAAAAGCGAUGUCUCAUCUUUUGAUAUGGUGGUACAAGAUACACCAUGGUAUGGUGGUCCUGCAAGAAAUGUCUUAGCUUUUGAUAUGGUGGUCUUCCAUGAUCAGUUUUCGAAAGAUUCGAGUCUCCGUUCUAGUUCGGGUUGGAAGCUAGGCCGAAAGCUAAGCUUCUUUUAAUUAUGAAUUGUUUAUGCAAAGGAAACCCAGAAGCUUGAACAAACAGAAAUGCCUUGUUGAUUUCUCUGCUACUACUCAUUAUUUCCAAUAUUAUUCCAUUAUCUUACCCGAAAGCAAUUAUACAAGAAAUUUCAUUAUCCUGCCCCAGAAGGCAAUUUAUUACAAGGACUUCCUUUAACCUCCUUGAAGGCAAUUUAUUUGAUGAAAAUUCCUUUAAUCCACCUCAAAGACAAUUUAUCUUAGGGAAUUCCAACAACCCAGGCAAUUUAUUUCUUAAUUUUAUAUUACUGUUUUCAUUAAUUUUAUUAAAGCUUAAUUUUAUAUUUUUUCUGCCCUUUUCUUUUAAAAAUGUUAUCUCCUUGGUAAGGAAUCCUUGGUUCCCAACAGCAACUGUAGCAUAGUUAAAGGUUGCGUUAAAAAAAUAUCAAAACUCCACCGAAAGUAGUGGAGCCUUAGAAUUUUUAAAAGACAAAACGGGGACAAGUGAGAGACGAAGAAAAAGACAAAAGCAAUUCCAUCUAUUGAUGUGGUGAUCCAAGAUACACCAUAACAUGGUGUUCUUCCAUGAAGUCUAAGAUGCACCGCCGUGUUGUUUCAUAUAUAUUUAUAUAUAUGAAAAUAAUAAAACUACCGUUUAAAACAACUCUGAAAACAAAAGUUUUAAUAAUUCAUAAUUUAUAAGCAAACAUCACUUAUAAGCAAAUAAUUAAUGAUGGUUAAACUAAUUCAUUGUUAGGCGGAUAUAUAUUAAGGUUGAGACCCAUCUAUCUAACACUAAUAACUAAUCACUGAUAAUAUUUAUGCAAAACUUGUAGCUUAGGAUGAACUCUCAGAGAUGUGGGCGAGGCAACUCAAAGUAGAAGGGAAGGGGUAACCUCUGAUAACAGAGAAAAUUGUAGAGUAAAUUGUAGAUGUGGACCGAAUUUUCUUAAAUUAACAACAGAAAUCUACAAUGAACAGUUCUCGAGAAGAAACUCAAGAAACGUAAUAAAGCUACAUGAUGACAUAAUAGGAACCUGCAUUGCCUUCAUUCUAUGAUGAAAGUUCAAGAAAUUUUACAUCGAAUCUCAAGACAAAGUCUCUCAGACUACAUAUUGCAAAGCAACUGAUUCUAUUGCAAAGCAACAUUACGAAAAAUUGAAUAUUUCACACUCAGUCUAAUAAAAGUAGAUUCCAUUGUCAAUUCCUCAACAUUUUCCAAACAAAUCCAUGCUCCUCAUUUUAUACUUUCUCUCUUAUUACCAACUUCAUUGAGUUUCAUAUAAGCAUAGUCAAUCACACAACUAAUAUGUGAAUUCACAAUUUCUUACCGAAAACAUUUUAUCAGUGCAAAUUAAUACAUAAUUUUACCUCUCCUCUUGGUGAAAACACAAAGACACAACCACCGAGCAGAUCUCUGGUAAUGGUCUCUACAAAUUCCCUACAGUUCCUAUUGCCAACAAACUCCUCUUGCCAUUCCCUAACUGCAUUGAGCCAGCUAAUCUGGAUGAAAGAAAGGACUUCCAGCCUUGGAAUUAGCAUUAUAGUCAUGGAACCUUAAAGCAGACCCAACUUUGUAGCUCAUUACCAGUUAAGUAAAAGUUAUCAAUAGCUGUGUAAAUCAUUGAAACUGCCACAAAAGCAACCCAAAUUAGUUAUGAAUUGGAUUCGAUAAGGGAAAGAGGGGAAGAGGGGAAGAGGGGAAAUGGGUAACGGAAAAUUAAAGAGAGAUGAAGAUCUGCGCAGGGCUACCUGUUUUGAGAAUUAUGGAUUUUUAUCCCUAACUCCAAAUUGCACCAAUUAUAAGUUCAUUAAAACAAAUCUGGAACAGAACAGAUGGAAAAAACUCGAAACAACUUGGCUAGAAUUUGGGCAAGAAAUUCAGAACGGCCAAGAUUUUAAGUGAGAUAAAAGUUAUCCCAUUUUGUUCUGUUUUUUUUUUUAAAUUAAUAUGAGAUAUACUAUCCAUUUCAAGCGGAACAUAAUGGAAUGAACAACCUUGCAUCGAAGACCUAAUUUUAGUGAAACUCAAGUUUAUUGUGUCAAAGAAAAUGUUCUAAAAAAAUGUUUUAAGCAUUAACAAAAUCUAGUUGGCCUAGGCAAUCCACUAUUGUUGCUGUUACCGUUGGUGCAUACUCAAUUACACCAUUGACAUAGUGCAACUGUUUUUCUUUCUUUCUUUCUUUCUUUUAAAAAAUCCAUGUUAUGUUUUUUAUUUGAAGCUUUUUUGUUAACAUCUUUCGCAAUUGGCCUUGGUAUUUUGUUUCCAUUUUCUCUAUGUUUCCUUCUUCUGUAGUUAGAAAACAUCAUGUCUUUGGGUUUGCGCUUGAUACCGCAAAAUUAAGGACACAAUAGUCAAAGAACACAAAAAAAUUUAUAAGUGAAGGGGGUUGCAGUUGUGAACCCUAAAAUUUACAAGUUUAUUUUCUUAAUAAUAAUAAUAAUAAUAAUAAUAAUAAUAAAGAAGUUUGCCUUCUUAGAAAGUUUACAAAGCCUUAAAUUGGUUAGGAACCUUACCUCAACAAGGAAACAAAAAAAAAAUCCAAAAUUAUAAAGGAAAGAAGCAUAAAAUCUAAAAUAAGCAAGAAAUUUGAAAAUAACAAAGAAAAUCACAAAAAACUAACAAAACCCGGGGCAUCAGUGAGAGUUUUGAUAUUUAAAGAUCCGAUGGUCUGUAUAAAAAUUUGAGCACAAUCCAAUAAUCGAAUAAAAAAUUCUGGCUCUUUUGAGCUGUUAUUCUUGUCUAGUACAACCAAACAUUCUCUUGGGCUUAAACCUGUUCUAUUGGUUCAUAAAUGCAUUUACUAGGCCAUCAACAUUAUUUGUCUGAGGCAAAUCCUCAUCUAGUUAUGGGAGACCCACAUCUGACUGCUUAGAAUCACUAGUUAUCGUAGGAUCGACUAUAUCAAAAUUGGUUGGUUUUUUGUUUUCAAAAAGAAUUAAAAUUUGAUGCAGAUGAAAGCUAAAAACACAAUAAUUAAAGAGCACAAAAAAUUUUAUGAGCAAAAGAGGCUGCAGAUGUGAACCUUCAAAUUCACAAGUUUAUUUUCUCUAAAAUAAUAAUAAUGAAGUUUGUUUUCUUAGGAGGUUUCCAAAGCUAUAAAAAUAUCAAGAAUCCUAUCUUAACUUGGAAAUAAAAAUACAAACUCAAAAUUACAAAGGAAAGAAGCAUAAAAUCUAAAAUAAGCAAGAAAUUAAAAAAUAACAAAGAAAAUCACAAAAAACUACCAAAACUAGAGGGCUUAACAAGAUUUUUGUUAUCUAAAGAUUCGAUGGUCCGCGUAAGAAUUUUAGCAUGAUCUAACGGUCGGAUAAGAAAUUAUGACCCUUUUGAGCUAUUAUUUUCGUUUAACGCGACCAAAUCUUUUUUUGGUCCUAUACUUAUCCUAUUAUUCCAUAAAUACAUCUCUAUGACCUAUCUUUUUUUUUCCUACUAUAGAUGGAGUUUGACCAUCAUCGUCAUAUGAUUUGACUUAGUUGUAUCGGUUUUCAAUCAGAUCAACUUUAUAUAUUAUGGGUUUACAUUUACUAUUUUUAAAAAAUGCUCAUUAUCGGUUUUCGAUCACCAUAAGUCCAUUGUUCACACCUCAAGUCCGUACCUGCAGCGGAUCGCAGGCAACGAAACUAUAGACUCGAGAGUAAACAUGCUACUAUAGUUAGCUAGUAAGGGUCCAGGUCAUUUGUUGUCUGGUUUCAAAUAGUGUUUCAACUCAUUUAAUAAAUGUAUACAUGGCUCAUAGUUGGAUUACUUGUGUUUUUGUUAUUUGUUCUUCCCAGUACUUGUACCAGAAGCUGCUCUCAUAUUUGAAGGAAUGCAAACAAUUGUUAAUAUGAAACUUAUGAUGCAUAGGAAAUUGCCAUUUUUCUCAUUUUUAAUUGGAAGAAAAAUCACACGUAUGUUUUUGUUAGAAAUAACUUCUUAUUUCAAUCAGAAGUGUGUCACUAAAUUGAUUUAUAAGUAAGUUUUUAAAUCGUGGAUUAUAUCUUACAUUAUAUUUUUUUAUUUACAAAAGUUUAUUUGAGUUAUUUUUAUUAAAAAUACUUAUAAUUUAAAAUUAUUUUAAUUCUUUUUUAUCAUAAAUUAUUUAUUAAAAACAACUUAGAUUAUCGCUUGAAAUAAAAAAAGAAAAAGAAAAAUUUCUCAGCCUGUUUUCUCUUUACUGAACAACCUCUUUGAUUCUCUAGCAUCUGCUUGGAAAAACCAUUCAACAAGGGAUUCUGCUAGGAAAACAUGCAAUUGUUCUUCUAUCUGAUAUCAGUUUCAAAAUUCUAAACAAAUAAUGCAACAAGUCACAUUUAUUACAAAAAAAGGUCACGUUUAUUCCAGACCUCAAGCUGCAUUGCCUAUUUCAAAACCACAAAGAGAACAUCAAACAGAACAACAAAUACCCAAGUCGUAGAGCCAUUAAUUUGAGCAUAAAGGAGAAUGAAAGUCCACGCAUUAAACAGUAGGCACACACAUGAGUAUACAUUAUGCCCUUGUUCUUGAAGAUUCAGACACUUCAAAAGAAAACUCACGCUCUUAUUUUUGGGAAGUUCUUCUAUGGUAAAUAAGACUGUUACAAUGUGAAGCCAAUUUGUAUCCCAUUGCCAGUGAAACAGUAGGAAUUACUUCCACCAAUCUAAAACAUAUUCGCAGCACCACAGCUCAAAGACAUGAAUCUCUGUGAAAUCACCUAAGGUCGAGUUGCUCAUGUAAUAGGCAACCAACCUGCCUAAUGCAAACAGAAGAACAAAGACCAUUCAUGCAUAUCCAUUAGCUGUUUAGCAUGUUUUUCAAAUUCCAAUGCCAAACUAAUCAUCCUACCCAUCAUCAUCAUCACCACCAUCUCCCUCCACCACCUUCCUUCAUCUCCUUCACCACAUACCACCCAUUAUUUCGGGUCCACGUUCUACAAGUGUUGAUUGGCGCAGAGCAACCAGUGCUUGAAUCCUCAGCUACUUCAGAUACCUGUAAUCCAAUCCAAGCAUGGCAUACACAUUUUAACUUCUAAAUCUUAUUAUUGAGUGAAACAAGAAACAAACACACAAAAAGAGAAGCAAGAAAUUAAGACAAUUCAGCAGCACCUCUGAUGGAGCUCUUAUUGAACCAUUUGGUGUAGUAGCAAAUUUUGUGAUCAGCUUUGGGCAUUCAAACACCUCGAACUUCUCUAAACGAGGGAAUAAGAAAUCAUAACAUCCGAGAUUGAAACAUACAAUACUUGAUAAUUGUUCUAGCAACAGCACCUGCAGAUUCGGGAGCUCCAUCACCUUCUCAACAUUGACAGGUAAAGCAUUCUCAUCCUGAAGCCAUGGCUACUGGAAAGAGACUCUUCAACAUGUUGCAUUUUCUGACAUCAAUUUCACAUAAAUUAGGGAAACAUAAAGAUUGAAGAUGAUCUCCUGGCAAUAUCUGAUCCUUUCCAUCAUCGUUAUCCCUAGCAAUGAUUUGCUCUAAUUCCUCACAACUUUCUAUGUUUAGAAAAUUCAGUUGAACUAAACUAGCAAUCAUGCUGUCUGAGAAUACAUGUGUUAGUCUUUUACACUUAUUCACCAUCAAAGUAGUCAAAUUACUCAGCACGAGACCCUUCCACAAACACCUCAUGCUUGUUUCAGGCAGGGACUUCAAUUUUAAUGUUUUCAAACUUGUUAACUCCUACAUCAGAAGACAACGAAGGCACUAAUUUGUUAGAUAUAAUUCCUAGUAUGUUUUGGUAAAUAGAUGAAUCAAUUAUCCCCAAUACUUAUCAACAAAAGGAUAUAUGUAGACAUGGCAAUAGACAACUCAAUAUUAGCAAAUGGAGGUUUAUCUUCCUGUCCAAAUACUUCCAUUAUUUGGGGGAAGAGCCUCAUUUUCACUCAAACUGGGAAAGCAUAAAUCUAGGUGUAGAAACACAAAUUUUCUACUAGUCAAAUUUCGCCAUGUGUUAUUUUAUUCUUUAAAAGAAAGGAUAAAAUAAAAUUGAAAUAAAUGACAUGAAAAAUAAAUGAGCCUUCAUAUAUUUCUUGGCCAAUGAAAAGUUGACACUUGGGAUGAGAUAUUCAAGAUAUCUUGUCAUAAAUACAAGAUCCCAUCAGAUAUCUUGUCAUAAAUGCAAGAUCCCGUCAAUAAAUAUCAACCAAUAAAAUUAUGCCAUGUGGCAUUGGAAAAGGACCUGAGAGCCCUUACAGAUCUCUAUAAAUAGAGGGCCUCAACCUAAAGGAAGGGGGAUUCCGGGAGAUACAAAUUUCCUUCAAGACAAGCUCUGCAAACAAGGAAGCUCUCGCUCUCUCUCUCUCUCUUCAAGCAAGGAAGCUCUCGCUCUCUCUCUCUCUUCAAGCAAGGAAGCUCUCUCAAAGAGUUCUCAAGCCUCCUUCAUCUACGCUUGAAGUCUACAAAGAACGAAGCUUUGUUGGAUCAAGCAUAAACGCCCCAUAAGAGUUCUUCAACAACACUUUGAAGACAAAUCAAAGGUACUCUUCAAAGCAUCAAAUUACCAAAUCUCGCUAAGCUCUGUUGGAUCAAGCCUAAACGCCCCAUAAGAGUUCUUCAGCAACACUUUGAAGACGAAUCAAAGGUACUCUUCAAAGCAUCAAAUCACCAAAUCUCACUUCGUAAUACACGCCCAAAUUCGCGUUCUUGCAAAGCACAAAUCUUGGCUUGAUUACUCAAAUAAAUCAAGUCACCAUACAUCAAAUUCAAGGGAAGAAUCAGAGGAUUGUCUUGUUCUUUUGAAAGAAUAUAUUACGUAGAGAUUGUACCCAUUCAUAUAUUUAAUAAAAUCAUAUAUUUGUACACGCGUGCUUGUUUAAUUUCAGGUGCUCAAAAUUAUGUCUACAAAUUUCUGGUGACUCCACUGGGGAAAUCUCUACCUCUCAUCUCUUCCCUUCAAGAAAGAAUUUUCAACAAACUCUCAAUGGCAACUAGGAGGAACAUGAUCACCAUUGUCACUUCGAAAAGCAACAAGGCCACUGAUUCAAGUCACCAACAUACUAUUGAAGAUUCUUCAACCCCGCCAUUGAAAACAAAAUCCAUCGUCGAGUUGUAUGAACAAACUAAGCCGACUCUCAAGUUGACAUCAACUUCGAAUGCAAGAGGGGCACAAGAUCUCGCCUCAAAGAUGAAGCCACAAGCAACUCCACUACAAGAGUCAAGUGGGGCGCGCGAAAUUCUCUUCGGCACUCAAGGCGACUUCGACAAUUCACCCAUGGAAACUUCUCCAUGUCAAUCACCAAGUAAGGCUUCGGGUUUUGGCACCAUGUCAGUGAUGAUGACCGAGACAACAUCUUUAGAGGAUCAAGUGGCUACCUUGACAAAACUCGUCGAGGGGCUUUCGACUUCACUCAAGGCAAAAGACCACGAGAUAGCAAAGUUGAUGAACAAGCUUGAGAGCAUGAACGAAGGAGGCCAAACCUUGGCUACCAAGGCUUUACAAGUAGAUCAAUUAGAUGUCAUUGAGGAUUCUACAAUCGGAGCUGCAAGGAAUAUACACGGUAUUACUGAUGGUAUUUUUACCAUGAAUCAACUGAAAGAACUUAUCAAGGAAGUCAUCACGGACCAAGUAGAAAGCUCAGUUCAACCCUCGUAUUCUUAUGUGAAGCCGUACACCCAACGAAUUGACCUGCUAAGGAUGCCUCCGAACUAUCAACCACCAAAGUUUCAACAAUUCGAUGGCAAGGGANNNNNNNNNNNNNNNNNNNNNNNNNNNNNNNNNNNNNNNNNNNNNNNNNNNNNNNNNNNNNNNNNNNNNNNNNNNNNNNNNNNNNNNNNNNNNNNNNNNNNNNNNNNNNNNNNNNNCACUGACUUAGAGUCUGGCUUGAUCGAUACUUGGGAGCAACUAGAGCGCGAGUUUCUUAACCGCUUUUACAGCACUCGUCGUGUGGUUAGCAUGAUUGAACUCACUAAUGCACGUCAAUGGAAGGAAGAGCUUGUCAUCGACUACAUUCAUCGGUGGAGAAACCUUAGCCUCAACUGUAGAGAUCGGCUCACCGAAACUUCUGCACUAGACAUGUGUAUUCAAGGGAUGCAUUGGGGACUACGCUAUAUUUUACAAGGUAUCAAACCAAAGUCUUUUGAAGAAUUGGCUACUCGAGCACACGACAUGGAACUUAGCAUUGCGGCGGUUGAAAGCUCAUCAUUACCUAUGCAAGAGCCAAUGAGAAAUAAGCUUGAAGGUCAUAGAUUUGAAAAGAGCACUGCAAAGGUCGAGGGAAAGCAAUCUUUAGUAGUUAACUCGACUACCACAAGGGUACCAACUGGAGUUAAGAGGAAUGAUCGGGCGACACCAGUUACUUUUCAAAAAGGUGAAAGAAAGAAACCAUCCCUGAAAAAGCGACAAGAAAAGGUGUAUCCAUUCCCCGACUCAGACAUAUCUAGGAUGUUGGAUGAUUUGCUUGAGGCAAAUAUCAUUGAGUUACCGGAGGUGAAACGCCCCGAUGAAGCAAACCAAAUGGACAAUCCAAACUAUUGCAAAUACCAUCGCUUGAUCAGACAUCCCGUAGAGAAGUGCUUUGUGCUGAAAGAUAAGAUCAUGAGGCUACACGAGAAUGGGGAUAUCGUUUUCGAUGAUGAAGUAGCAACCUCUAAUAUCACAACCAUGGUCAAUUUAGGACCACGCCAGUCACUCCCUACAAUAAGUUUUGGCUCCUUUGAACCUAUAGAGCUUGGAAUCAUUUUGCCUACGAGCUUCAUUGCAUCCUCAAGUCAAACUCCAUGUAUAACCCUCACACCUCAUGUUGACAACUCGAAACCUGAUUCAUCUGAAAAUUAUGAUGACGAAGGAUGGACUUUAGUCAUGCAUAGAAGAGGAAGGAAGAGGCACAUGCAGAUGACAAAGCCAACUAGAAUGAGGAUCUCGACGGUGAGGAAGCUAAUGGAGCCGACACGCCGAAAGAUUCAACGAAAGUCCAUACCAGUCAGAAAUGAGGGCUUUUCAACUCAAAGUCUAAGAAAGCCCGUUACACUGAAUGAGUACAUGCCAAUAGAAAUGAGAAGAAUUGAAAAUGUACUUGUUGCUUGCUAUCAUGUUGAUGAAGAGAAAACUCAUACUAAACCUGUCAUGAAGGAAAAUCAUGAUGACUCUUCAAACUUGUCUCACGGUGUAGGCACAACAGAGAUAUCCUUCAACAAUGAAGACUCGUUGCUUGGAUCAAAACUCUAUAAUCAGUCAUUGUUCAUUAAAGGAUAUGUUGAUGAAAAGAUGAUGAAUCGUAUCUUGGUGGAUGAUGGCUCGGCGGUCAAUAUACUACCUCUUAAGACUAUGAAAGAGCUAGGGAUUCCUAUAGAUGAACUCUUCUCAAGUCAUCUGAUGAUUUAAAGUUUUAAUCAAGGACGGCAAAACACCAUAGGAAAGAUAAGGCUUGCGAUACACAUGGAAGAUAUGAAGUUCAAUGCAUUUUUCCAUGUCAUAGAUGCCAAAACUACUUAUAAUAUGCUACUUGGACGACCAUGGAUACAUGAAAAUGGUAUCAUCUCCUCAACGCUCCACCAAUGUUUUAAGUAUUGUCAAGAUGGGGGCAACAAAUUCCUCUCCAAAUGGGAUUACCCUUAUAUGGUUCAAGAAGUCUACACCAACGGAGCUUACAAAAUUGUUGAUGAGAAUGGAUUGAGGAUUGGGCCUAUCAACGGCAAAUUCUUGAAAAGAUACUAUGCUUGAAAUCUGAUGUAGCUUCUGGCCCGCACGAGCUAAAACUAUGAAAGGCACAAAAAAAAACAAAAUUGAACUACGUUAUGACUUGAUCCUUUAUCCACAAAGGUACGUAGGCAACUCGGAAUUCAUUCUGAGUACAGUCACGCAAAAAAAAAAAUCUUUUGAACUACGUUGUGACUUGAUCCUUUAUCCACAAAGGUACGUAGGCAACUUAGAAGUUAUUCUAAGUACAGUCGCACAUCAUCCUUUAAAGCUAUUCGAGCCGAUAUGAUUGUUCGCAUGGAAAAAGAGGGAUAAGUAAACCUCACAACACAAUCAUAACAUAGAAAAUCAGGUGAUAAGACACAAGCGAAGACAAAAUAUAAACUUUAUUAAUAGAAAGAAGAAUUCUAUUACAUAAAGAAUGUAUUCUUAACAUAGAGUCAAUAAGCCAGUGUCACCAAAACAAAAAAAAUCCAAAGCAUGAGAAAUCAUCAGCAUACUCCGGCUAUGACCUUCUAAGCUCCUUUUGUUUGGUCUCCAAUAGUCCUUUUAAUUUUUGAAAAAUGAUUGCGUUGGCUUCAUUUACCACAGGAGAAAUAAAUAUUGUAUUGAUCUCUGCUCGAAUACUGGAGGUGGUGACUUUUCUCUUAGAAAACUCGACUGUCAACAGUUGAAUAGCCACAUAGGAGUGAAUUGGAUUUUGAUGACCCGGUUGGCUUUGUUGUGUCUGGGUGGAUGGCCGUUGCUGUCACCAAAGCUGUGAAGGAUGAGGCAUUCAAGGAGAAUAAAAUUGAUCCAUUAAACAAAGGCAUAGCCUGAGGAUGAGUUCCUCUGUAAGUUAUUCUGCCCCCAACAUGUGCAGGGAUUGGAAUCCGAUACGCGCCAUUUUGCAAAAUUGCCAAGUAUUUGAGUUUCAUUUCCUGGGAAGUUUGGGUAGUUGAAGUUCAUUGUUGUAGCGCCAGUUAUUGCUAAUGUCGUGGUGUUCAUUGAAGCAGAACUUUAGCUAUUUGAAGAAGCAACAUUGUCGNNNNNNNNNNNNNNNNNNNNNNNNNNNNNNNNNNNNNNNNNNNNNNNNNNNNNNNNNNNNNNNNNNNNNNNNNNNNNNNNNNNNNNNNNNNNNNNNNNNNNNNNNNNNNNNNNNNNNNNNNNNNNNNNNNNNNNNNNNNNNNNNNNNNNNNNNNNNNNNNNNNNNNNNNNNNNNNNNNNNNNNNNNNNNNNNNNNNNNNNNNNNNNNNNNNNNNNNNNNNNNNNNNNNNNNNNNNNNNNNNNNNNNNNNNNNNNNNNNNNNNNNNNNNNNNNNNNNNNNNNNNNNNNNNNNNNNNNNNNNNNNNNNNNNNNNNNNNNNNNNNNNNNNNNNNNNNNNNNNNNNNNNNNNNNNNNNNNNNNNNNNNNNNNNNNNNNNNNNNNNNNNNNNNNNNNNNNNNNNNNNNNNNNNNNNNNNNNNNNNNNNNNNNNNNNNNNNNNNNNNNNNNNNNNNNNNNNNNNNNNNNNNNNNNNNNNNNNNNNNNNNNNNNNNNNNNNNNNNNNNNNNNNNNNNNNNNNNNNNNNNNNNNNNNNNNNNNNNNNNNNNNNNNNNNNNNNNNNNNNNNNNNNNNNNNNNNNNNNNNNNNNNNNNNNNNNNNNNNNNNNNNNNNNNNNNNNNNNNNNNNNNNNNNNNNNNNNNNNNNNNNNNNNNNNNNNNNNNNNNNNNNNNNNNNNNNNNNNNNNNNNNNNNNNNNNNNNNNNNNNNNNNNNNNNNNNNNNNNNNNNNNNNNNNNNNNNNNNNNNNNNNNNNNNNNNNNNNNNNNNNNNNNNNNNNNNNNNNNNNNNNNNNNNNNNNNNNNNNNNNNNNNNNNNNNNNNNNNNNNNNNNNNNNNNNNNNNNNNNNNNNNNNNNNNNNNNNNNNNNNNNNNNNNNNNNNNNNNNNNNNNNNNNNNNNNNNNNNNNNNNNNNNNNNNNNNNNNNNNNNNNNNNNNNNNNNNNNNNNNNNNNNNNNNNNNNNNNNNNNNNNNNNNNNNNNNNNNNNNNNNNNNNNNNNNNNNNNNNNNNNNNNNNNNNNNNNNNNNNNNNNNNNNNNNNNNNNNNNNNNNNNNNNNNNNNNNNNNNNNNNNNNNNNNNNNNNNNNNNNNNNNNNNNNNNNNNNNNNNNNNNNNNNNNNNNNNNNNNNNNNNNNNNNNNNNNNNNNNNNNNNNNNNNNNNNNNNNNNNNNNNNNNNNNNNNNNNNNNNNNNNNNNNNNNNNNNNNNNNNNNNNNNNNNNNNNNNNNNNNNNNNNNNNNNNNNNNNNNNNNNNNNNNNNNNNNNNNNNNNNNNNNNNNNNNNNNNNNNNNNNNNNNNNNNNNNNNNNNNNNNNNNNNNNNNNNNNNNNNNNNNNNNNNNNNNNNNNNNNNNNNNNNNNNNNNNNNNNNNNNNNNNNNNNNNNNNNNNNNNNNNNNNNNNNNNNNNNNNNNNNNNNNNNNNNNNNNNNNNNNNNNNNNNNNNNNNNNNNNNNNNNNNNNNNNNNNNNNNNNNNNNNNNNNNNNNNNNNNNNNNNNNNNNNNNNNNNNNNNNNNNNNNNNNNNNNNNNNNNNNNNNNNNNNNNNNNNNNNNNNNNNNNNNNNNNNNNNNNNNNNNNNNNNNNNNNNNNNNNNNNNNNNNNNNNNNNNNNNNNNNNNNNNNNNNNNNNNNNNNNNNNNNNNNNNNNNNNNNNNNNNNNNNNNNNNNNNNNNNNNNNNNNNNNNNNNNNNNNNNNNNNNNNNNNNNNNNNNNNNNNNNNNNNNNNNNNNNNNNNNNNNNNNNNNNNNNNNNNNNNNNNNNNNNNNNNNNNNNNNNNNNNNNNNNNNNNNNNNNNNNNNNNNNNNNNNNNNNNNNNNNNNNNNNNNNNNNNNNNNNNNNNNNNNNNNNNNNNNNNNNNNNNNNNNNNNNNNNNNNNNNNNNNNNNNNNNNNNNNNNNNNNNNNNNNNNNNNNNNNNNNNNNNNNNNNNNNNNNNNNNNNNNNNNNNNNNNNNNNNNNNNNNNNNNNNNNNNNNNNNNNNNNNNNNNNNNNNNNNNNNNNNNNNNNNNNNNNNNNNNNNNNNNNNNNNNNNNNNNNNNNNNNNNNNNNNNNNNNNNNNNNNNNNNNNNNNNNNNNNNNNNNNNNNNNNNNNNNNNNNNNNNNNNNNNNNNNNNNNNNNNNNNNNNNNNNNNNNNNNNNNNNNNNNNNNNNNNNNNNNNNNNNNNNNNNNNNNNNNNNNNNNNNNNNNNNNNNNNNNNNNNNNNNNNNNNNNNNNNNNNNNNNNNNNNNNNNNNNNNNNNNNNNNNNNNNNNNNNNNNNNNNNNNNNNNNNNNNNNNNNNNNNNNNNNNNNNNNNNNNNNNNNNNNNNNNNNNNNNNNNNNNNNNNNNNNNNNNNNNNNNNNNNNNNNNNNNNNNNNNNNNNNNNNNNNNNNNNNNNNNNNNNNNNNNNNNNNNNNNNNNNNNNNNNNNNNNNNNNNNNNNNNNNNNNNNNNNNNNNNNNNNNNNNNNNNNNNNNNNNNNNNNNNNNNNNNNNNNNNNNNNNNNNNNNNNNNNNNNNNNNNNNNNNNNNNNNNNNNNNNNNNNNNNNNNNNNNNNNNNNNNNNNNNNNNNNNNNNNNNNNNNNNNNNNNNNNNNNNNNNNNNNNNNNNNNNNNNNNNNNNNNNNNNNNNNNNNNNNNNNNNNNNNNNNNNNNNNNNNNNNNNNNNNNNNNNNNNNNNNNNNNNNNNNNNNNNNNNNNNNNNNNNNNNNNNNNNNNNNNNNNNNNNNNNNNNNNNNNNNNNNNNNNNNNNNNNNNNNNNNNNNNNNNNNNNNNNNNNNNNNNNNNNNNNNNNNNNNNNNNNNNNNNNNNNNNNNNNNNNNNNNNNNNNNNNNNNNNNNNNNNNNNNNNNNNNNNNNNNNNNNNNNNNNNNNNNNNNNNNNNNNNNNNNNNNNNNNNNNNNNNNNNNNNNNNNNNNNNNNNNNNNNNNNNNNNNNNNNNNNNNNNNNNNNNNNNNNNNNNNNNNNNNNNNNNNNNNNNNNNNNNNNNNNNNNNNNNNNNNNNNNNNNNNNNNNNNNNNNNNNNNNNNNNNNNNNNNNNNNNNNNNNNNNNNNNNNNNNNNNNNNNNNNNNNNNNNNNNNNNNNNNNNNNNNNNNNNNNNNNNNNNNNNNNNNNNNNNNNNNNNNNNNNNNNNNNNNNNNNNNNNNNNNNNNNNNNNNNNNNNNNNNNNNNNNNNNNNNNNNNNNNNNNNNNNNNNNNNNNNNNNNNNNNNNNNNNNNNNNNNNNNNNNNNNNNNNNNNNNNNNNNNNNNNNNNNNNNNNNNNNNNNNNNNNNNNNNNNNNNNNNNNNNNNNNNNNNNNNNNNNNNNNNNNNNNNNNNNNNNNNNNNNNNNNNNNNNNNNNNNNNNNNNNNNNNNNNNNNNNNNNNNNNNNNNNNNNNNNNNNNNNNNNNNNNNNNNNNNNNNNNNNNNNNNNNNNNNNNNNNNNNNNNNNNNNNNNNNNNNNNNNNNNNNNNNNNNNNNNNNNNNNNNNNNNNNNNNNNNNNNNNNNNNNNNNNNNNNNNNNNNNNNNNNNNNNNNNNNNNNNNNNNNNNNNNNNNNNNNNNNNNNNNNNNNNNNNNNNNNNNNNNNNNNNNNNNNNNNNNNNNNNNNNNNNNNNNNNNNNNNNNNNNNNNNNNNNNNNNNNNNNNNNNNNNNNNNNNNNNNNNNNNNNNNNNNNNNNNNNNNNNNNNNNNNNNNNNNNNNNNNNNNNNNNNNNNNNNNNNNNNNNNNNNNNNNNNNNNNNNNNNNNNNNNNNNNNNNNNNNNNNNNNNNNNNNNNNNNNNNNNNNNNNNNNNNNNNNNNNNNNNNNNNNNNNNNNNNNNNNNNNNNNNNNNNNNUAGCAUAUCAGGAAGACAAGUGGAAGAAAGCAAUGAAGGAGGAGAUCAAUUCCAUUCAGAAGAACAAUACAUGGGAACUGACAACACUUCCUGAAGGUCACAAUGCAAUCGGAGUAAAAUGGAUCUUCAAGACAAAGAAGAAUGCUGAAGGAGAAAUUGAAAAACAUAAAGCCAGAUUAGUUGCAAAAGGGUACAAGCAACAAUAUGGAGUAGAUUAUGAAGAUGUUUUUGCUCCAGUAGCAAGAAUUGAAACUGUGAGAUUGGUGAUUUCAUUGGCUGCUCAGAAACAAUGGAAGAUAUUUCAGAUGGACGUAAAAUCAGCAUUCUUGAAUGGCAAUCUUGAAGAGGAAGUAUAUGUUGAGCAACCAGCUGGCUUUGUAGUACAAGGAGAAGAAGAAAAGGUGUGCAGAUUGAAGAAAGCCCUUUACGGACUCAAACAAGCACCAAGAGCAUGGAACUCAAGAAUUGAUGGCUAUCUUUCUCAGAAGGGGUUUACAAAAUGCCCGUAUGAACAUGCAUUAUAUGUGAAGAAAAACUUGCAUGGUAGAAUAAUGUUUGUUUGUUUAUACGUGGAUGAUAUUCUGUUCACAGGGGAUGAUCCUACAAUGAUUCAAGAUUUCAAGCAAUCCAUGGUAAAGGAAUUUGAGAUGACAAACUUAGGUCUUCUAGCAUAUUUUCUGGGAUUAGAAGUGAAGCAAUGCAGUAAUGGAAUUUUCGUUUCUCAAGCCAAGUAUGCAACAGAAGUGUUAAAGAAAUUUGCUAUGGAAGAUUGUGAUCCAGCAGACAAUCCAGUUGAGUAUGGAACGAGGUUAACUAAAGAAGGAGAAGGAGAUUUAGUUAAUCCUACAUAUUACAAAAGUAUUGUGGGGUGUUUGCGUUAUCUAACUUGUACCAGACCAGACAUUCUGUUUGGAGUUGGUUUAGUUAGCAGAUACAUGGAGAGACCAAGGAGUUCACAUUUGAAGGCAGCAAAGAGGAUCCUUCGGUUUAUUAAAGGAACAUUAAACUAUGGAUUAUGUUAUUCAUCAUCACAGAAUUUCCAAAUCACAGGUUAUAGUGAUAGUGAUUGGGCAGGAAGCUUGGAAGACAGGAAAAGCACAACUGGAUUCAUAUUUUUCAUGGGAGAAACAGCAUUCACAUGGACAUCCAAGAAACAAUCUAUUGUUGCAUUAUCCACAUGUGAAGCAGAAUACAUUGCUGCUGCAUCAUGUGUGUGUCAUGCAAUAUGGCUAAGGAAAUUGAUGGAAGAUCUGCAACAGAAACAGAGUGAAGCCACAAAAAUUUUCGUUGAUAACAAGUCUGCUAUAGCUCUUGCAAAGAAUCCAGUGCAUCAUGAACGUUCAAAGCAUAUUGAUACUCGAUUUCAUUUUAUUAGAGAGCACAUAAAAGAAGGCGAUGUGGAGUUAGUUCAUGUCAACACUCAUGAACAGAUUGCUGAUAUUUUUACAAAGCCAUUGAAGACUGAAGUUUUUUGUUAUCUGCAGAAGAAGCUUGGAAUCGUGAAGAUUGAUGAAACAAGUUUAAGAGGGGUGAAUGUUAGUUAUUAAACUUAUUUAUCAAGAUUAGUAUUGAAGAGUUGCAUCUAUUAGUAUUAAAGAGUCAUAACUAUUAGUAUUGAAGAGUUGCAUCUAUUAGUAUUAAAGAGUCAUAACUAUUAGUAUUGAAGAGUUACAUGUAUUAGUAUUGAAGAGUCACAACUAUUAAUGUUUAUAUAUUGUAUGAAUCUCAUAAUGAAAAAGUGUGAGAGUACCAUUUUCAUAUGUAUUGUAUUCUACCAAAUUAGAGAGUGUGCAACCUAAAUCCUUUUCAAUUCUAUUCUCUAUUUCUGCCAAAUUUCCAACAUGAUGUUCACGUUACAAGCGUCCCAAGUUCUCCGGCAGCAAAUUUUCAAUAGUGCAGCUGUUAAGAGCAACGUCAUUACAAAGAAUAAUUGUAUGCUAGGCAUGGGAAACGAGCAGUCAAAUCGCUUAGAAAGCUUGAGAAUAUCCAUGAGGAAAGCAGGAGAUGAGGUCAAGGGAGCUUCUUUGGCUAGCGAUGCAUUCUUUCUUAUUGCUUGGAACGAUACAGUGGAGAAGGUAUGUGAAGUUAGCAUUGGUGUUGUUGCAGAGCAUGGUGGUAGCAUCAGGAAUAAGGACACCAUAAAAUGCUGCAACAAUAUACGAAAAAAAAAAGAAAAAAAAAAAGAGGGAGAGAGAGACCCCCAUGCAUACCUGCUAAGACUGGUGGAGGCUGUGCUGAUAGUAAAAGGAGAGGGAGGAGUCGUGCCAGUUAUAACAGAAAGAAAGGAAAUGCAGUGUUCUUUUAGUCGGAAAAACUGCAAAAGGUGAUGAAUAGAUACUAGUCUCGUGGUGAACUGCAGAAACCGCGAUGUUGAUUAUAAAGUUCUCAAUAUUCUUGAAGUCACGCAACAAAUCAUCUCGAUACUUCAAUAGGAGUGGUUAAUACAACUAAAUGUGGCGUGAUAUCAGCUGCUUUGAACCAGAUUUUGAGGAAAUGCAGAAAAUACAUUAGGGAACUCGGUGGCCAUAGAUGAUGAUGAUGAAAUGUGGUCUGAAUAAACACUUCCUUUACUAGUUGCUGGUGUUUUACUACGAGUGGAAGCUGCAACUAUAACUGCAAAUUGUCACUGCUUUUAAAGCUGAAGGAUUUGUUGACUCUGCGGCUACUGUUACAACAACUCCGUGGUAAUUCAAUGAGAAGAUGAAAGUGAGCCCAUACAAAAUAUUACGAUGAUCAUCAGGGGGGGCAGGUCUUGCUGAAGCAAAAUCUGCAAAGACACAAAUAAAAAAAAAGAUUAUUAGCAUCGUUUGAUCCUUGGAGGUUUGUGCCGGAUGGGACCAAGGAGAAGUUUGAUGGCAAUGGAUCUGAUGCAAUUGGAAUUAAGGGUCACAGCUCUGCUCCAGUCGACAUUGAUGGUCAAUAAAUCUGAUGCUAUUGACAUUGAUAAAGACUUGGUUGGUGAUGAAAAGGACAUUGAAAUAGCUGCAGUAAUGGUUUGGUUUCCAAUAAAGAAGAUCCCUUGAUGGAACAGUCCACCAUGGGAGUAUACUUGGCCAAUCACUUCAGACCUUCAAUGAGCUUUGGGAGGUUGGAUACCACCUAGCAGUGAACAGCCACACGCAUAAUCGAAGAUAUAUAGAGAUAGCAGCAAGAAUAGGGUGGGCACCUUCCUUCUCGUUUUUGCAGUUGUAAUAAAACAAAAAAUAAAUAAAUAAAGGGAGAUAUGCAUACCUGGACUGCUGGUGGAGGCUGCGUUGAAGGAACCAGGAUUAUUAAAACAACACAGAACGACCGCAACUUAUUGAAUGGAAAUAAUAUGGCUGAUUCCUUUGAGAAGUAGCAACCUGUUGGUGCUAAAGAAGAAGAGAAUGACGAACGCCUCCUAAGAUUGAUUGCCUGGCUUAUUGGAGGCCGAACUGUCUGUAAAAAAAUAGAAGGGACAGUAUGGUUUUUAUAGCCGCUUACUCUGAUGAGAGUACUCUUGCUUAAUUAACAUAAUCAAAAGCUAGCGAACUUUUCCUAGUUGAAGAAAAUUUUCCUAGUUCAAUUAAGCGAAGUCGGCUACCAGUACUGGAAAUUCUUUUGCUGCCUUAAUAAUUCAUUCACGUUGGACAAUUCAUUCAGGAAACAAAGGAUGCACAUGGUAAAGCCAAAAGAAAAGGAAACAACAAAUUUCCUAUACUGUUGAGAAGGAAUUAUAUAGGAAAGAGCAUUUGAACGGGAAUGAAGCAAAUAAUUCAUCAAACAAUGAGUGCACACAUAUCAAGAGAAGAAAGAGAAUAUGAAUCAAAAUCUUUAAUAUGUGAUAAUUCAUUAACCGCUACUCGGAAUCAUAAACGGAUUGCAUCAUUGGAUUCAGAACAACGAGAUCUUUAAAACAAGAUGUUACAGUGACCACGUCCAGUUAAAAACAAAAAAAAUUUCUGCAGCCUGGUCAAAGUGUUAGUUGCUAUUCGGGUAUAAAGAUAAAUUUUGUUUGUUCCUGAAUAUGCAACAGUUUGAAAUGAGGUAUUAGACCUGAAUAUUCUAUCAUUUGAUUUGAUAAAUCUCAAUCAAGAUUGAUCCAUAAAUUUUCAAUUUUGAUUAUCAUAUUUUAUUUUUACAAUAAAAUUUAUCUGCUUGUUGCGAAAAUCUAAUAUGAUCAAAUCAAAUUUUAGUCGNNNNNNNNNNNNNNNNNNNNNNNNNNNNNNNNNNNNNNNNNNNNNNNNNNNNNNNNNNNNNNNNNNNNNNNNNNNNNNNNNNNNNNNNNNNNNNNNNNNNGAUCAAUCAAUUUUAGUCGAAAUAUAAAACUUUCUCAGCUAUUUUUUUCGAGACAUGCCCACUUGUUUCUAAAGUAAGUGAACUUGUCUCGAGGGGGCAUCUGUAGAAACACAAAUUUUCUACCAGUCAAAUUUCGCCAUGUGUUAUUUUAUUCUUUAAAAGAAAGGAUAAAAUAAAAUUGAAAUAAAUGACAUGGAAAAUAAAUGAGCCUUCAUAUAUUUCUUGGCCAAUGAAAAGUUGACACUUGGGAUGAGAUAUUCAAGAUAUCUUGUCAUAAAUACAAGAUCCCAUCAGAUAUCUUGUCAUAAAUGCAAGAUCCCGUCAAUAAAUAUCAACCAAUAAAAUUAUGCCAUGUGGCAUUGGAAAAGGACCUGAGAGCCCUUACAGAUCUCUAUAAAUAGAGGGCCUCAACCUAAAGGAAGGGGGAUUCCGGGAGAUACAAAUUUCCUUCAAGACAAGCUCUGCAAACAAGGAAGCUCUCGCUCUCUCUCUCUCUUCAAGCAAGGAAGCUCUCUCAAAGAGUUCUCAAGCCUCCUUCAUCUACGCUUGAAGUCUACAAAGAACGAAGCUCUGUUGGAUCAAGCCUAAACGCCCCAUAAGAGUUCUUCAACAACACUUUGAAGACAAAUCAAAGGUACUCUUCAAAGCAUCAAAUUACCAAAUCUCGCUAAGCUCUGUUGGAUCAAGCCUAAACGCCCCAUAAGAGUUCUUCAGCAACACUUUGAAGACGAAUCAAAGGUACUCUUCAAAGCAUCAAAUCACCAAAUCUCGCUUCGUAAUACACGCCCAAAUUCGCGUUCUUGCAAAGCACAAAUCUUGGCUUGAUUACUCAAAUAAAUCAAGUCACCAUACAUCAAAUCCAAGGGAAGAAUCAGAGGAUUGUCUUGUUCUUUUGAAAGAAUAUAUUACGUAGAGAUUGUACCCAUUCAUAUAUUUAAUAAAAUCAUAUAUUUGUACACGCGUGCUUGUUUAAUUUCAGGUGCUCAAAAUUGUGUCUACACUAGGUAUCAUUUCAUUACAAUAAUUAAUCUCUUACUUCUUAAGCCCUGCAUCAAGAGACAGGGAAUGACACAGUUAGACAACUCCUUUUAAAUUUAGUGGAUGGCUAAAGGAUUUAUCUCCACUUAUCAAUUACUUCAGUUUCAGAAAUGUGGAGGAAGAAAUCACAAUGUAUUGAAGUUGACAACCAGAAGCCCAAAAGAAAACAAUUUUGACGAAUACCCACCAAACAGUUGAAGUGCUGCUGUAACUGAGAUUUUUUAUUAUAUGUAUUUUUUGUGGUCCAAUGGAAAAAUAUUUUUAUUUUCUUUUAUUUUAUCAGCUUAAUUUCGCAUGUGGAAUAUUGAGUUUUCUGUUGUUUUUUCAGACACAGAAUUGAAUCCUUUAUACAUUCUUAAAACCAAAUUUGAAUUCUAAGUUCCUAAAUGAAGGAAUAAUAAAGAUUGUUGCAUGUACAAAUUCUCCUUAAAAAAUUAAAAAAUAAUAAAGUAUUUAUUAAAAUUAAUUAUAACUUAGCCCUGUAAUUUAUUAAAAUUAAUUAUUUAGUCUUUAAGUAUCAUGGAUAAUUAAAAAAUCUAUUAACUAGUGUUGACCACCCUCCAUUUACUAUAUUUUUCUCUUAAAAUGCCUUCCUUCCUAAUGAAAUUUCCCCAAUGCUUUCUUUUCUUAUCUAUUUUUUCAGAUGAGAAAACUUAAAUGCAUAGGUUUUUUUGCAAUGAANNNNNNNNNNNNNNNNNNNNNNNNNNNNNNNNNNNNNNNNNNNNNNNNNNNNNNNNNNNNNNNNNNNNNNNNNNNNNNNNNNNNNNNNNNNNNNNNNNNNNNNNNNNNNNNNNNNNNNNNNNNNNNNNNNNNNNNNNNNNNNNNNNNNNNNNNNNNNNNNNNNNNNNNNNNNNNNNNNNNNNNNNNNNNNNNNNNNNNNNNNNNNNNNNNNNNNNNNNNNNNNNNNNNNNNNNNNNNNNNNNNNNNNNNNNNNNNNNNNNNNNNNNNNNNNNNNNNNNNNNNNNNNNNNNNNNNNNNNNNNNNNNNNNNNNNNNNNNNNNNNNNNNNNNNNNNNNNNNNNNNNNNNNNNNNNNNNNNNNNNNNNNNNNNNNNNNNNNNNNNNNNNNNNNNNNNNNNNNNNNNNNNNNNNNNNNNNNNNNNNNNNNNNNNNNNNNNNNNNNNNNNNNNNNNNNNNNNNNNNNNNNNNNNNNNNNNNNNNNNNNNNNNNNNNNNNNNNNNNNNNNNNNNNNNNNNNNNNNNNNNNNNNNNNNNNNNNNNNNNNNNNNNNNNNNNNNNNNNNNNNNNNNNNNNNNNNNNNNNNNNNNNNNNNNNNNNNNNNNNNNNNNNNNNNNNNNNNNNNNNNNNNNNNNNNNNNNNNNNNNNNNNNNNNNNNNNNNNNNNNNNNNNNNNNNNNNNNNNNNNNNNNNNNNNNNNNNNNNNNNNNNNNNNNNNNNNNNNNNNNNNNNNNNNNNNNNNNNNNNNNNNNNNNNNNNNNNNNNNNNNNNNNNNNNNNNNNNNNNNNNNNNNNNNNNNNNNNNNNNNNNNNNNNNNNNNNNNNNNNNNNNNNNNNNNNNNNNNNNNNNNNNNNNNNNNNNNNNNNNNNNNNNNNNNNNNNNNNNNNNNNNNNNNNNNNNNNNNNNNNNNNNNNNNNNNNNNNNNNNNNNNNNNNNNNNNNNNNNNNNNNNNNNNNNNNNNNNNNNNNNNNNNNNNNNNNNNNNNNNNNNNNNNNNNNNNNNNNNNNNNNNNNNNNNNNNNNNNNNNNNNNNNNNNNNNNNNNNNNNNNNNNNNNNNNNNNNNNNNNNNNNNNNNNNNNNNNNNNNNNNNNNNNNNNNNNNNNNNNNNNNNNNNNNNNNNNNNNNNNNNNNNNNNNNNNNNNNNNNNNNNNNNNNNNNNNNNNNNNNNNNNNNNNNNNNNNNNNNNNNNNNNNNNNNNNNNNNNNNNNNNNNNNNNNNNNNNNNNNNNNNNNNNNNNNNNNNNNNNNNNNNNNNNNNNNNNNNNNNNNNNNNNNNNNNNNNNNNNNNNNNNNNNNNNNNNNNNNNNNNNNNNNNNNNNNNNNNNNNNNNNAUUAUAGUUCAAAGCUACCAGAUUAGGCAUAUAGCUUAUGAAGGGUUUGUAAGCAGCAAACAAUUAAAAUUAGAAAUCAGAGGAACAUUUAGAGGAUAGAAUAUUUAGAAUCUCUAGCAAUAGCCAGCAAUGUAUCUGCUCGAAAAAACCAUUAAACAUGAGAUUGUUCUGCUAGAAAAACAUGAGAUUGCUCUGCUAUUUGAUAUCAGUUUCAAACUUCUGAACAAAUAAUACAGCAUCAAGUCUCAGUCAUCACAUGCCCAUACAAAAACAUUUAUUCCAGAUCUCAAGCUGCAUUGCCAAGCCCGUUUCCAAAACCACAUAAGCAUAUGCAAUAGAAACAGAGCAUCAAACUGACUGAGAAAGCAUGAGAAUGAAAAUCCACACAUUAAACAAGAGUAAACAUUAUGCCUUUAUUUUUGAAAGGUUCACACACUUCAAAACAAACACGAAUGGGCAAGCAACAUUCGCCCUUACUUCUGGAGGCUUGUACGAUAAUGGGCAAGCAACAUUAUUUUUUUGAGGUUCGCACAGUAAUGACUAAACACACAACAUUACAUUACAUGGGUAAACAAGCAGAUAACCUUAUUCACACAUAUAUAGAUAAGUCGUUAUCUUCUUUUGAAAUCACACAUAGCAGAUAACCAAACGAGGGAAUAAGAAAUCACAGCAUCCGAAACUGAAGCAGACAAUACUUGAUAAUUGUUUUAGCGACAGCUUCUUUAGAUUAGGAAGCACCAUCUCCUUCUCAACGUUGACAGGUGAUACAUGAUCAUCCUGCCCAAACACUCCCAAUAAUUGAGAGGCUUUUGUUACUCUAAGUAUUUGGAGCUAUGAGAGACCUGAAGCCAUGGUAACUGGGAAGAGGCUCUUCAACAUGUUACAUUCUCCAAUCUCAAUUUCACACAAAUUGGGAAUGCAUAAAGAUUGGAGAUGAUCUCCUAACAAUAUCUGGUCGUUUUCAUCAUCAUCCUUAGCAAUGAUUCGCUUGAAUUCCUCACAGGACAGUAUCUUUAGAACUUUCAGUUGAACUAGACUGACAAUCAUGCUGCAUGUGAAUACCAGUGUCAGUCUCUUACACUCAACCACCUCCAAAGUAGUCAAUUUGCUCAGCACGAGACCCUUCCAUAUACACCUCAUGUCAGGCAGGGAUUCCAAGCAUAAUUUUUCCAAAUUUGUCAACCCCUGCAUCAAAAGAAAACAAGGAUACCAAUUUGUUAGAUAUAAUUCCUAAUAAAUUUUGUGCACUUUGGAACUAUAUAAUUUUGGUAAAUAGAUGAACGAAUUGUCCCCACUAGUUAAGCCAAAAACUUAUCAACAACAGGAUAUGAGUAGACAUGGCAAUAGGGCAUGAAAAGUUGCAGGACUGAAACAAACAUUGGAGAAAUAUAAAGGACGUACUUGGAGCUGCGCAAACAAAUUUCCCAAUUCUUUGUGGCCAUCAAUGUUUAGAAUUUGCAAAGAAGGCAAUUGAGCAGCAAAAUUCUUUGGACCAAAAAAGCUGCAAUUUGAAAGAGACAAUCCUCUUAGCUUAGGGAACUUGAUGAUUCCAUCUCUGGUGAGUGCAUCUCCUUCUCCAGUGUAAAAUUACAUUGUCAGCAAAAUCAAUCUCCAUCUCUUCCAGGUUCAGAAGACUUCGAGACACAGAGACAGGGAAGGCAUAUUCCAGUUUACCACAGUAACUUAUAGAGAGACUUCUUAAUUUUGGGAAGCAAAGUCACUCUGUAGUUAUUUCCCUUGCAUCAUCCUUUUCUCUGAUAAGAUGCUUCAAUUCACCGCAACUACCUAUGUUAAGGCUUUCUAGCUUUGGCAGACUUUGAGCGAGGGACAGUGUGAAGAUAAAUAUCAGUUUGUUGAGAGAAAUCAAAUUCAGAUCAGCAAGAUUUUGGAGGCUGACAUGAUUGGCGGGCCCCUUCCAUAUACAUUUGAGCUCAGGUAACUUGAUCAGCUCUAACUCUGUUAAAGAUGACAACUCCUUCUCCUCACUGCUUCCUUCAUCAACGUCACCCAAUUCAAAUACCUCUUCCAAUGAUUUGCAGUCGCAAAUGUGCACACUCCUUAGAAUACUUGUCUCAUAUUUGUCUCAUAGGUGAGUUAGUUAAUGUACGUUGAUUGAGCAGAACGUAGUGGGUUCAAACUAUACUAGGAAUAAUAUUAUGUUUUUUCAAAUUACUAGCAAAGGCGUGUGGGCUUGUUUAAGGCUCACAUGCACGUGCCUGAGUUUUGUUGUCAUAGGACGAGUCAUUAGUUCGGUUUUUUUUUUUUUAUUAGUCAUUUUAGUUUUUAUUUUUAAUUUUUUUAAUAUAUUUUUUGAAUUUUAUUCUUUAGCAUUGAGUUUUUUUAUUAAAUUAUAUUUUUUAAUAUUGAGUUAAUGAUAAAUUAGUUUUUAUAUUUUUUAUCAUGUAAUAAAAUAAAAAAAAUUAAUUUAACUCAAUAUAAUUUAUAAUUCGAGUGGGUUGAGUAGAGUUAACGUGAACUAUUUUAUUUUUUUUAUUUUUAGAUAAGUAAAAGGCAAAUUAAAAAAACAAAGUAAUCUCAUCUUUUAGUACGGUGGUCCAAGAUGCACCAUGAUAUGGUUGUAGUUUAUUUGCCUUUUCCUUUUAAAAAUGUUGUCUCCUUUGUAAGGAAUCCUUGGUUCCCAACAGCAAUUGUAGCAGAGUUGAAGGUUGCGUAAAACAAUUCUCUAAACUCCACCAAAAGUAGUGGAGCGUUAGAAUUUUUAAAAGACAAAACGGGGACAAGUGGGAGACGAAGAAAAAGACAAAAGUAAUUUAAUCUUGAUGUGGUGAUCCAAGAUACACCAUGAUAUGGUGUUCUUCCAAGAAGUCUAAGAUACACCGUCGUAUUGUUUCAUAUAUAUUUAUAUAUAUGACAAUAAUAAAAAAAACCGUUUAAACAACUCUGAAAACAAAAAAUUUUAUAAUUUAUAAUUUAUAAAACAUGCGAUAAAAUAAGUCAUAGUGAAUGUUUUCAUUUGGCAUUUAAUUCCAUGAACAUGACCUUAUUCUUUGAUCAAAUUGCUGCGAUUCUCGAAACUAAAUUGAAUGUUACUGACUAGCUAUUGUUUCUCAUUGGCAAGAAUCAUUGCCAAUUAUCAUAACAUGUUAGUGAUUUAUUAGAACUAGUUCUAGUAUCUCCUAUCUCACUCACCAAAUAUCAUUAUUUUAUUCAUAGCCAUAUGAGAGUUAUUAUCCAACCAUUUUCAAAUCCAUUCAAAACCUUGGUAAAUCAAUUUAUAAAACAUUCUUACUUAUAAAAACUUGUAGGUCUAGUGUUACCAAUCCUUACCAAUCCUUAUCUUGAGCUUAUACCUAUUCCAUUGAUCCAUAAAUAUAUUUACUAAGCCAUCAACAUAAUUUGUUUGGGGCAAAUCCUCGUCUAGUUAUAACAGACUUAUACCUAACUGCUUAGAAUCACUAGUUAUUGUAGGAUUGACUACAUCAAAAUUGAUUAGUUUUUUGUUUUCAAAGAGAUUUAAACUUUUGAUGCAAACGAAAGCUAAAAACACAAUAAUCAAAGAAAACAAAAAAAAAAAUAUAAGCAAAAGGGACUAUAGAUGUAAACCCUCAAAUUCACAACUUUAUUUUCUCUAAAAUAAUAAUAAUGAAGUUUGUUUUCUUAGAAGGUUUACAAAUCCUUAAAUAUGUUAGGAACCUUACCUCCACUAGGAAACAAAAAAAAAAUACAAAAUUACAAAGAAAAGAAGCAUAAAAUCCAAAACAAGCAAGAAAUAAAAAAAAUAACAAGGAAAAUCACAGAAACUAUCAAAACUAUAGGCCUAAACAAGAUUUUUGAUAUCUAAAGAUUUGAUGGUCCACGUAAAAAUUUGAGCAUGAUCCAAUAGUCGAAUAAGAAAUUAUAACUCUUUUGAGCUGUUAUUCUAGUCUGACGUAUCUUUUUCUCUUUUUUUCACUAUAAAUGGAGUUUGACCAUCAUUGUCAUAUAGUUUGACUUAGUUGUAUCGUUUUUAAUCAGAUCAACUUUAUAUAUUAUGAGUUUACAUUUACUAAUUUUAAAAAAAUGCUCACAAGUCCAUUGUUCACACCUCAAAUUCAUAACAGCAGCGAUUCGUAGGCAACGAAACCAGUUAGAGACUAGAGAGUAAACAUGCUAUUAAAGUUAGCAAGUAAGGGUUUAGAUUAGAUUAUUUGUUGUCUUGUUUCAAAUAUUAGAGCAGUCUCAACUCAUUAAAUAAACAAGUGGUGCAUUGAUCCUUGGACUCAAAUCAUAUAUACACGGUGAGCUCAUUUGUGUUUUUAUUUUUUGUCCCUCCCUGUACUUGUAGCAGAAGAGAAGCUGCUCUCAUCUUUGAAGGAAUGCAAACAAUUGUUAAUAUGAAACAUAUUAUGUACAAAUUAUAAUAUUUGUAAGAAGCCGUUUUGCUGCCCACCGGCGGCCAUCUGAUCAGAGAACAAUAUUAUAUUUUUUAAACCCUUCACUCUCAUAAAAACAAUUUAUAUGAUUUUAAAUAGGAAAAAAUAGAAAAAAUAGGAUUAAAUAUUUUUUAGAAAUUACAUAUUACUGUUUUAGUUUUUUUUCUUAAUUAGAGGCAAGUUCAAUAAAAGUAGUAAUAAUUAUAUUUUUGUGAAAAAAGGUUACUACAACUCCUAAUAAUUAGUUUCGUGUAAAAAAUAAAAAUAAAAAUAGUAAUAGGUUAACAAAAUUUUAAAGAUAUUUUAAUUCAAUUAAGUAUUUCAACACAAAAUUUAUGUUCUUAUACAGUUAUAUAUUAAUUCUAAUAAAAUAAAUAUGAUUUCUAUGUUUAAAUUUUGGUAUUAAUAACGCAUACAACAAUGAGGCAGUUAAGUUUCUUAGAUAAAAUAAAAUCAUUUUAAAAAUAAAAAUAAGCUAGUAUGUUUGUUACAUAAUGAAGAAAAUUUAAUUUUUCUUCAAAUUAAUUUUUUUAAAUCGUUUUAAUAUGGUGGUAUCGAAACUAAAUUUAAAAAAAAAAUAUUAUGAAAAGCAAUUGUUAAUAUUUGUUAAAACAUUAUUGUUAAUAUUUCUAGUCGGUUGCUAUAUAUAUAAUGGCAUGUAAUUGGAAUAAUAUAUGUUAACUUGUACACAACUUAAUAAAUUAAUGAGAAAACUAAAGUAGCCGGUCAUGUCGGCGCAAUGGACCUCAAUACAAGUUGACAACAUUUUAAGUGGAGUUUUGCAUAUUUUUGAAAGUUUUUUUAUGCAUUUUAAUUUAGCCAAACCUUAAAAUAGAAUCACACCCUAAUCCAAAACAAUACACACUCCAACAAUGUCACAUGUUUCUAUUACAAAGUUUCCAUAUGUACAAGUAAUCCCCUGAAAUUAUGAAGAUGGUUCAACAAGAUGAUUCAAUACCGCAAUUGUGAUUUUUGAUGCAUAGCCGUAAUGCCUCAUAUUUUUAACGAACCAUAUAUAACACCUCAUUUUAAAAAGGGGAUUAUUAUUAUUAUUAUUAUUAUUAUAAUAAUGUUGUCUGCAUAUAUAUAAUUAACUGCCUUAAAAAGGGGAUUAGUAUUACAUCACUUUACGUGCAUUAUAGCUUUUAACUCUUAUAUUCAAAUUAUUAGAUCAGUGUAUGCGCACAACAUUUGAUAUUUUUAACCACACGCAUACAUGAAAUAAAACCAAUGGAAACAUGACACAAAUGUCAACUGCAACUACAACCUGAUCAAAUAUUUUAUGUUUUUUUUUUGAAAUAUUGUUAUAGACAUAGAAUCAACGAGAUUAUGUGACAUUCUAUAUUGAUUUUGUGAUAUUUUAAUCACUAAAAGUAUGGGUUUCAGAAAAAUAAAAACCAAACAAAAAAUUAAAAAAAAUUAAAAUUUUUCAAACCAACCCAAUCCAGCAUAUCGAUCGGUUUUGUUCUAGUUUGGUUCAGAUAUUUUUUAGCUGAAACAAUUAAUAACCAUUUUCAAAAAGUAACUAACUAUUGACAAGUCUUUCAUCGAAACCAUGUUCAAAUCAGGUUCAGGUUGCUAACUCAAACUAACACAAUCCAAAUAUGAAUGCACAUAGACUCUGGGUUGGUUCUUUAUUGAUUUUCAGAAAUGUCAAACUGAAACCGAACCGAAAUAAAUGAAUAUUUCUAACUGAAACGCUUCAAAUACUGAAAAAAUGAUCGGUUUUGUUCAUGUUUAGUUUGGUUUGGUUUGGUUAUAGAGAUACCCCUGACAAUCCGCUUCUUCACUCAACCUCAAACAAUAAGCACUAUUAUUGUGUCUUUAAGUGAAUUACUAUAAAUAUAAAAAUAUAUGUGGAUAAUUGAAAAUUUGCUUAGAGUUGCUAAUAAUUCACAACUGCAACAACCAACACGACCAGGUAAUGCCCGGGAAUGGGUCUUUGGUGCACAAUCAUGACUGUAACCAUGAUUUAAAAUCAUUUCCACACCAUCCAAGACAAUUGGUAUUGGAUUGUUAGCAACAAUUCAGUUUAUAAUAAUAAUAAUAAUAAUGUUGAUUCUUUUAUCUCCUACUUAAUGCAAGUGUCCAUCGUGUGCUGAAAUUGAUUGUUUACCUCAUAUUUCUUUUAAAGGUAGAGAUUUCUUGGUUGACAAUGGGAAAAGGUAAUCGCAUGGUUAUUUUCCAUAAGAUUCAUUUGAGUAAAUAUUCUCUAUUAGAGGUCAAUUUCAUCGAAGCAAUUACUUCAAUGAACACUUCCUAAUUACCAACCUCUAAGUAGUCAUCUCCCUUAUCCUAACUUUUUAUUUCCUAAUAAAAUCUCACGGUUUUUCAUCAUGUUCAAAGGAAAAGUUGACCUUGCAAAUGGUGCUCUAAGGAACCAAGUAAUCCUAGAACUAAUCUCAUCAACUCCUUGUUGCACAAACAGCUUGUCUCACUUAAAGGGGAUUUUAAUGAUGAACAAACACCAACUCCUUGUUGCUCAAAUACAUAUGCUCAUUUAAACACAAUUUUGCAUUACCUAGAACUGACAAGGCCUAAAAUUCCUGACAUAGAAUUUUGUUUUAAAGGAACUUCAGGAUUUCUAUAUAGGAUGCUUGGCCUCAUUAAAGACAAACUGAGGACAUCCAUAACAUAAAUUAUCUUCCUUGCCCCAAAGUCAGCACAGAAAAACCCUGUUCACUAUAAAGGUUCUGAAUGUUUUUCCUAAAUUUCAUGAGCUGGCAUUCAACACAUCAAACUCCCAAUUUAGCAUUCUUAUACAAACUACAACUGCAGAAGGCUUGUACAUGUAGGGGAGGUAGGAAGAGCUGCAAAGUUGUCGCAUCUAUUGUUAUGCUGUUCAGAGUUUCUAUCUCUAUCAUCCAAUCUGCCAAAAAUAUAAAAGAUCAUGUGCAUGAAUUUGAUCUCAUCAUAUGCCUACGGGAGAUACAUGACCAGUGAUGGUUGUUCUAUGCACAAAAUUAGCUAACAUAUGACUAUUUUAUUCAACUACCAUUUCACGAUAUGAGUUCUCCUAGCCACACUCAAAAGCCCUAGCCGCUAUAUGAACAAAGCACCUAAAAAAUUAAUCACCUACCUAAUCUAAUUCAGGAAAAUUUGGUCAAAAUCUCCUACAAUGAAACGAGUUAUUUGAAUGCAUAGACAGGAAAUUCAGGUAAACACACACCCACACACACACACACACACACACCUGAUCAUAAAUUUCCUAAAGAAAUUCUGAAUUGUAACAUUGGUAAACAAAGAGUGACAAUAUCAUCACAUUAAAAAUGCAUUUCACUCAAAACAAUUAAUAGCUCAAGAAAAAAUUUUGCAAGAAGCCAAUAGAGAAUAAAGUAAGCAGUCCAUAAACAAGAGACAGAGAGACAUUGUUCCAAUAGAGAAAAGUAAUUAAAACCCAACAACUAAAACUGAGAAAGAAUCAAACCAGUGAGUAACUAAUCCUUUUAAAGCAUUCCAAGAAUGGCAACCAAAUAUAACAUAAUCAACCUGCAAAAACAAACACAAAAAGAAUUAGAAGAAGAAACCCCAUUAGUUAAUAAGUUAAAACAGCAGCAGCAGCAAAAAGACUCAAAUUUUAGUUAUUUGGACUUGAGAAAAAGCACUGAACCCUCUGUGAAAAUGCCAUGAAAGGGGUGCUAAGAAACCAGGAAAAUAAAAACUUUUAAAAGGGUGUUUUUACAAAGCAAGAAAGAAGCUAGGAAGCAAGCCAGCCUACGCUCACGAACUCUGUUUGUUAAUUGUUUUUUCUCCUGUGAAGUGAAAACAAAAAAAGAAAAAGAGAAACAAAAACAAAGAGCACCCAGAAAAUCUAGUCAGAAAUAUUUUAUGUUGUUGUCUUGGAUAGACGCAGAUACCGAGGAACAGUGUGGGGCCACCUUUGGUGAGCAGUGAUACAGUGGCAAGUAUGUGAAAUAACGCAUAUUACAGUGCGCAAUGAUAGAGUGAGUCUGGGUGGACAAACUUUUGGUGGUACACGUGGUGCUUAAUGAUUAGAAGUUACAUGAGGGAAAUAAGAUGGAAAAGGUGGCCUCUCUAGAUUUUGGAAAUGUUCUCUGAAGAAAGAAAGAAAAUAAUUUCAAAGGUGGACAAAAAUGGGGUAAUAUCAGAUUUGGAACAUAAUCUUGGUUGGUGAAGAAUAACAUAAUCUAAGGAGAAAUCUAGGGCAAGCCCAGUGAGAUUUGAGCUUAGAUUUUGGAUCAAUUUAUAGGUGGAUGAUACCAUCAUGAAUAAUGUCCAGCUGAUAAAGGUUUAGUUACUUGCAAUUCUAUCAUAAAGUUAUCAGAUUCUGUGUGUGUGAGGCUGCCAUAUGUUUCUUUCUUCUAUGAUGGAUAAAAAACGCUAAGCAAUGAACUAUUUUGUCCACCUAGUAAAAAAGGUAUUAUGGUUAUGAUGAGAACUCUACAACCUGCCAUUUUAUUUUUGAAGGUAUUCUUAUUAUAUUUAUAAUUAUAAGAAUCUUUAAAAGAUACACGGAUAAAAUAUUAUUCUCACGUUAUUAUUCACUGGUGUUAUAAGCUUAAAUUAAUAGAUAAUUAAGUAAAUUUGUUGAGGAAAAGCAAAAUUUAAAUAUAGAUAACCAAAGUGGAAAAAAAAAAGCACAAAAAAAGGUGGUAGUUACAAGAUUGAAGUAAAAAAUUCACUUUGAUUCUCAUACUUUUCAAAUAAUGACUUUUUGGUCUCUUAAGUUUUUCUACAUUUUAUUUUUUAUCCACAACUUCAUUUUUCUAUUUUCUCAUUCCCUAAUUUGAUAGAGGAGACAAAAAGUCAUUGAAUUACAAUGUUAGAGAGAAUCUCUAUGACAACCUCAACAUUUGUAUUAAAACAAAGAGCAAGGACAUGACGAUUCAAAUAAGAUUAGAGAUUUUUUUUUUGUAAUUAAUAAAAAAUUUGGCAGAAUUUCCUCCAUAUUUUUAGGUAUUUAGUUAUCGACUUUUCAUCCACAAUCCCCAAUUAUCAAAUUUCUUAUCCUAUCAUCCAGGACUUCCUCCUCUCAUUAUAUCACAACUUCUCAAUAAUCAAAUUCACAUCUGUCUAAACAAUUCAAUAUCCCACAUUUACAUGGAUGUAAUCCAAAGAAUUAUUCUACAAAUUAUAACUGAAAUACAUUACACAAUUCAAAAAUUAACAAAUAAGGACCAUUAACUAAAUUAUAAUCGAAAUAAGUACAUAAUUAAAGAAGAAAUUCAUAAUUAAGAUUAUACUACACAAAAAGGCUUUCGAUAAACUGUUGACGCAUUAUAUUACAUAACAAAAUGAUAAAUUCAUUCAUUACAAAAAGAUACCAAACAAAAUAUAAGAAAACUAAUCUAUUAUUCAGUAUGAUAGGGGGAUAUACCUGAAAAUUGAUUUAAUACAAUAAUUUGAUUAGAUAGAUGAAGAAAAGAUAUCCAUAAAAUUCUUUCUACUUUCUUUUUUUUUUCCUUUUUUUUUAAAAAAAAUUUAGUUAAAAGAUCUUUAAAUUAACUUGCUCAUCUAGUAUUAUAUAUAAAAUAAUUUGAUUAGACAAGUGAAGGCUUGUACACGCAGGGGAGAGGUAGGAAAAGCUGCAAAAGUUGUCGCAUCUAUUGUUAUGCUGUUUAGAGUUUCUAUCUCAGCAUCCAAUCUACCAAAAAUAUAAAAGAUCAUGUGGAGGAAUUUGAUCUCAACGGGGCAGCACCUCAUAUGCCUACGGGAGAUACAUGACCAGUGAUGGUUGUUCUAUCCACAAAAUUAGCUAACAUAUGACUAUUUUAUUCAACUACCAUUUCAGAAUAUGAGUUCUCCUAGCCACACUCAAAAGCCCUAGCCGUUAUAUGAACAAAGCACCUAGAAAAUUAAUCACCUACCUAAUCCAAUUCAGGAAAAUUUGGUCGAAAUCUCCUAUAAUGAAACGAGUUAAUUGAAUGUGAGAGUUCGAUAAAAGAUUGGUUCUGCAAGGAAAAAAAACAUUACUCUUAAUACACCUUACUUAAGGUAUGUUACAUUAGUAUUUAAUUAUAUUUUUAGGUCAUGUUUCUAUUCUCUGGUCAUUUCUAAGGUCUAAAGUAGAUCUUCUUUCAUGAUAGAGUCUCUAUUUUAUUGGGUGAAAUCCUAACCAUUCUAAAGUCUAAAUUAUAGCAUCACAUUUAUUUCCAAAAUACAACUAAUUCCUAACAUUUCGAACAUAAGGAUUGUUAUGGUUUUUUUGUAUUUUGAUCAAACCCUAAUAGAUAAUCAUAAACUGAUUAUGAUAUUUAUUUUUGCAUUUUUAAAAUAUGAGAAAGAUAUAAUUUUUAUUUUUAUAUGAAAAUACAUGUGAAAAACUUUUUAAGAUUUGAUCGUAUGUAAAACAAAACAUUUUUUGAAGUGAAAAUUUAUUUUUUGAAUUUUCAAUUUAUUUUUUAUUUUUUAAUCUUUUUAAGAUUUCAGAGAAAACCGGCUAUUUUGAUCAAGUUUAAUUUAGUUCUUUGAUUUUUUUAAUUCUCUCAAUUACACCUUGAUUGAUUUCAAACUUUUAAUUUUAUGCAAUUUCAUCCUUGAAAAACUUCAAUAUCAACCAUAGAUUUCAACCUAUUUUUCACAUUAAUCCUUGGUUUCAGAUUUAUACAAGUUGACCCUCAAGAGACCAUUAAACUUUAAAUUUUCUUUAAUUUUAUCCCUGAUUUUAAUCAAUUGGGUUCUUAUAGUUCGUUGUCAUUUACAAAUUGGUCAUUGGUUGUGAAUUUCUUCAACUUAACCAUUAACUGACCACAAAACUUUGAUUUUCUUGCGAUUUUACCAACGAUUUCAAUCAAUUGACUUGGUAAAAAUUAAAUUUAGUCUCCUAAUAUUUCAACCUUGUCAAUUAAGCUGAAAUUGGGCUCCAAAACUUAAUGUUUCACCAAUUAAGCCCCUAAUAAAAUUAAUUUGACUCAUUUAAAGUAUAAUUAAGUCCUUGCACCUAAUUAAAUCCAUUAAUUGGACCCAAAUUAACUCUUAAACAUAAUUAAAUCUCAAUUUGGCCUAUUAAAAUCUUAUGUCUUUAGGCUUGAUUUUUAAGUAGAUUCGUCUAAUAAUCAUUUAAUUUGUCCUUGAAUCUACAUUGUCUCCUUAGUUUUGGGUGUAAUGGGGUACAUUUAGGCUCCUAAUCCCAUCCAAAGUUGUAGCUUAAUUUGAAAUCCUCACAACUUGCUUUUGUUAAAAUGUCAGUCCUUAUUUUAUUUAUUCUAUUUUUUUAUUUUGAAAAGAAAAGAGAUGAAUUUGAGGAAUAACCCAGAAUUGAGUUAUGACAAUGAGAACUCUACAUUCUGUGAUUUUAUUUUUGAAGAUAUUUUUAUUCAUUUAUAAUUAUAACUUUAAAAGGUGUGGGUAAAAUAUUAUUCUCACACCACUGUUCACUUGGCGUUGUGGAUUGCCACAAUGUUUUUUUUCAUCCUGUUUUUAUAGAUCUAAAUUGAUAGAUAAUUUGAGUAAAUUUGUUAAGGAAGAGCAAAAUUUAAACACAAAUAACCAAAGUGAAAGAAAAAAGCAUAAAAAAGGGUGGUAGUUUUAAGAUUGAAGUCAAAAGUUCACUUUAGUCCUCCUACUUUGUAAAUAAUGACUUCUUGGUCCCUUAAGUUUUUCCACAUUUUAUUUUUGGUCCACAACUUUGUUUCUUGAUUUUUUUUUCGUUCCUUAGUUUGAGAGAGGAGACAGAAAGUCAUUGGAUUAUAAUGUUAGAGAGAGUCUCGGUUGACACUGAUUUUCACAACAAAAACAGUCGAUUUUGGUCUUAAUAGGUUCCAUUUGAUAAAGAGAGUUCUAUUGAGGUGUUUUUUGCUCUUGAAAUUCCCAAAACUUUUAUGAUUUUUUGGGCAAAUUUAUUGGUUUAUUUACAUCAUAAGGACCAUUUUUAGAUGUUUUGGUGUGAACUUUGUUUAAAUUUGCAUUUUUAGGUAAAAAAACACCCUACAUGAUUUUCAUGCCACCCCUCUAAUAGUCGAGAACUUAAAAGUCCCAGUAGGUGACAUGUUUCCCUUUAUCUUUUUUCAAAAACAUUUGGCAUUUUCAAAUAACAAAAUAAGGCUCACGUGAGCUAGCCCUUUUUAAAAUGGGCUUGAUGUGCGAGCUUGACUUGAUAGACCUAAAAACACCUAACCUAUUUCUUUAUUUUUUCUAAUUAUGUUUUUUAAUUGAUAUUUUUAUAUGUACUUUUUAAUGAAUUUUUGAAUUUAUCUUUCUAAAUUUUUUGAUAGUUUAUUUAGUCUUUUUUAAAUAGUGGUUAUCUUUUACUUAUCUUUUAUGUGUUUAAUAUCUCGAAGAAAUUAUUCCAAUUCAUUUAUAAUUUUUUUAUGUUUUAUAUAAAUAAACUUUAUUUUCAUGAUGUGUUUAUAAAUAUAAGAAUUAUUUGUUCUUGGUAAGAAAAAAUGAUCUUUAAGAAAAAGAAGAAGAAGAAGAAGAAGAAAAGUGUGCAUUAAGGGAAAAGUUGAGGUUAAAUAUUAUAUUUAUCUAUCUUUUACUUUUUUAUGAAAAUGAUUAUCAUUUUAUUUUAUAAUUUUAUUGGCAUUAAUAACUCUUUAUUUGUUUAUUAGUUCAUAUUUUUUUAAGAUUUAUUUUGUUUCACAUUUCUCAAUGAAGAGAAUCAUGAUACAAUGAAAUGCAUUUGAAACACUGUCCUAUUUUUCUACUACAUUAAAAAUUAACUUCCUACAUGUGGCGCGUUGCAUUGACGAUUGUUUUUGUAUUUAUUAAUAUAUAUGAUCCCCAGUUUAUUUUAUUAUAUGUAAAUAUCAAUUUUUUUAUUCACAAUUAUAUUUUUUUCUCUCAAUAUCAAAAAAUACAUUAACAACACUUAUACAUCCAUUCUUUUGUGUUGGAAAAUGUUAUCUGACCCAUAGCAAAGCGAGUUAAAUAAACACGUCAAUACCUUUUUUUGUAUUUAUGAUUAGGGUUUUUUUUUGUUGUUAAAAAUACAUUUGAAAAGCAUUCAUAUUUAUUUAUUUUGCUAAAAAAACAUUUCUAACCCAUAGUAAAGUGCGAGUCAAAUAACUACUAAUAUGGCUAUAGUAAGUGUCUUUUUAGUACAUGUGGAUGUAGGAAGUAAUGUGUUAUAUUAUUAGUUAGAUAUUACUUACCUAUUCAUUAUAAAAAAAAACAUAAAAUAAAUAAAUAUAUUAAUAGAAACCUAAAAGAGAUCGGCUGAAAUAAUAUAGUCUCCGAGAGAAAAUAUGUGAAUUCACACAAUGUUUACUUUCUCUUUUUUUGUUCUUUUUUUAUUCAGUGAUUUUUUAUGAUGAAUUAAUUAAGAUUUAAGAUGGGUAAUGUAUUUUUAUUUGCCUUUUUUAUGGUUAUCUUGUUCUCAAUAAAACAUCUUGAUAUUAGAGCGAUGCUCAAUUUAAAUAAAAAAAAAUUUGUUGUUUGUAAGAAAUUAAAAAUGAAAAGAUCAAAAUUGAAACAAAUAAAAAACCAAUUUUUUUUAAAAAAAUAUGGUGUCAAUUUUGCCUUUUGUUUUUUGCUUGCGAUCAUCUACUUUUUUUUAAAAAUAAAUUGAUCUUUCAACGCUGUUUUAGUUGAAAUUUGAAGUUGGUAAUAUUAUAUGAGCAUCUAGAACUAAAUAAAAAGCCGCGAAAAAAAAUCGAUUAUAUUGUUUGAGAAAAAAUGAAAAUAAAAAAACCAAAAUUGAAACAUGAAAAAAAAUUAAAAAUAGGAGUCCUUAAAAAAACAAAAAAUUGUGUCAACGCCUCCAUGCCUUGUAAUUUUGACAAAUUUUCUUUUUGGCCCUUUUAGUUUAGAAAUGAAACUUUUUGAUAUAAAACUUUAUUUUACUUGUAUUUUAGUUCUUGAGUUUGACAAAAGAAAAAGAAAUUUAUCGAAAAUUUACAAAACGAAAGCCAGCAAGGUAUCUGCUCGAAAAAACCAUUCAACAUAAGAUUGCUCUGCUAGGAAAACAUGAUAUCAGUAUCAAACUUUUGAACAAAGAGUUCAGCAUCAAGUCUCAGUCAUCUUGAGAUUUGAAUGCCCAAACAUAUUCAGAUGCUCAUAAAAUGACAUUUUUAAUAAUGCAUUAUGCAUUAGAAACAGAAGAUCAAACAAAGAGUUCAGCAUCAAGCAAACAUACGCCCUUACUUCUGGAGGCUUGUACGAUAAUGACUACACACACAACAUUACAUUACUUCUAACUUCUUCAACAAACAUAUAGAUAGAUAAGUCAAAAUCUUCUAUGGUAAAUAAGACUGUUACAUUGCCAAUGAAACAGUUGGAAUUACUUCCCACCAAUCUAAAACAUAUUCGCAGCACCAACCUUGAAAUCAUGUAACAGCUAACCAACCUUGCCUGAUGCAAACAUGAAGAAAAAAGACAAUCCAUGAUUUAACUCAACCAUUAAAAUUUGAGGGUAAAGGAGAGGAUAAAUAAUUGCAGCUAUAUCACCUGGCUUGGGCAAGAAAGAAUUAUUAGACUAGCAAUCAUCAUCACCACCAUCUUCCUCUUCCCCUUCCUAUUCUGACCCAUCAUCAUCAUCAUCAUCUUCUUCUUCUUCUUCUUCUUCUUCUUCUUCUUCUUUCCACCCAUUAUUUCUGGUCCACUCUCUAUUAAUGCUUGAAUCUUCAGCUACUUCAGAUACCUGUAAACCAAUUCAUGCAUGGCAUGCUCAUUUUAACUUGUAAAUCAUAUUAUUGAGCGAAACAAGAGACAAACACACUAAAAGAGAGGCAAGAAAUCAAGUCAAAUCAGCAGCACCUCUGAUUGAGCACUCAUUGAACCAUCUGGUGUAAUAGCAAAUUUUGUGGUCAACUUUGAGCAUUCAUACACCUUCAACUUCUUCAAACGAGGGAAUAAGAAAUCACAGCAUCCGAAACUGAAGCAGACAAUACUUGGUAAUUGUUUUAGCGACAGCUUCUUUAGAUUAGGGAGCACCAUCUCCUUCUCAACGUUGACAAGUGAAACAUGAUCUUCCUGCCCAAAUACUCCCAAUAAAUGAGAGGAUUUUGUUACUCUAAGUAUUCGGAGAUUUGGGAGACCUGAAGCCAUGGCUACUGGGAAGAGGCUCUUCAACUUGUUGCAUUCUCUAAUCUCAAUUUGACGUAAUUUGGGAAAGCAUAAAGAUCGGAGAUGAUCACCUAACAAUAUCUGGUCGUUUUCAUCAUCAUCCUUAGCAAUGAUUUGUUCCAAUUCCUCACAGGACAAUAUCUUUAGGACUUUUAGUUGAACUAGACUGACAAUCAUACUGCAUGUGAAUACAUGUGUCAGUCUCUUACACUCAACCACCUCCAAAGUAGUCAAUUUGCUCAACUCGAGACCCUUCCAUAUACACCUAAUGUCAGGCACCAGCAGGAAGCGCAAGUGUAAUUUCUUAAAAUUUGUCAACCCCUGCAUCGAAAGAAAACGAUGAUUGGAGCCUUUGUUAGAUAUAAUUCCUAAUAAAUUUUGUGCACUUUGGAACUAUAUAAUUUCGGUAAAUAGAUGAACGAAUUGUCCCCAAUACUUCAGCCAAAAACUUAUCAACAAAAGGAUAUAAGUAGACAUGGCAAUAGGGCAUGGGAAUAUGAAAUCAGAAGUUGCAGGACUGAAAGAGACUCAAUAUUAGCAAAUGGAGGUUUAUCUUCCUCUUCAAAUACUUCCAUUAAUUGGGGGAAGAGCCUCAAUUUCACUCAAACUGGGAAAGCAUAAAGAUUGAAAAAUCUCGAUAUCAUUUCAUUACAAUAAUUAAUUUCUUACUUCUUAAGCCCUGCAUCAAGAGACAAGGAAUGAUACAGUUAGACAACUCCUUUUAAAUUUAGUGGAUGGCUAAAGGAUUUAUCUCCACUUAUCAAUUGCUUCAGUUUCAGAAAUUUAAAGGAAGAAAUCAAACAUGUAUUGAAGUUGACAAUUUAAAUUAAAAAGGAAAAAGAUUAUUAGAGAAAUAUAAAGGACGUACUUGGAGCUGUGCAAACAAAUUUCCCAAUUCUUUGUGGCCAUCAAUUUCUAGAAUUUGCAAGGAAGGCAAUUGGGCAGCAAAAUUCUUUGGACCAAAGAAGCUGCAAUUUGAAAGAGACAAUUCUCUUAGUUGAGGGAACUUGAUGAUGGCAUCUCUGGUGAGUGCAUCUCCUUCUCCACUGUAAAAUAUUUGCUUUAAAUUAUGAGCAUUAAAAAUCCCCAUCUCUUCCAGGUUCAGAAGGCUUGGAGACACAGAGACAGGGAGGACAUAUUCCAGUUUACCACAGUCUUGUAUGAAGAGAGCUUCUAAUUUUGGAAAGCAAGGAGACUCUGGAAUUAUCUCCCUUUCACCAUCCUCUUUUCUGAUAAUAUGCUUCAAUUCACUGCAUUUACUUAUGUGAAGGUCUUGUAGCUUUGGCAGACUUUGAGCGAGAGACGGUGUGAAGAUAAAUAUCAGUUUGUCGAGAGAAGUCAAAAACAGACGAGCAAGACUUUGGAGGCUGACAUGUCUGGUGGGCCCCUUCCAUAUACAUUUGAGCUCAGGUAACUCUGACAGUAUUAAAGAUGACAGCAGCGGCAUCUCCUUCUCCUCAGUGCUUCCUUCAUAAGGCUCACCCAAUUCAAAUACCUCUUCCAAUGAUUUACAGCGGCGAACAGUCAACUCCUUUAGAUUUUUCAGAGCUCGCAGCAAUUUUGCUGGAAACGGAGCGCGAACAUCCCCACAUUUGUCCACAUGUACAAAUUCUAAUCUUUGUACGAAGCCGUUUUGCUGUUCAUGGGCGGCCAUCUUAUCAGAGAACAAUAUUAUAUUUUUUCACUCUCAUAAAAACAAUUUAUAUGAUGUAUAAAUAGGAGAAACAAAAUAGAAAAAAACAGGAUUAAGUACUUCUUAGAGAUUACAUAUUAUUGUUUCAGUUUUUUACUUAAUUAGAGAUGAGCUGAAUAAUAAUUAGAUUUUUGCGAAAAAAGGUUAAUUCAACUCCUAAUAAUUAGUUUCAUGUAAAAUAAAAAUAAAAAUAGUAACUAAUAUUUUUAUUUUAGUUAUAAAGUUAAUAAAUUUUUAAAGAUAUUUUAAUAGAAUUAAAUAUUUGAACACAAAAUUUAAGUUCUUAUAUAUAUUAAAUCUAACAGCUAAUAUGAUUUCUAUGAUUAAUUUUUGGUAUUAAUAACGCAAACAACAAUGAGGCGCGCUGUUAAGUUUCUUAUAUUUAUAUAUGUUUAGAUAAAAAAAAAAUCAUAAAAAAUAAAAAUAAGCUAAUAUGUUUGUUAUAUAAUUAAAAAAAAAUCAAACUUGGAUUUCCUAGCAUUUAUCAAUUACUUUACUUUAAGAAAUUUGUAGGAAGAAAGAAUAAAUUGACAAUUUAAAUUAGUGGAGAAAUAUAAAUUACGUACUUGUAGCUGUGCCAACCAAUUACCCACUUCUUCGUGGCCUUCAAUGGUUAAGUCUAUGAUGCCAUCUCUGUUAUGAGACAAAGAGACUGGGAAGACAUAUUCCAGUUUACCACAGUGAGAUAUGCGGAGAGUUUUUAAUUUUGGGAAGCGAGGAGACUCUGGAAUUAUUUCCCUUUCACCAUCCUCUUCUCUGAUAAUAUGCUUCAAUUCACCACAAUCACUUACCUGAAGUCUUUUUAGCUGUGGUAGACUUUGAAGAGUUAGAGACACGGAGACACGGAAGACAUAUUCCAGUUUACCACAGCCUUCUAUGAUGAUAGUUUUUAAUUUUGGGAAGCAAGGAGACUCUGGAAUUAUUUCCCUUUCACCAUCCUCUUCUCUGAUAAUAUGCUUCAAUUCACCGGAUUUACUUAUGCAAAGGGUUUCUAGCUUUGACAGACUUUGAGCAAGGGACGCCNNNNNNNNNNNNNNNNNNNNNNNNNNNNNNNNNNNNNNNNNNNNNNNNNNNNNNNNNNNNNNNNNNNNNNNNNNNNNNNNNNNNNNNNNNNNNNNNNNNNNNNNNNNNNNNNNNNNNNNNNNNNNNNNNNNNNNNNNNNNNNNNNNNNNNNNNCUUCUCCUCACCCAAUUCAAUACCUCUUCCACUGAUUUGCAGUCCUCAAUUUCCACCCUCCUUAGAUUUUUUAAACCUUGCUGCAAUCUUGCUGGAAACAGAGUGAAAACAUCCCCACAAUCCCUCACUUCUACAAAUUCUAAUUUAUGUAAAAACAAUUGCUCAAAUGUCUUCGCAUUUAAGGAUGUACCACCCAAAAUUAAUCUUGUGGAGGUUGGGUAUCCAUUAGAAUAAUAUUUAGUAGUAUUCCCUAACAUUAAAUCAUAUUUGAGCAAGCUGGGAAAAACAAAAUCUCUGGGAAUGCAUUCAACCUUCGGUAUCCUCAAUGAUAAUACGGCUAACUGAGACAACGAAUUUAGUUCUGUCAGGCUUGCAUUCAUUCCUCCUGUGCUGUCACAUCCAUCAACAUCCCAUCCAUCAAAGCUGCGAUGCCCGAUCAACAGCUCUUCUAACUUCUUCAACCUUCCAAUCAAAUUCACAGGAAUCCUUCUUAGCCUUUCACAACCUGUCACUUCCAACAACCUUAACUCCUUGAGCUCUCCUAUUUCAUCAGGUAAUUCUUCAAUGGAUGAGCACCACUGAAAAACAAGUAUCUUAAGUCUCUGCAUCUUUUUCAACCAAAUGAGGUCCUUGCAUCCACAACUGAUCAACACCAACGAUUGAAGUUUCGUUGAGAGUUCAAGUGAUUGCAAUGACAAACGCCCUCCCUUCAGAGACAAAACUUCAAUUUCUUUCAUCCCUUCAAAAAACCUCUGAGGAACAUUCAUACCAUAAUCCACUUCUAAUAAUAGAACUUUGAGCCGUGGACAUACCAAUCCUUCAGGAAGUUCUGCUAGUUUAUUGCCCAUUAACGAAAUUGUUGUGCAACCUUCAAAGCUUUCAAUACUCGUUGGCCACUUCUCCAAUACCAUGAAUCCAUAUUCUUUUGAUGAUGCUAUCUGAAUAGCAAAGUCACGAACCAAGUCAUGCAUUCUCACAUGUUCUUCAGUUUCAGUGCCCAACAGCAUGCAGCAAUCUUUGAGGUUUUCGAUUGCCACGGAAACUCGUUUCCUUGCAUCUUCAAUAGGCUCCGCAUCUUGAUGUAACCCAUAGCCAACUGCAUAUCUCGUCAAGUCCUCGAUUGGAAUGUCAUAAUCUUCUGGAAAUAAACAGCAUAGCACGAAACAUGACUUGGUUUCCUCGUACUUCAAAUAAUCAUAGCUCAACUUAAGACAUGUGUAAGCAUUAUUUUGUUCGUCAAUUUGUUCCAUGCGCACAAAUUGAGAUUCUUUGAGCUGUUUAGACGCUACUUCCCACUGAACUCGUGAUUUACCUCUUAGAGCCCUUCCCACUGUCACAAGUGCUAUAGGCAAGCCUUGGCAUUCUCUCGCAACCUCCCUUGUCACUGUGUUCAAGGUAGAGUCCCCAUCACGUAAACCUGCAUUGAUUCUGAAUAAAUCCCAUGCUUCAUCGUCAGGUAAGACUCUUAAAAGCACUUUUUGCUGGCACUCCAUAGAAAAACAUAUGCCUUGAAGACGUGUUGUUAGAAGAAUUUUACAACCCCUGUGAUCAUCACCAAAUGGGAUCCCUAUCUCUUUCAAGUCAAUAUGUUUCCAAACAUCAUCUAGGAUUAUAAGCAUCUUCUUUCCCAGCAGUCUCUGCCAUAAUUCACUUGCUCUACCUUCUUUACUCGUUUUUUCAAAUUUCAGAUGUAAACUAUCUGCCAUUCGAUCCUGGAUGCCUAUGAAAUUUGGAUUCUGGGACACCGUAGCCAUCAAAACUUCAGGAAAAAGCUGCGACUCUAUGGCUCUCCUGCCUACUUCUUUCACCAGGGUUGUUUUACCCACCCCUCCCCAUGCCGUACAGUCCGAUCAUAUUGACGUUGUCAUCUUUGAGAGCUUUCAUGAUCUGUUCCAAAGCUUCUUUUGACGAUUCUGAGGUCGUGAAUUCCUUUGAUGUUAGAAAUUCUAUGGGCUGAGGAGGAGCUUUUUGGGCCACUGUUUUCAACUUUUCGCUACUUUCUCCAAGUUUUCUGAAAGUCUCCGACUUCUUGGCCAGUGCCUUGCUUAACUUGAAUUGCCGGAUGCAGUUUGGACAGCAAGUAAAGCGGUUGUCAUUUUUUCGUAUUUCAUUUUCCAAAUGCUUCACAUCUUCAUGAUCAAUUGCUUUGGUUGCAUCUUCCAGCCACUUUUUGACAUCUUUGUAAAUUUCUUCAGCAUUCCUUUCAGCAGCUUCGACACCUUUUUGCAGACGUUCUUUUGCCGAAACCAGGUUCUGUUUUCGUUCAUUGAAUUCUUGAGCAAAACUUUCUAAACAGAACAUGUAACGGAACUGCCUUCCUACUGGUUCCACCAAGACUCCCGCUAUCUUAGAUAUAAUGGAUACACCAGCACUUUCGAGAGCCAUUUUCCACAGGCCUGAAAAUCAGAGAAAUAAGGAUGCAGAACGUGAUAGUGAGUCACUACGAGUAAAACAGGCGCAGAGAGAAUGGGAAUAGGAAUUUCAUUACCUUAACUUGGGAAAAUAUGUGCGAAAGGCACUGGUACUGAGUGCUCAAUGAAAUAGCGGGAGGAAGAAGAGGAGAAGGCCUUUAGCUCUGUAUGGAAUCCAGCAUCAAAAGCAACAAGGCAAGGACUUAGACGUCUAACUGACUAUUGUGAGUUAAAGCAGUAGUUCCCAUUAAAAAUGCAUUUUGAUGACAUAAUUAAGAUAAUAUAGAGAAAGUCACAAACAAAUAAAAAAAAAAUAAUGAAUAAAAGUACUUAGACGUCUAAUUAGCAAAGAAAGAAACGAAUGAAAGGUUCGGAUAAUCACUUAGACGUCUCCAUGGAUGAUACCAGCUCGCUUCCAACAACAAAUAUAAUUAACCUAAGCCGUGAUAGGUCAAAGUUCUUUUUAGUUUUCUUUUUUUAAGGAAAUAGAAGGAGAGGUUGAGGGAGGCAGAAACGGAAGAAGACAUUGAAAGAUCGGAGGAGAGUAAAGAUAAAAAUAUGAAUAUUUGAUGCUCGUUUAUCUCUUUGAUUGGGAUUUUUUUGUCUCUCUUUUAUUUGGAAUUUCUUUGGACACUUUAAUAAUAUAAUAACAAAAAAAAAAUUAUCUACUUUGGACUACGAUAGUAUUUUUCUCUAUAUUUUGACUUUUAGUUUUUAAUAGCCAUGCACGUUUGAUUUUUUUAUUUUUUUUUUAUGCUUUUACAAAUAAUAUAGAAGAUGAGGACCUGAAAUCACGGCAGCAAAUAAAGAGAGAAAUAACAUGUUUGUUCUUGUUUCUUCUAAAGUAUUUAAAAAAAAUUAAAUUAAAUUUUAUUUUAUUUUUAUUUCAAAUUAAUUUUUAAAAAAACUAAUUUAAAAAUUAGUAUGAAAAAAGAGGAUAAUAGAGUAGGUGUCCAAAUCAAAACACAUAAAUAUAGGAUAAAAACAGGGAGAGAGGCUCUUUGUUUUCUUAACUGUAUUGGUUUAAUAAUGUUUAUAGAGUGUUUUAUAAAUAUUUUAGAUAAAAAAUAGGUUAAAAGCAAGUUUUUAAAUAAAAAAUCAAGCUUAUUUUUUAAUAUAAUUCAAAUAAAAUCAAUUUAUUUAGUUGUUUAGAAUUAUAACUCAAGUUAUUUAACGUCUUUUUUAAAAAAAAAUAAAACACUUGUAACAUAGUGCAGUACAAACAGAAGAGACAUCUGCUUUUUCUUGAGAAAAAGAAAGAAAGACAAUAUAUAUAUAUAUACUCUCUCUUCCAAUUUCUUCUUCCAGUUGAAUUUUGGCGACCGCCCACAUAACGGCCAGCCAUGCCACUUUUCAAGACCCCAUUUCUCAAUCUCAAAACCAAAAACAACCCUUUCUCCAUUUAUCCGAACCUCAUAACUCCAGGAAAGUGAAGGACUAAACCAUAGUGGCAAAAAUCUUAAAGGGUUCUAAAUUGUCUCUGUUACUUUCCCUUAAUUUUCUAGACAAGCAAAAGGAGCUUAACUUAUUCCCGACCAAAACGUCAAGAAUUUCAGUAGAACAAAAGAAGAGAUCAUUACCUGUCCAAAAACAACUAGUCAGCACCCAAAGAAACCGAGUGAAUGAGAGAAAAAAGACUAAUAGCUGGAAAACAAUCAACAGAUCCAAGAAUUUUCUGUAUGGUUUCCAAGAAAAUGAAACGAAAUGAGCAGCACAACCCUCUUUAUCCUCCAAGAAAAGAAAGAAAAAGAAAGGCAAGAAACAAAGCAAGUCAAACUUGGCUCCUCUUUUAGUGUUAAAAAAAAAAAACAAAGAAGUUCGAGGAAGUGGGCUGCCUUUUUUUCUGCUGUUCAUGUGGUGUUCAGCUGUUCACGCAUCGUAAAAUCAUAUAAUUAAAACACAACAAUAAAAAAGUAAUAAGCAGCUAAUUAUGUGCGAAAAUCAGAGAAAUAAGGAUACAAACGUGAGAGUAAGUCAUUGCAAGUAAAAGAGGCGCAGAGAGGAUGGGAAUAGGAAUUUCAUUACCUCAACUUGAGAAAAUAUGUGCGACAAGCACUGGUACUGAUUGCUCAAUGAAAUGGAGAAGGCCUUUAGCUCUGUAAGGAAUCCAGCUUCAAAAGCAACAAGGCAAGGUAUAAGCAUUUUGAUGACAUAAUUAAGAAUUAAAGAAAAAUAAUGUGUACAAGUACUCACCAAGCAAAGAAAGAAACGAAUGAAAGGUUCGGGAUAAUCACUUAGACGCCUCCAUGGAUGAUACCAGCUCGCUUCCAACAACAAAUAUAAUUAACCUAAGCUAUGAUCGGUCAAAGUGUUUUUUAGUUUUCUUCUUUUUUAAAAAGAAAAAACAGAUCAUCAAGGGAAAAGACUUGCAAAGAAGUAGAAUUAAUGGAACGAACACAACAAAGGAUCAAACUCAAGCAAUUAAAAGUAAUUCUCUAUGAGUACCAUCUGUGUCACACACUCAAGUGAGGAGAGAAAAGAAGGAGAAAGAAAGGAAAGGGACAAGGAAGGAAGAAAGUAAGGUCACGUAGGGCCAGUCUUGUAGAAAAUUUGAAAAGUAGCAUGAAAGAAGAGGAUAAUAGAGUAGUUGUCAGAAUCAAAACACGUAAGUUUUUUUUUUUUAACUGUGUCUGAGUGCUUUUUAUAAUUAUAUUUAAUUUAAAAAAUAUUAAAUUAAUAUAUUUUUUUUAUAUUUCUCGUUAUUAUAUAUAUAUAUAUAUAUAUAUAUAUAUAUAUAUAUAUUUAAUAUUUAAUAUUUAAUAUUUAAUAAAUUUUUAAAUAAAAAUAUUUUUAAACAGUAUGUGUCACAAUACAAAAUUAUAAUAUAAAUUAAAAGAAAAAGGAGUUUUAUGCUCAUUACUAUUCAGUAGAGAUGUAGAUAUUAAUAAUAAAGUUUUUGAGAGUCUUCGAUCUAGUAUUUGAACUUAUUUUUUUAGCAUAAUUGAAUUUUUUUAAGCUUAAUUGCAUAUUUUGUUUUUAAGGAAAUUGAGAGAGAGAAACUCGGCAAAAAUAUGUGGUUAAAAUCAAUCCAUUUUUUUUUAAAAAAAAACUCCUUAGUUGUUAAGGAAAGAUUGGUAGUGGGAACAAAUCACCAAAGUCAGCAGCAAGGAAGUUCUAGGGAGUGGGCAGCCUGUUUCAGGGCUACCUGUUUUUGAGAAUUAUGGAAAGUUAUCCCUAACUCAAAAACGGCACCAAUUAUAAGUUCAUUAAUAAAAAUCUGGAACACAACAGAUGGAACAAACUCGAAACAACUCGUCUAGAAUUUAGGCAAGAAGAAUGAGCCAAGAUUUUAAUUGCAAUGAAAUUUGUCUCACUUUGUUCUUUUUUUUUUAAAUGAUACAAGAUAUACUGCCUAUUUCAAGGGUAAAAUAGAAUGGAAUCAACAACCCAGCAUAUACCACAUAUGUGUAGCUGGAAUUCGAUAGCCUUUCUCCGAUGCUGAUAUGUGCUUUACAUGCACCAACAUUUCUUUCUCUUUUAUUCUGUAAUAUUUCACAUCGGCGAGUGAGGAUUUGGUAGCUGACCUUAUUAGUAGUGUUGAUUAAUGACUUAUCAGACGUGUUUUGAGGCCAUGCGUGGUCACCAAAAACAAAUUCGUGAGGGCAGUAAGGCCCAAAAUGAACAAUAUCUGACAAGGUGGAUCGGAUUGUGACAUUUGGUAUCAAAACUGGUCUCACUGACUAUCCAGUUGUGCUAACGGGGUCAUUGAGCUCCUUAAAGGGGGUGAAUUGUAAUAUCUCACAUCGGUGGGUGAGGAUUUGAAAGCUGGCCUUAUUAGUAGUGCUGGUUGCUGACUUGUCAGAUGCGUUUUAGGGCCAUGCGUGGUCACCAAGAACAAAUCCGUGAGGACGAUAAGGCCUAAAACGGACAAUAUUUCGCUGAGUUCUUAGACUGAUAAUGAUUGGUACACAUGUCAUCUCAUUACCUACUAAGCUCUUAUAUUGCCUUUACGAGGGUGAUCACUGGGACAAUAAGAGACCCUUUUGAGACUAGGUAGAAAUCCACCCAUCAUGUAAUGGCCCAAAACCUAUCCUUAGAGUAUGAGCUCCCUAAUACGCAUGUACAUAUAUUUGCAUCCAUAUAUACAUCAAUUCAUUGUAAAUAACAUACAUGCAUCAGAUUGAAAUAUAGGUCCCUAAAAAGUUUACAACACCCAACUUUGAGCAAGAAAUAUAGAAGAUGGAGAGCGUGCUCACCGUGAUACCCAUUUUCAAGAAGAGCUGAAGUCUCUGAAGACAAGCGUGGCUCGCCUCACUAGCUUACUCGAGCAAACACUGAGAAAUACCUCUGGUGAAAGCCCUUCUAACUGACCGGUCACCGUUAAUUAGGCUUCGAUUACAGUUUAGCCUAAAGAAAGAAUGAGCGAACAUGGUCAAGAGCCUCAGUAAAAUCCAACAUUUGUGCAGUCAGCGACACUUGCACUAGCCCCGACAGUCAUGGAGGUAUUUGCUAAUGAGUCCCAUAAGGCCAAUUCAUUUGAUAGCAUUGAUCAAGAUAAAAUACAGGCGUUGGAAGCCAGAAUCAAAGUCAUUGAAGGGGUAGACUUAUAUGACCCAGUUCGGGCAGUAGAGACGUGUCUGGUCCCAAAUGUGGUUGUCCCGAAAAAGUUUCGUGUUUCAGAGUUCAUCAAAUAUAGUGGAAUAUAAUGCCCCAUGACUCACCUCAAGUCCUACUGCAAUAAAAUGACAGAGGUAGUACAUGAUGAAAAACUAUUGAUGCAUUUUUUUCAAGAUAGUUUAAGUGGGGCAACAUUGAGCUCGUACAUGAGAUUGGACAACAUAAAAAUCUAGAGAUUGAAGGAUAUGGUGGUUGCUUUUGUCAAGCAGUACAAGUACAACAUGGACAUCACUCCCGACAGAACCAGCUUGUCCAAUAUAGAGAAAAAAAGACAAAGAAAGCAUAAGAGAAUACAUUCAAAGAUGGUGGGAAUCAGCUGCUCAAGUACAUCCCCAACUUCUGGAUAAAAAGAUGGGCACUUUAUUUGCCGACACACUCAAGGCACCAUAAUAGGUAGUUUGACCCAGCAAUUCACUAAUGUUGUGGUAGUGUGUGAACGCAUAGAGCAAGGCGUCAAGAGUGGUAGAAUUUCUGCACCCAUUGAGAAUAGAGGUUUCGAAAGAAAAGAGAUUAACCAUGUUGAAGAUGGCUAUAAGGGUAGGAAAAACUCAUCCCAAAACUACCACACUCCAUCCCAAAUUGCCGACAUAAAAAAACCUGAGCCCUAAAACUUUCAAGCCAAAAGCCAAAUUAGAAAUUACCUAAGGGUCUAAGAACAACUACCUCCAUUACCGCUACCCCUAAAUGAGAUGUACCAGAAGUUAUUAAGCAUCAGACAUAUAACUCUCGAACCUCUAGCACCUUUGCAACCCCCUUACUUCGGCUGGUAUAAGCCAGAGCUCACUUGCGAGUACCAUGCUGGUGUUGCCAGACAUGACAUUCAUAUUUGCAACACCUUUAAGAGAAAGCUUCUGCAAUUAAUUAAGGCAGGGUGAAUAGCAUUUGAAGACACUCUGAAUGUGAACAUGAACCCUCUACCUAAUCAUGCUUAAAGCGGUGGAUUAGAAAUGCACGAGCAAUCGAAUGUUUGGGGAAUCUGAAAGCAUCAAUGGUCCAGGUAGGGUGCGAAAUGGUAGCAUAAAUUUUGAAGGACUCAAAUUCCAACCACAGUUUUUAUCCCCAUCAUCCCAAGAAUUAUUAUAGGGAGGCUAGCCUAAGAGGAGAUUUACCAAAAUGGAAGGAUGAGGCCUGCCAUAUUAUUGCCUUUUGUUUAAUCAUGUUGGUUUUAACUAUUUCAGUCUUGUCGGUAAUUUAGCUCAUAAUGCCACAAGACUUUCUUUGUCAAAUGAGCCUUCUUGUUAAUAAGAUCAUAUAUUUUCCUAUGCUUAUAACAUGUUUUCCUUUUUCCAAAACUAUGCAUGAUCUCACAUAUUUAUAAGAAUUUUAGGAAUUCAAAGUUUGGUACAAAAAUAUAAAUCAUAUUGGUGUUUCUCCAAAACAAAUGAAUUCUAGAAAUUCAAGUGAUUCCUUAGAAAGGUAACUAUACACUUAGAAAACUUGAAAAAAAAAACAAAAAAACAAACACAAAAAAAACCAUGAGGUGACUCCAAAGUUGAGUUUUAUUUGAAUAAAUAAUGAGAAAUCACUUUGCAUACUCGCAUGAAAGCAAGGCUUACCGAUCUUAAGUGCAUGUGUUUGAGAUGAGGAAAUGCCUCCUUUGCAAUCCCUUUUUGAGUCUAGUAACAUUUUUUAGAAAUAACCUUGGAUAGGAUCACACCCCAAACCGGAGUCAAGUGCGAGAGACACAGAAAAGACCUCGAUGAUUGAAGUGCCCAAGCAACAUUGGGGGGCAUAAAAGAAAAUUCUCAAUCAUCAAAGGUGCUCAAACAAAGCUAGGGGUAUGAAGAAAAAUCCAAAGGAUCCAAAAUUUUUGAGCAUAAAAAAAACAAUUAAAUGAUGCUCAAAACCAAAUGAAGAAAACAAAAAGAAAAAGAAAAAGCCCAACAUUGGGGGGCAUGAUAAACCAUUUUGAAAAGACAUUUCAAAGACAAAAGGUCAGGAAACAAACACUAGUGAUCCUUAGUCUUGAAAUCCCUUGAAACAUCUUUUGAGCCUACAAAUAUCCUUUUCUUCAUAACCAAGAGCCCAAGCCUACAUUACAUGCCUAAUCAAGCCUUUUCUGAUCAAAGGCAAGCAAUCUGGAUCGGUAGGCAGUGCUUUCUCAUGUGAACCAAAUUAUUAUUCAUGCAAAUAAAAUGAAUGCUUUGAAGGCUGGUUCUUUGUAACCCUCAAAUUAAAUCUUAAACCAUUUUUUACCAAACCCAAUGUCACUUCAUGUUUUUCACCAAAAGCAAAACAAAAGGUUUUCAUCACUUCUGAAACCUCUCCAUAGGAAUCACUUGAAUUUCUUCAGAACGAGUUUGCUUUGAAUCGAUGUCAAAAUGAUUUCUGUGUCUAGAAUAGCUUUGAAAUUCCAACAUUUUUGCAUCAAAACAACUCCUUGUCAAAACUUCCUUUACAUAGCCUUAUUCCCAAACCCGAAUUGAAUACUUGGGGGUAUGAUCAAGCUGGGAGGCAAUAAAAAAUACAUGGUAGGGCAGGCUUUAUAAUUCUUUUUCUAAGAAAAAUAUCGGGCAGAAUUGGCAACCCUUGAGAUAUAGGUUAAAGGGUAAAGAAGUAGGAUGAUAUGAAGCCCUUCUUAGAGGUCAAGAUCACAAGAUAUGACUCAAGUAAGCAAGAGCGAAAAAGUCAUCAAAAUUUACUACUUACACUCCAACUUUUGAGAAAAGAAAGACACCAUGAAGAAAUAAGGACCUAUAUUUCUCAGGUAAGUAUGCAUGCAUAUCAAUCAGAAUGCAUUAGUUUCAACAUUGUCAGAUCGGUGUUUCACCAUCACCUUUUGGGCAGGGCAUUUUAUAACCCUACCUCAUUUUGAGUGUGUCUUUGAGCCGUCACUUUCUUUUCGAGUAAGUCUUUGAGUCCUCAUCUCAUUUUGAGUGCGCCUUUGAGCCUUUACUUCGUUGUCAAGAUGCGCCUUUGAGCCUUCGCUUCCUUUGGAGUGCGCCUUUGAGCCCUCAUUUCCUUUUGAGUACGUCUCUGAGCAUCUCUUAGGUAGUGCAUUUUAUAACCCUACCUCAUUUUGAGUGCAUCUUUAAGCCCUCACUUCCUUUUGAGUGCGCCUUUGAGCCCUCACCUCAUUUCGAGGGUGGUAGUGUAUUUUCUAACCCUACCUCCUUUUGAGUGCGCCUUUGAGCCCUCACCAUCUUCCUGGGUAGGUCAUCCAUUACAAUAAGGUCAUUCUUCCACCUGGGUAGGUCACCCAUUAUAAUGAGACCACUCUUCCCUUUUCCACUUGGGUAGGUCACUCAUUACAAUGAGACCAAUUCUCCGUAUUUUUUUGCCUAGGUAGGUCCCUCAUUACAAUGAGACCAUUCUUCCACCUGGGUAGGUCACCUAUUAUAAUAAGACCACUCUUUUCUUUUUUUCCCCUUUGGGUAGGUCACCCAUUACAAUGAGACCAUUCUUUUUUCUAGGUAGGUCACCCAUUAUAAUGAGACAACUCUUUCCUUUUUUUCCCUUUAGGUGGGUCACCCAUUACAAUGAGACCAUCCUUUUUUCUAGGUAGGUCACCCAUUACAAUGAAACCAUUCUCCAUGUUUUUUUUUACCUGGGUAGGUCACCCAUUACAAUGAGACCACUCUUUCUUUUUUCCACUUUGGUAAGUCAACCAUUAUAAUAAGACCAUCAUUUUUCUGGGUAGGUCACCCAUUAUAAUGAGACCAAUUCUCCUUAUUUUUUUACCUGGGUAGGUCACCCUUUACAAUUAGACCAUUCUUCCACUUGGGUAGGUCAUCCAUUACAAUAAAACCAUUCUCCAUAUUUUUUCACUUGGGUAGGUCACCCAUAACAAUUCAACCAUUUCAAAAAUCUUUGAAUUUCACUAGGAAAAAAACCUUUUGACCAUUUGAGUGUGCUUUCUAGCCCUCAAAUGCUUUCCAAACAAUUCAUCAUAUGGUGAGUCCGUUAUCUUUUUUUUUUCUUCUUUACAAAGCUUACUAUCUAAAAUCUCUUACGAGACUUUCUAUAGUAAGUAUUGUAAAUAGAGGGCAAUAUAUAUAUAUAUAUAUAUAUAUAUAUAUAUAUAUAUAUAUAUAUAUAUAUAUAUAUUUGGACUAAAAAAUAAACAAUCAAAAAAAUCAAAAAAAUAAUAACAGUGAGAAGAGGAUGCCAAAGUGCCUGGAAAAUAACUAAAAAUUGGUUGAGGAGGUUUAAAAAUACAAGGAUUGAAAUUUGACAGUAUAUCAUUGACUGAUGAGAGCCUGACUGACAAAGAAAAUUCAAUUUGAGGAAGAAAUGUAUAAAAUCAGAUGUUUAUUGGACUCAAUUAAAUUUAUUAAAGGUUAAAUUGAGUUUAUGAAGGGUUUGAUUGCAAGAAAAAUUAAUUUUGGAGUCAAUUUGAGCUUUAAUUGGAAGAAAUUAAAGUUCUGGGGUCAAAAUAUAAUUUUUGAGAGUUAAUUUGGUCAAAUCAGGAGCAAAACUGCAUAAAUAUUGAAGUUUGAUGGCCAAUUAGGGACUUAAUUGAAGAAAUAUGAAACCAAUGACCAAACUGGAAAAGACGCGUAAAUAGAGGGGUUGUAAUUAACUGAAUCAGGGGCUAAAUUGAAGAAAUUAAAAGUUUAUUGAUCAAUUAAGGGUCAAAUUGCAUACAUCAGAGACUAAGGACUAAAGUGAAAAAGGCGGCUAACUUCAGGGCCGACGAUUGAAUUUGGCAGGGAAGCAAUUGAAUUGAUUUUUAAAAUUAAAGUUACAAUUUAGGACUUGAUUGAACAAAUCACAAAUUGAAGACUGAUUUGGACUUUGAUAUGAUUCUGCCGUUAUUUUUUUUAAAUGAAACAACGUGUUUUGUCCAAAACAGCGCCGUUUCAUCUAUUGUUAAAAAAAAAAACCUCAAACGAUGCCAUUUUAAAUGGCACUGUGGGUCUUCUUCUUCCCUGCAAACGCAGAGGCAAGGGAAGAAGAAGAUUUCUUUCCCCAGCAUUUCUCCUUUUCUCCUCUCUCCCCAUCAAAUUCACAUCCUACCAACCAUUAUGGCUGUCAUAGAAUAGCAAUGGCGAUCUUUUGGCCAUCAUGCCAUAAAAGCCUCCUUUGAGCCAAUUCCUCUCUCUUGCUCUUGCAAAUAAGGCACGAAAAGAGGACCUGAAAUCACGGUUGCAAAUAAGGAGAGAAAUAGUGUGUUUGUGUUUUUAUUUUUUAAAAUAUUAUUUUUAAAAAAUAAUUUUUUGUAUUCUAAAUAAAAACAUGAUAAAAGGAGUAUGAUAAAAGAAGAAAGAAAGGAAUGGGAUAAAGAAGAAAGAAUAAAAAAAAAACCCUAAAAUCACGGCAUGAUAAAAGGAGAAAGAAAAGGAUGGGACAAAGAAGGAAGAAAGUAAGGUCGCGUAGGGGCCAGUAUUGAAGAAAGGCUAAAAAAACUAUGUUUCUGAGAAAGGACCAGGUAAUCCAAGGAACCAAUAGAUUAUCGCCACAUGUUCAACCUUAGAUUCUACUGUGACAUGGAGAUAAAGGUAAUCUCAAAAGCUAAUAGAUGGUCGCCACGUGUUCAACUUUAUGUACCCACUAGGAAAGGAUAAAAAGGUUAAAAAGGCUUUAAAAAGAAAAGAAAAGGAAAGACAGAAAUAAAGGAAAGGACGUGGAAAUAGAAGGAGAGGUUGAGGGAGGCAGAAACGGAAGAAGACAUUGAAAGAUCGGAGGAGAGCAAAGAAAACAACAUGUUUGAGUGGGAUUUUUUUGUGCCUUCGAUAAAAAUACUCUGUUUUUUUUAUCUCUUUGAUUGGGAUUUUUUUGUGUCUCUUUUAUUUGGAAUUUCUUUGGACACUUUUAUAAUAUAAUAUCAAAAAAAAAAUUGAUUAAAUUAUUGUUCAUUCAAACACAGAUUUACUGUGGACUUCAAUAGUAUUUUUCUCUAUAUUUUGAAUUUUAGUUUUUGAUAGCCAUGCUCAUUUGAUUUUUUUAUUUUUUUUCAUAUUCUUCCAAAUAAUGCAGGAAAUGAGGACCUGAAAUGACAGCAACGAAUAAGGAGAGAAAUAACGUGUUUGUUCUUGUUUCUUAUAAAGUAUUUUAAAAAGCAUUAAAUUAAAUUAAAUUUUAUUUUUAUUUCAAAUUAAUUUUUUUAAAAACUAAUUUGAAAAUUAGUAUGAAAAAAGAGGAUAAUAGAGUAGUUGUCCAAAUCAAAACACAUAAAUAUAGGACAAAAACAGGGAUAGUAGAGUGCUCUUUCUUUUGAUUUCUUAACUGUAUUGGUUUAAUAAGGUAUAUAGAGUGUUUUAUAAAUAUUUUAGAUAAAAAAAAUAGGUUAAAAGCAAGCUUUUUAAAUAAAAAAUCAAGCUUUAUUUUUUUAUAUAAUUUAAAUAAAAUCAAUUUAUUUACUUGUUCAGAAUUAUAACUAGUUAUAACUCAGGAGAAAAGACUUGUAAAGAAGUAGAAUUACUGAUACGAACACAACAAAAGAUCAAACUCAAGCACUUAAAAGUAAUUGCUUAUGAUGAUCAUCUCACUAAGUAAGGAGAGAAAAGUAAGGAGAAACGGAAGGAGACAUAGACAGAUCGGAGGAGAGUAAGAAAAAAAUAUAUGAAUAUGUGAUGUCCUAUUUCUCAUAAAAAUACUCUGUUGUUUUUUGGUCUUUUAUUUGAAAUUUCUUUGGACACUUUAAUAAUAUAAUAACAAAAAAAAUUAAAAUAUUGAUGAAAUUAUUAUUCAUUCAAACACUAAUUUACUAUGGACUACGAUAGUAUUUUUUCUUUAUUUAUAUUUUGAGUUUUAGUUUUUAAUAGCCUUUGAUUUUUUAAAAUCUUCGAGGACCUGAAAUUACGGCAACGAAUAAGGAGAGAAAUAGCAUGUUUGUUUUUUAUUUUUUAAAGUAUUAAAAAAAAUAUAUUUUUUAUUUUUAUAUUGAUAUUAAAAAUAAUUUUUAAAAAUAAAAAAUAUUAUUUUAAUAUAUUUUAAAUAAAAAAUAUUAAAAAAAAACCCACUUUAAAAACCUUAAAAUCACGGCAUGAUAAAAGGAGAAAGAAAGUUCUCUCUUUUAUUUGGAAUUUCUUUGGACAAAGGAAGAAAGUGAGGUCACGUUGGGGGGCCAGUAUUGUAGAAAAUAGGAGAUGAAAAUUAGUAUGAAAAAGAGGAUGAUAGAGUGGUUGUCCCAAUCAUAGUGGUUUUUAUAAUUAUAUUUAAUUUAUAGAAAUAUUAAAUUAAUAUAUUCUUAGUGUUUUAUAUGAUUUAUAGAAAAAGACUAAUAGCUAGAAAACAAUCAACAGAUCCAAGAAUUUUCUGUAUGGUUUCGAAGAAAUUCUAACCCUUUUAUAAAACAAAAAAUUGUUUAUAGUUUUAUCCUUCAUUUCAACAUAAUGAUGUAUUUUUUCCCAACUUGCAAUUGAAGUUCGAGGAAGUGUGCAGCCUUUGUUCUGCUGUUCACACAGACUAAGAACUCCUACCAUUGUAAAAUCAUAUAAUUAAAACACAACAAUAAAAAUGUAAUAAUCAGAUCUUAUAGCGUUCAGCUGAUUGCUUUACUUGUUUAAAUAAUUCUCUUGUAAGCCUAAUGGUUCACGUCUUCCAUCAUUGCAACCUUUUUUUCUGUGAUUGAAAAAUCUAUAAUAGGAACCUGCACUUCAUCCCUUCUAUGCUGUUGUUCUUUCUUCUUGUUUUGCUAUUUUGAUUUUAUCAUAUUUUCUAUGAUGAAAGUUGAAGAAAACACCCCUUCUUUUGCAAUUAUUACCACUCCCCCCACGUGGCUACCCAUAAUUGGACUGUCAUCUCAGCUGUAUAAAUGUCUCGCUCAAGCCAAAAACAGAAACGCACAAAACCCCUCCCCCAACAGAGAAUCAAAUGAUAGCUAAAAUCAAAUAUUAUUAUUAUUAUUAUUAUUAUUGCCCCAACAACAAACAAUUAUUAUACAAUUAUUAUUAUUGCUGUUGUUAUUUUAGGUGCCACCUAGUCCUUUGCUAGGAACUUAACAUCCAAAAAUGCCUUCACUAAUCUUUUGCUCAUUUUGAAACCGAAGAGUCCUGUACUAACAAAAGCCUUUUUAUAGGAUGCUAUGUUUUCUUACCCACCUCACGAACAUGAUCAUGAACACGAGCCUAAGAUGACUCUCUUUUUACUUUCUUGAAUCAAUAAAAUAACCAGUGAGUCCUGUUCUUGCAUUCGACUAAAAAAGGUCUGCAAAAUUACAGUAAUCUCAAAACGUUCAUAAUGGCACUGAUAUAAGCCUAUUGUUACCAUCCUGCUAACAAAUACAAAUACGAACAAUGGCUUUACAAGUUGACUGAAUGAAAGCAGUACAAUGGCUUACACGGACCUGAAGUUAAACGACGAAUUGUAGCAGCAGGAAAAAAUUCCGAUGCUUCGGUCUUUCUUCACUUCUUCUUGUCACCAACCUCUUCUAUUCCACUCUUUGUCUCCGUCUUUUCCUUUCCCAAUCCCACCAGUUUUCUCUAGUCUCCUCCCUUCUUUUCUGCCCUUCCCCUCUUGUGCUUCCUCUGUUUUUUCUUUUAAUAAACGAAAACAAAUCACCGACUUUAUUUGCAUCCAAUCUUUGGAGGUAAUCUUGCAAAUCAACUUAGUUACUGACCAUUGAUUUCUCUUUGCUUGAUUCGUGGAGAUAGGAUCUGAUUUUGAAAGCUAAAUCUUGCAUCAAAAUGGAAAGGAUGGCUGCUGGUCUUGGAAGGAGGCUGAUUGAGUGAGCAUGUUUGGCAUAAAAUCUGUAAUGGAUUCUGAGAGUUAAAGCCUGAUUUUUUGUAUCAUGAUUGUAGCUAACAUAUCAUAGAACAUUCUUCUCUCAUUUUCUUGCCACCAAGAGAAUCAAUUGGGAUCAAAAUUAGGCCCUAAUAUUGCACGAAGAUCAGUCUUCCUUGCCCACAAAUCUGCAGAGCACAUGAACAAAACGACGUUGUUUCCUUUGAAUCUUCAUCUUUUAUUCUCCCCUCUUUCAAUCAAAAUGCAUCGUUUCAAUUAAUUUGAAACAACGCCGUUUUAGGCCUUAGGGUUUCUUUUCUAAUUAAAUCAGGCCCAUCUUCAUAUAAGUCCCUGUAUUUAAGUGUUUUUUUCAUUUCAGUCAUUCGUCUUUGAAUCUUUCUUAACUAGGUCAAUUUCAUCUUUUUCUUCUUACUUUCUUUCAGUUAUACCCCUGACAGAAUAUGUCCUCUAAAUUCUCUGCUUUAUCCAUUUCCGUGCUUCGGUACUUCAAUUCUUCAUUUUUUGAGCCAAAUUGCCUUCUAAUUUCAAUUUGAUUUUUCAAUUAAGCUCUUAAUUAAUUUUCUAACUUGAUUAUUUGUUCCAAACUCAUCUUUGAACCUCAAUUUCUUUCAAUUUUAGCUAAUUUAAGCCCAUUUCUCUUCAAUUCAGAUCUCAAAUAUGACUUCAAAAUUUACAAACUUCAUUUUUACUUGUGAUACUCAAAUGUUGGUCCAAUUGCAACCCUAUAUGAUCAAAGAACAAUAUUAUAUUUUUUAAACCCUUCACUCUUAUAAAAACAAUUUAUAUGAUUAUAAAUAGGAAAAAAUAGGAUUAAAUAUUUUUUAGAAAUUACAUAUUAUUGUUUAAGUUUUUUUUCUUAAUUAGAGAUAAGUAAAAGGUUAAUACAACUCCUAAUAAUUAGUUUCAUGUAAAAAAUAAAAAUAGUAACUAAAAUUUUAUUUUAGUUAUAAAGUUAAUAAAAUUUUAAAUAUAUUUUAAUUGAAUUAAAUAUUUCAACACAAAAUUUAUGUUCUUAUACAGUUAUAUAUUAAUUCUAACAAAUAAUAUGAUUUCUAUGUUUAAAUUUUGGUAUUAAUAACACAGACAACAAUGAGGCAGUUAAGAUUUUUAGAUAAAAAAAUUAUUAAAAAAUAAAAAUAAGCUAGUACAUUUGUUCCAUAACUAAAAAAAAUUGAUUUUUUUCUUUAAAUUAAUUAUUUUACAUCGUUUUAAUAUGUUAAUGUUAAAAAUAAAUUUUUUUUAAAUAAAAAAAUAUUAUCUUUAUAUAUUUUCAAAAAGUAUUUUGAAAAGUAAUUAUUAUUAUUUUUUUAAAAAAUUUGCAAGUAUUAACAAUCAUAGUUUCUACUUUAAAAUAUGAAUAUGUUACAGAAAACUAAGGUAGCCGGUCAUGUGGGCUCAAUGAACCUAGUACAGUUGGCCUAACCUAAAUUCCUCAGUACAAGUUGAUUAUGGAAAAGGCACCACAUUUAAUUAGGGGUUGUUCGCAUGCAUUUUAAUUGGAGUUUUGCAUAUAUUUUUGAAAAAAAAAAAUUGUACUUUAAAUUGAAUUUUUUUUUAUGUUUUUAGAUUAUUUUGAUAUUUUAAAGUUAAAAAUUAAUUUUAAAAAAUUAAAAAAUUAUUUUAAUCAUUUUCCAUAUAAAAAGCAUGUUGAAAAACAACGUGUACCACUCUUCUGUUGCUCUAAACACCCUUUGACGACAAAGGAAUGCAAGACAUGUAAACAUAGGAGGUUUGGUGAGCAUAUUGGAAUUUGAUCAUCAGAGGCUAUGAACUGAACUUGGAGCUCUUUGUGAGUUAUCAUAUUAGACAAAGUAAGGUCGAUUUCAACGUCCUCCAUGCAAGCAUGAAAAACCAAAUUCAUUAUGAGAUAUAUAUCCCCAAGAUUAUCACAUCAUAAAAAAGAGGAGUAGUGGUCGAAAUCCCUAAAUCUAUAAAAACAAAUGAAAAUAUACUUGAUAUGUGCAUGUUAUGAUGAUGAAAUGAAUAUGCAUAGAAAAUAUUAUAUGUGUAAUGAAUGAAUAUGGAUUGCCUAUAACAUUUUUCUUGAAGGAAUCAUGACCAAAGACUUCUUUGUGAUUCAGGAGGAGCGACCAUGAUUGGAUCUUCUAUUAGAGGAGGUCACGAGACAAGUGGAGCAGGUGCGUGGUUUCCUCUCUCCUUUACGCUUAUGCAAUUUAAAGUCUUCUUGAUGAAUGCAAUUACAAUAAUGUUAUGUUCAAUGUAAAUAAAGUAUGGCGUUAACAAAAUUAGCUUUGGCUAAUGACGUCCAUAAUAGGAUUGUCGGGGAAUGAAUUACAAGAGUAGUUUCAGCUAAUGACAUCCGUGAUAGGAUUGCCGGAAAUGAAUUACAAGAUUAGUUUCAGCUACUAACGUCAUUGUUGGGACGCCUGGGAACGAUCGAUAAGGCUCGAUUCUUAAAGGGUAUUUAUGUUUGGAUGACUUGGGAAAAUUGAAAAGUAUAAUUGUCUAAAAAUAUCCAGGUUGGAUUAUGCAAAGUCACUCGGUUCAUGCAAGAAAAUAAGAGUAUUAAAAUUAAGGAUAUGUAAAUGAUAUCUAAUUGGGUUUUAUAUGAUUCACAAGUAAAUUAUAAGUUUAUUAUUAAAAUUCUUAUAGAAUCGAUAGAAAAUUUAUGUUUUAUUUAUAUACAUUACAUGAUCAUUUAUAUUUUUUUUGUCAACAUAUUAGUAUGCUUAUUACGUUGGUAUUGUAACAGGUUCAUCUAAUAUCCAGGAGCUCAUUAGUUUGGGGGGUGUUUGCCCCGCACUUUAAUUUGAGUUUUGCAUAUUUUUUUUGAAAUUUCUUUUACUUUAAAUUGAUUUUUUAUGUGUUUUUGGAUCAUUUUAAUAUUCUAAAAUCAAAAAUAAAAUUUUAAAAAAAUAUAUAUAUAUAUUAUUUUAAUACAUUUCUAAACAAAAAAUAUUUUAAAAAAUAACAUUUAGCAGUGUUCCAACACCCGCUUAUAACAAAAGGAAUGCCAAAUGAGUAAACAAAAGAGGUUUGAUGAGCAUAUUGGGAUUCGAUCAUAAGAGGCAAAGUAUAGGUCGAUUUCAACAUGCUUCACGCAAGCAUGAAAAACCAAAUUCAUUAUGAGAUUAUCACAUCAUAAAAGAAGGAGAAGAGAUCGAAAUCCCUAAACCUAUAUAUAUGAAAAAGAACUAAGCAAUUUUAUCUCGGCAACAACAUUGACAAUAACUUUAUGUUCAGCCUUGGUACAAUUUUUUUUUGGUUUUUUUAGUUUAGAAAUAUAACGUUUUGGUACAAAACUUUAUUUUAUUUGUAUUUUAGUUUUUAAAUUUAAAAAAAGAUAGAGAGAGAGAGUUGUUGAAAAACUACAAAGAAGGAAGAAAGUUAGUGAAUGAUAACUUUUUGGUGAUGAAAGUUAUUGUUUUUAAUGUGAAUGGAUUUCAUUUAACGAUUAAAGUUUUAUUUUAGUUUUUUUUUUAUCUUAUUGAAAAAAAUAGAUCAUGACUCGAUAAUUAAUUUAGAUUUAGAUUGAUUUUUUAUUUUUAAAUUAAUUAAAUGUUUAUUUAAAAUCAUGAAUGAUUAAAUAAGAUCAUUUUAAUGAAACUCUCAUCUUUAAGAUGAAUCCAUUGAUAUUAAAAUAGGUCUUUUUAUGACAUUAGUCAAAUACUCUCUUUUCUCUAUUUUCUCACCACAUUCCCUGUCUCCUCUCAACAUUUAAUAACUAAAAAUAUAAUAAAAAAUAAAGUUUUAAGAUUGAAUCAUAAAAAUUUAAAACUACAUAAUUAAAUAAAUCUGAAAAACAAAAAUUCCAAGAACCAUGUUAAACUUUUAUGCUAUAAAAGGAUUGCAUAAUAAGAGAAUAGUUCAAUGCAUAAUAACUUGAGUCUCGCCCACAUUAAAAUUUGUUAUGGUAAGAAUAACAAAUGUUUUAAUUUAAAAUAUAAUAUGAAGCAUAUACGACUUUCGUAAAUUGAUUUAAUAUAUUUUAGAGUAUCUGCUCGAAAAAGCCAUUCAACAUGAGAUUGUUCUGCUAGGAAAACAUGAUAUCAAACUUUUGAACAAAUAGUACAGCAUCAAGUCUCAGUCACCUAUUGUCACCAUGAAUGCCCAAAUAUAUUCACAGCUCAAAGACACGAGUCUCCAUCUUCUUUCCACCCGUUAUAUCUGUUCCACUCUCUAUUAAUGCUUGAAUCUUCAGCUACUUCAGAUACCUGUAAACCAAUUCAAGCAUGGCAUGCUCAUUUUAACUUGUAAAUCUUAUUAUUGAGCGAAACAAGAAACAAACACACUAAAAGAGAGGCAAGAAAUAAAGUUAAAUCAGCAGUACCUCUGAUUGAGCACUCAUUGAACCAUCUGGUGUAGUAGCAAAUUUUGUGGUCAGCUUUGGACAUUGAUGGACCUUCAACUUCUCCAAACGAGGGAAUAAGAAAUCACAGCAUCCGAAACUAAAAUAGACAAUACUUGAUAAUUGUUCCAGCGACAGCUCAUUUAGAUUAGGAAGCACCAUCUCCUUCUCAACGUUGACAGGUGAAGCACGAUCAUCCUGCCCAAAUACUCCCCAUAAUUGAGAGGAUUUUUUAACUGUAAGUAUUCGGAGCUCUGGGAGACCUGAAGCCAUGGCUACUGGGAAGAGGCUCUUCAACUUGUUGCAUUCUCUAAUCUCAAUUUCACGCAAAUUUAAAUACCUCUUCCAAUGAUUUGCAGUCCUCAAUUUCCACCCUCCUUAGAUUUUUCAGAUCUCGCAGCAAUUUUGCUGGAAACGGAGUGCAAACAUCCCCACAAUCGUACACGUGUACAUAUUCUAAUCUUUGUAAGAAGUCGUUUUGCUGUUCAUGGGCGGCCAAUCUUAUCAGAGAACAAUAAUAUAUUUUUUCACUCUCAUGAAAACAAUUUAUAUGAUGUAUAAAUAGGAGGAAAAAAUAGAAAAAACAGGAUUAAAUACUUCUUAGAGAUUACAAUUACAAUUUAUAUGAAUAAUAAUUAGAUUUUUGCGAAAAAAGGUUAAUACAACUGCUAAUAAUAUUUUUAUUUUAGUUAUAAAGUUACUAAAUUUUUAAAGAUAUUUUAAUUGAAUUAAAUAUUUGAACACAAAAUUUAUAUUAAAUUGUUGGUAUUAAUAACGCAAAAUUACGUACUUGUAGCUGUGCCAACCAAUUACCCACUUCUUCGUGGCCUUGAAUGGUUAAUUCUUGCAAAGGCAAUUGAGCAUCAAAAUUCCUUGGACCUAAAAAGCUGUAAUUUGAUCGGAGCCAAAGAGACAAUUCUCUUAGUUGAGGGAACUUGAUGAUGCCAUCUCUGUUAUGUGACAAAGAGACUGGGAAGACAUAUUCCAGUUUAUCACAGAAAGAUAUGUUGAUAGUUUUUAAUUGUGGGAAGCAAGGAGACUCUGGAAUUAUUUUUUUUUCACCAUCCUCUUCUCUGAUAAUAUGCUUCAAUUCACCGCAUUCACUUAUACGAAGGCUUUCUAGCUUUGGCAGACUGUAAGCGAGGGACGGUGUGAAGAUAAAUAUGAGUUUGUCGAGAGAAUUCAAAUUCAGAUGAGCAAGACUUUGAAGGCUUACAUGCCUGGUGUGCCCCCUCCUCCUCACUGCUUCCUUCAUCAGCCUCACCCAAUUCAAAUACCUCUUCCAAUGAUUUACAGCUGUCAACAAUCACCUCCUUUAGAUUUUUUAAACCUUCCCGCAAUCUUGCUGGAAACAGAGUGGAAAGAUCCCCACAACCCUAGCUUUUACAAAUUCUAAUUUAUGUAAAAACAAUUGCUCAAAUGUCUUCGCAUUUAAGGAUGUACCAGCCAAAAUUAAUCUUGUCGAGGUUGGGUAUCCAUAAUUGGCUACCACAAACCAAUUCCCUAAUAUUAUAUCAUAUUUGCGCAAGCUAACUGGAAAAACAAAAUCUCUGGGAAUGCAUUCAACCUUCGGUAUCCUCAAUGAUAAUACGGCUAACUGAGACAACGAAUUUAGUUCUGUUAGGCUUGCAUUCAUUCCUCCUGUGACAUCCAACAACAUCCCAUCCAUCAAAGCUGCCAUCCCCGAUCAACAGCUCUUCUAACUUCUUCAACCUUCCAAUCAAAUUCACAGGGAUCCUUCUUAGCCUUUGACAACCUGUCACAUCCAACAACCUUAACUCCUUGAGCUCUCCUAUUUCAUCAGGUAAUUCUUCAAUGGAUAAGCACGACAUAAGACCAAGAAUCUUAAGUCCCUGCAGCUUUCUCAACGAAAUGAGGUCCUUGCAUUCGCACUCCGUCAACAGCGACAAUUGAAGUUUCGUUGAGAGUUCGAGUGAUUGCAAUGACAAACACCCUCCCUUCAGAGACAAAACUUCAAUUUCUUUCAUCCCUUCAAAAAACCUCUCUGGAACAUUCAAACCAUCAUCCAGUUCUAAUAAUAGAACUUUGAGCUGUGGACAUACCAAUCCUUCAGGAAGUUCUGCUAGUUUAUUGCCCAUUAACGAAAUUGUUGUGCAACCUUCAAAGCUUUCAAUACUCGUUGGCCACUUCUCCAAUACCAUGAAUCCAUAUUCUUUUGAUGAUGCUAUCUGAAUAGCAACAUCACGAACCAAGUCAUGCAUUCUCACAUGUUCUUCAGUUUCAGUGCCCAACAACAAACAACAAGCUUUGAGGUCUUUGAUUGCCACAUGAACUUGUUCCCUUGCAUCUUCAAUGGGCUCCCCAUCUUGAUGUAACCCAUAGCCAACUGCAUAUCUCGUCAAGUCCUCGACUGGAAUGUUGUAAUCUUCUGGAAAUAAACAGCAUAGCAAGAAACAUAACUUGGUUUCCUUGGACUUCAAAUAAUCGUAGCUCAACUUAAGACAUGCAUAUGCAUUUUUUUCUUCAAUUUGUUCCAUGUCCGGAAAUUGAGAGUUUUUGAGCUGUUUAGACACUCUUUUCCACUUAACUGCAGAUUCAUCUCUUAGAGCCCUUCCCAUUGUCACGAGUGCUAUAGGCAAGCCGUGGCAUUCUCUCGCAACAUCCCUUGCCACUUCGUUCAAGGUAGAGUCCCCAUCAUCUAAACCUGCAUUGAUUCUGAAUAAAUCGCAUGCUUCUUUUUCAGGUAAUACUCUUAAGAACACUUUUUGCUGGCACUUCAUAGAAGAACAUAUAUUUUUACGACGAGUUGUUAGAAGAAUUUUACAACCCCUGUGAUCAUCACCAAAUGGGAUCCCUAUCUCUUUCAAGUCAAUAUGUUUCCAAACAUCAUCCAGGGUUAUAAGCAUCUUCUCCACUUUCUUCAGUCUCUGCCGUAAUCGAUCUGCUCUCCCUUCUUUACUGUUUUCUUCAAUUUUCAAACCUAACAUAUCUGCCAUUCGGUUCUGAAUGUCUAUGACAUUUGGAUUCUGCGACACCGUAGCCAUCAAAACUUCAUCAAAAAGCUGCGACUCUGUGGCUAUCCUGCCUACUUCUUUCACCAAGGUGGUUUUACCCACCCCUCCCAUGCCGUACAGUCCGAUCAUAUUGACGUUGUCAUCUUUGAGAGCUUCCAUAAUCUGUUCCAAAGCUUCUUCUGACGAUUUUGAGGGCGUGAAUUCCUUUGAUGUUAGAAAUUCUAUGCGCUGAGGAGGACGUUUGUCGGCCACUUUUGUAAACUUUUCGCUACUUUCUCCAAGUUUUCUGAAAGUCUCCGACUUCUUGGCCAGUGCCUUGCUUAACUUGAAUUGUCGCAUGCAGUUUGGGCACCAAGUAAAGCAUUUGCCAUUUUUUCCUAUUUCAUUUUCCAACGGCUUCGCACCUUCAAUUUCGUUGUUUGCAUCUUCCAGCCACUUUUUGACAUCUUUGUAAAUUUCUUCAGCAUUCCUUUCAGGAGCUCUGACAACAUCUUGCAGACGAUCUUUUUCCGAAACCAGGUUCUCCUCUCUUUCUUUGAAUUCUUGAGCAAAAUUGUUGAAACAGAACAUGUAACGGAACUGCCUUCCUACUGGUUCCACCAUGAGUUCUGCUAGCAUAGCUAUAAUGGAUCCACCAGCACUUUCGAGAGCCAUUUUCCACGGGUCUGAAAAUCUAAGAAAUAAGGAUACAGAACGUGAGAGUGAGUCACUACAAGUAAAACAGGCGCAGAGAGAGUGGGAAUAGGAAUCCAUUACCUUAAUUUGGGAAAAUAUGUGCGCAAGAGCACUGGUACUGAGUGCUCAAUGAAAUAGCGGGAGGAAGAAAAGGAGAAGGCCUUUAGCUCUGUAUGGAUUCCAGCUUCAAAAGCAACAAGGCAAGGUAUAAGUACAACAAUAAAAUAGUUUACAUGGAUUCUAACUGACUCUUGUGAGUUAACUUAAAGCAGUAGUUCCCAUUAAAAAUGCAUUUUGAUGACAUAAUUAAGAUAAUAUAGAGACAGUGACAAACAAAUAAAAAAAUAAAAAUGUGUAAAAGUACUCACGCAAAGAAAGAAACGAUUGAAAGGUUCGGAUAAUCACUUAGACGUCUCCGUGGAUGAUACCAGCUCGCUUCCAUGGAUAGGUCAAAGUUUUUUUUAGUUUUCUUUUUUUAAAAAAAAAAACAGAUCAACAAGAGAAAAGACUUGCAAAGAAGUAGAAUUACUGAAAGAAACUCAACAAAAAAUCAAACUGAAGCAAUUAAAAAUAAUUGUCUAUGAUGACCAUCUCUGUAUCACAUAUUCAGGUAAUAUUCAGGUAACAAUAUUAAAAAAAAAAAAAAAAAAAAGCUAAAAGAACUACGUUUUUGAUAGCAUCCAGAGUGCGGUUACUCUUUUAAUCCCUUUUUUGUGGUUUUAUUUUAUUUCAGUCCUUCAAGUCUUUUUCUUUUGCUAUUUCAUCGAGUUGCUUUGCUCUUGAGUUGUUUUGUGGUUUUAUUUUGUUUCAGUCCUCGAACAUGCAACAUGCAUUAUGCUAGGAAUCAUAAUUACAUAUUAUAAUUACAAAUUUCAGUUUUUUUAAAAAAAAAUAUAUGAGAAAGGACCAAUAUUACAAUGUGAACAAAUGAAAGGAGAAUUUUAAAUUUUCUUGUGACAUGGUGACCAGGUAAUCCAAGGAACCAAUAGAUUAUCGCCACUUGUUCAACCUUAUCUGCACAUUAAGAUAGGGUUGAAAGUAGGAGAGAAAAGUCAUAACCCUAGAUUCUAUUGUGACAUGGAGAUAAAGGUAAUCUCAAAAGCUAAUAGAUGGUCGCCACGUGUUCAACUUUAUCUACCCUUAGGAAGGGAUAGAAAUGGGAGAGAGAGAGGUUAAAAGGCUUAAAAAAAAGAAAAAAGGAAAGACAGAAAUAAAAGAAAGGUUGAGAUAAGAGAGGGACGUGGAAAUAGAAGGAGAGGUUGAGGGAGGCUGCAGAAACGGAAGAAGACAUUGAAAGAUCGGAGGAGAGUAAGAUAAAAAUAUGAAAAUGAGAUGCUCGUUUAUCUUUUUGAUUGGGAUUUUUUUGUGCCUUUGAUAAAAAUACUCUGUUUUUUUUUUUUUUUUCUCUCUUUGAUUGGGAUUUUCUUGUCUCUUUUAUUUGGAAAUUUUUUGGACACUUAUAUAAUAUUGGUGAAAUUAUUGUUCAUUCAAACACAAAUUUACUUUGGACUACAAUAAUAUUUUUCUCUAAUUUUGAGUUUUAGUUUUUGAUAGCCAAGCUCGUUCGAUUUUUUUUAUUUUUUUUUUCAUGCUCUUGUAAAUAAUGUAGGAGAUGAGGACCUGAAAUCACGGCAGCGAACAAAGAGAGAAAUUUUAUUUUUAUUUGAAAUUAAUUUUUUAAAAACUAGUUUAACAAUUAAUAUAUAUAUAUAUAUAUAUAAAGAUAAUAGAGUAUUUGUCCAAAUCAAAACUCAUUAACAUAGGACACAAACACGGAGAGAGCUAUUUGUUUUUUUAACUGUAUCAGAGUGGUUUUUAAUUAAUAUUUUUAGUGUAUUUUUAUGAUUUAAAAAAAUGUUUUUUUGAUGAUAUAUAUAUAUAUAUAUAUAAUUUUUUUAAUAUAUUUUUAAAAUUAUAUGUCACGAAGGGGGUUUUAUAUUUUUUAAAAUUCACGUAGAUUUAUUUUACUGUAGAUAACAAUAAUGAAUAUUUUAAAAAUUUUAAAGAGAGAAACUUGUUAAAAUCAUUGUUUUUUGAGUUAAAUCAUUGUUUUUUUUACUUUAAAAACACCUCAAAAAUAAUCUGAACUCCAAAAAAUCUCAGAAAAUCUUUUAUUUUAGGUUGUUUUUAGAUUUUAGAGUGGUUUUUUGUAUUUUUGGAGAUUUUGUAUUAGUUUAAUAAGGUUAUAAGAGUGUUUCAUAUAUAUUUUGGAUAAAAAAAUAGGUUGAAAAUAAAUUUUUAAAUAAAAAAUCAAGCCUUGUUUUUAAAUAUAAUUCAAAUAAAACUAUUUAUUUAGUUGGUCAGAAUUAUAAUCUUAAUUAUUUAAUAUUUUUUUAGAGGAAAAAGAAACACGCUUACAAAUAGUGCAGUACAAACCGAAGAGACAUCUUGUUUCCCUAAAAAGAAAAAGAAAGGAAUAUAUAUAUAUAUAUAUAUAUAUAUAUAUAUAUAUAUAUCCUCUCUUUUUAUAUCUUCUCUCUUCUUAAUUUUAUCGACCACUUAUCCAACGAUAGCCUAAACAACCAUCAGUCAUGCCUCUUUUCAAGACACAAUCUAUCAAUCUCUAAACUAGAAACAUCCCCUUCUUCAUUUAACCUAAUCUCAUAACUCCAAGAAAGUGAAGGACUAAAUCAUAGUGACAAAUCUUAAAGAGUUCUAAAUUAUCUCUGUUACUUUCCCUCAAUUUUCUAGACAACCAAAAGGAGCUCUAAACUUAUUCCCAAAAAACAACCAAUCAGCACUGAAAGAAACCGAGUCAAUGAGAGAAAAAGACUAAUAGCUAGAAAACAAUCAACAAAAUGAAGAACUUUCUGUAUGGUUUCCAAGAAAAUGAAAAGAAACAAGCAGCACAACCCUUUUUCCCCUCCAAGAAAAGAAAGACAAGGUAAAAGGUAAAAGAAAGGAAAGAAACAAAGAUAGAAAGUCGAACUUGGCUAAGUCUAUAGCUUAUUAAAUUCAUAUAGAAAGGUGGGAUUUUAUAAGCCAUGUAAUAUCUCUUUUUUCUUAGCAACCAAACACAACUAGAAAGCCAAAAGAAAACAUUUUUGAUGAAUACCCACCAAACAGUUGAAGUGCUGUUGUAACUGAGAUUUACUGUUAUAUGUAAUUUUUGUGGUUCAAUGGAUAAAUAAUUUUCUUUUCUUUCAUUUUACCAGCUUUCGCACGUGGAAUAUUGAGUCUUCUGUUUUUUUCAGCCAUAUAAUUGAAUCCUUUAUAUAUUCUUAAAACCAGAUUUGAAUUCUAAGUUCCUAAAUGAAGGAAUAAUAAAGAUUGUUGCAUGUAUAAAUUUUCCUUCAAAAAAUUAACAAAUAAUAAAGUCUCAUAUGUUAAUGAAGAUUUAAUUAUAACUUAGCCCUGUAAUUUAUUGAAAUUAAUUAUUGUGUCCUUAAAGUAUCAUGGAUAAUUAAAAAGUCUAUUAACUAGUGUUGAUCACCCCCUAUUUACUAUAUUUUUCUCUAAAAAAUGCCUUCCUAAUGAAAUUUCCCCAACUGCAUACUUUUUUUUUCCUUAUUCUAUUUUUCAAAAAAGAAGAAAAACAAAUAUUACUUGGAAACAAACUAAACUAUAUGUAACUUUAAUAAUAUAAGAAUUAAGCAUAUAGUUAUUGAAACUAUAUGAUUAAUUAAUUAUUGUUAUCAAAUUAUACAGACUAAAUUAUAAUUGGUUAAGUGUUUGUGUGGAGGAGUGUUUGCAAAUACCAUGGGAGAUGCGAUUUGUAUUAUUUUAGUUGUUGGUAUAAUAGUCCAAAAUAUUAUGACCACUAUUUUAUCAUAGUUAUUACACUUGGUCCAGCUCAGCAAGUCAACCAGGACUCGGGUGACCUGGGGCCUUAACCAGGUCUGUUUUAUUGAAAACUCGAGCCUGCAAUUGUCUAAGAGAAAACUGGUCAACCCGAAACCUGGGUGACCCAACAAAACCCGGUAAAGACCCUUUUUUUUAGUUUGUUUUUUCUCCUAACCAGAGACCUCUCUUUUUAUGUAUAUAUAUUUUUCAAUUGGAUACCAACUCAUUUCAAAGUUCAACAACCCAGUUUCAUGGAAUUGGAUGUUUACACCUAAAUUCUUCCAUAGAAGUCUGCAACAUCUUGUCUCUGAUCAGUGAUCACUACAAUUGCAUAUUCUAGGCUGAUUGAGUUGACACCAUUAAACGAAUGAAUGUGAAUCUACAACCUCCAAAUUAAACACGGUUGGAUCUAAACAAAAUGUGUGCACCUCCUUUACCAACUUUAGGUGGUUUUCGAUAAUGUUUACAUCAGAGUUGCUCCAGCAAAACCUUGAAAAUGCUCAACCUAAUCAGCCUUGACUAUGUCACCCAUUUCACAAAAACCACCCAUUUUUUUCGUGUGUUCACAUUUAAAACCUUCUCAAAAGGUUCUUAUCAAUGACUUUAAAACCUACCUUUCAAAAUCAAAAGGCCAAAAAUAACUCAUUGCCUUCUAAGUCUAGCAAAACCAUCAAGCACCCUUCAAACCAAAACCACAAUUGCAAAACCAGUUAAGUAUAAGAGCUUCUAGUUGUUUGCUUUUUUUAGAACCCUCUGACUUUGAUCAAAAGGCUGAACUUUGAUCAAUCUUUGAUGGAAUCCACCAAAAAACCUAUAAAUACCAUAUAAAUACCCUUGGAAAUCAGAGUUGGAGAGAAGGAUAGGGAAAACAUGGAAAUAGUCUGUUAAUAGACCAUCCUAUGAAGGUUUAAGAGCAUAAUAUAGAAGGUUUAACAAGCUUUGUAAAGAAAGAGAGUGAAAAAUAACAGUUUAUAGUUAGCAAGCUUGAAGAAGAUAUAAUCAUGUAAAAACCCAAGGGUGGAGUCUAUGUGACUUGCCCAUUCAUGCUUUCUUAAUGUUUAAACAUCUUUUAAUGUUUUUUUUAAACUUGUUUUAGUGCUAUGAUGUUUUUUAGUUUUGUUUUGAUUAAUACAUAAAAAUAUUAUUUUUAUUGUUUAAAUUUUAUUUGGAAUUGUUGUUGAUGUUACAAAGACUUAUUUAUCAUAGAUCAAUUUGGUAAUGACUACUAGACUUUGUGAAAAGACCUCACUGUCUCUAAUAGCGAGUUCAAUGAUUUUUUAUGAUAUAAACAAAACAUCAUCAUAUGAACAAUAUUUUCACUUAUAGUGAAUAGUAUUUUCUAAGUGGUUUUAGAUUUGGUUUAUUAGAGUUUCUAAAAGACAAAAAAUGAAAAGUGAGAGACAAAUAAAAAAAGAGUAAUCUUAUCUUUUGAUAUGGUAGUCUAAAAUACACCAUGAUAUGGUGGCGAGGCCCUUUUUUCCUGCCUUUUCUUUUAAAAAAUGUUAUGCCUUUGAUUACAAAUCCUUAGUCCCCAACAACAAUUGUAACAGAGUUAAAGGUUAUGUAAAAGGAAUCUAAAAACUCUAUCAAAAGUAGUGGAGCACUAGCAUAUUGGCCGGUGCUCUGCAACAGGUCAAUAUCAAUUUUUUUAAAAUGUAAAAAAAUAUGAAGAGUAUAGAAAAUGUUUUAAGUGUCUUGGGUCUAGUACCCUUACCAGAACUAAGCAUGACUACCAGACUCAAGUUGCUUGGGUCUGGCAAGGCUGAAGACCCAAGGCUCUUCAGUGUAGUAUGGUUGCCAGACCCAAAGCAAUGGGGUCUGGCAUUGUUGCUAGACCCACAGAAACAAACAUAUCAGACCUACAUUACUUGGGUGUGAUAACAUUGCCAGCCCCGAUCGACCUAGUUCUGUUAGUCAUGCCAAAAUUGAUCACCUUCGGUCUUGCAGUCAUGCUAGACUUAUCGCUUUGGGUUUACCAUGUCUAAAAGAACCAAGGAUCUUGGGUCUGGCACGAUGCCAAACCUAAUGCUUUUUGGUGUGGCACCUUAUCAAACUCAAGGCGAUUGAGUUUGGCAUGACUGUCAGACUCAAGAUGAUUGUGUCUGGAUUGACUGUCAGACCUAAGGUGCUUAGGUCUCGCAAGGCUGUCAGACCCAAGAUUAUUCUGAGAAAUAAAGUUGAUGGACACAACUAAAGCCAUGCUCAUAUUGCGAGUUUAAAUAUCUUAAUUUUAGUUAUUUUUUAAUCAAAUAUCAAUUUAUUUAACUAGAUAUGUGUAUAAAUAUUUUGAUUUAUGAUUGGAAACUUUUUACAUAAAAAAAGUUGAAAAAACUUGUUCUUGAGAGAUCUAAAAGACCCUGCAACUAAGGUUUGUUUAUUUGAAACCAGACACAACAACUCUAGUUUUGCCUUUGAAAAUGAAUUUCUAAUACCUUUUUCCAUGAAAAAGUGUUUGACCUUCAUCAAAUCAAAUAGAAAUAGAAUUGAUCAAUUAUUUUGUUUGCAAAACAUAGAGAAAGCAAUGUCAAGAUAUAAACUUAAUUAAUAAAUAUAUAGUUGGUUUUGUCUUACAAGGAAGAAUUUUUUUGUCCUAAAAAAGAGUAAUUGAAUUCUAGUUGAAUAGAAACAUGAAAUUAUUUAUUCCCAUGCAAGAUGAAGUCAAGAUUAACCACUCAUUUGUGUGAGGCAAAACAAUGUUGUUGUUGUUGUUGUUGUUGUUGCUGCUGCUGCUGCUGCUCCAACAACAAACAAUUAUUAUUUUAUUGCUGUUAUUUUUUAUGCCACCUAGUCGUUUGCUAGAAACUUUACAUCUAAAAUUUCCUUCACUAAUCUUUUUCUCAUUUUCUAACCGAAAAGUCAUGUACUAACAAAAGCCUUUUAUAAGAUGUUUGUUUUCUUAGCUACCUCACGCAUGGUCAUACAAACAUGAUGAACACAAGCCUAAUAUGACUUUCUUUUUAUUUCUUGAAUCAAUAACAAACUCGUCCCAAGGAAACUAAUGUUUACUUUUACGUGUUGUGCAUCCUAGAUCAAAAGGAAACAUAAAAAAACACAUACAAGUAGAUUUAUGUGGUUCCCCAAAAUGAGUACGUCCAUGGAGGCAGCAAAUUGUAUAUUAUUGGAGGAAUGUUACAAACACUCUACUCAACCUCAGUAUAAUUCUAAAAAAACUCAGUAUUUCACUCUUACACUCAAUGUUUCUCUAAAAUCUGCCUUUUCUCACUCUCACAUUACAUUGUCUUCCUGUCUUUUUUUGCUUUUUUUUGCCUCCUUUUAUAAGAGAAAUGGAAGCCUUGACAACCUCAUUAAUUCCAAUUCCAGCAACCCAUAAAUAGCAAACAACUAUUAACUAUCAUAAUAAAUGUUACAACUGACUUUAGUGCAUCUAUCAUAAGUGUUGGUGGUUGAAAAAUGUUGAUAUAAAUUGCUAAAAAUCUCCACCUUGGCGAGAUUUUUCCAUCCAAUCAUAGUGAUCAAUCAAUGUUGCCUCUAAUGAGCCAUAUGGCGCUGCACCCUGAAAGUGCUUAACACCAAGAGAUGUUGACUAAGUCCAAACAAUGUUGGAACUUGAUCCUUGAGACAUAUUUUAUGAGCAUGUCAGUUGGAUUAUCUACAAUACCAAUCUUCUAUAGCAAAAUAUCCCCUUCAUCCAUAAUUUCUUGAACAAAAUGAAAUCGAACAUCAAUGUGCUUGGUGCGGGAAUGAUGAAACUAGUUCUUUGCAAGACAAAUUACACUUUGACUAUUACAAUGGACAUCCACGUGCUCUUGAACAAUUCUCAAGUCUGCAAUCAACCCAUAUAACCAAAUAGCUUCAUUGGAGGCUUGUAUUACUACCAUGUACUCUGCCUUAGUUGUUGAUAACACUAUCGUUGAUUAUAACAUUGACCUCCAACUUACAGGUCGUUUAGUAAGUGUAAACACAUAGCCUAUUGUGAAACGACACUUGUUUAAGUCAUCAGCAUAGUAUGAGUCCACAUAACCAACUAAAUUUUAUUCGAGGUUAUCAUCCCUUUCAAACUUCAAACCAAUAUCAGUUGUGCCAUGAAUGUACCAUAGAAUCCACUUAACUGCCUAUUAGUGACCCUUUUCUGAAUCAUGUAUAUACCUACUCACCAUAUUGACAGCAUAUGAAAUAUCUAGUCUCGUAUAAACCAUUGCAUAUAUUAAUGCACCAACAACAUUUGCAUACAGAAUUUGAGCCAUAUACUUGCACUCAUCCUCUAUGCAUGGAGACAUUGAAGCAUUUAGCUUAAAAUGAAGAGCUAAAGAUGUGCUUACAAGCUUGGUCUUACCAUCUACCCCAAAUCUCUGUAGAAUUUUCUUCAAGUAUUGGGUCUAUGUCAAACAUACUAUAUCUUUCCUUUUAUCUCUUUAAAUAUCUAUACCAAUUAUCUUUUUAGCUUCUUCAAGAUCUUUUAUUUCAAAUUUAUUUCUCAGUUGAGCUUUCAAUUUAUUAAUUUCCACCUUGCUUUUAGAUAUAAUUAGCAUAUCAUCCACAUAUAAGAGCAAAUAAAUAAAGGAACCAUCAAGAAGCUUGCGAAAAUAUACAAAAUGGUUAAACUGACUCUGUGUGUAUCCAUAUUCUAUCAUGAACUUAUCAAAUCGCCUAUACCACUAGCAAGAAGACUGUUUCAAUCCAUACAAUGAUAUCUUCAGUCUAUACGCUCAAUUCUCUUUUUUGGUGACUUUGAAACCAUCUAGUUGUUACAUAUAAAUUUCCCCUUCCAAAUCUCCAAGUAGGAAUCCGGUUUUCACAUCAAGUUGGGCUAACUUAAGAUCAAAAUAUGCAAUCAAGGCUAGCAAAAUAUGAAUUGAUGAAUGCUUAACAGCUAGAGAGAAUACCUCAUUAUAAUUUAUCCCCUAUUUCUGAGAGUAGCCUUUUGCUACUAAUCUUACCUUGAAUUGGAUGCUGUCUUUUCCAGGAUUACCUUCUUUCUUGGCAUAGACCCACUUGCAACCAAUUGUCUUCUUUCCUUUGGGGAGUUAUACCAAAUCCCAAGUCUGAUUUUUGUGGAGAGAUUUCUUCUCUUCAUUUAUUGUCUAUUUUUAUUUUACACUUUCUAUACUCUCAACAGAUUCUUUGUAGGUGUAGGGGAUUCCAUCAUCAAUCACUGGAAAUGCAUAAGCCACCAUGCUACAUUACCGAAAAGGUUUCUUGAUAACCCUUUUCAGUUUACUUAUUGCAAUGAAUUCUUGUUGUUAUAUGGUUGUUGGAGUUAUAACAUUCUCUUCAUUUGAACUUUCAUCUGAAUCUUCUUCAACAUGAAUUGUCUGAAUAGUCUUUAUAGGAAAGGUUGAAGUCUCAAACUCCAAAUGUUAUGCAUCACUUGGUUGUUUCUCCUUUUUCUUGCGACCUCUCUUGUUGUAGCAUGCUAAACUCGUCAAAAAUAACAUCUCUACUCAAAAUCACUUUAAUUGAUUCAGAACACCAGAGUCUAUAGCCCUUUACUUCUCCAUUAAAGCCUAAAAAUAUAGCUUUCCCGGCUCAAGGAUCUAGCUUGGACUCAGUAACAUGAUAAUAUGUUAAACAUCCAAAUACACACAUAUAGUCAUAAUCAUUUGCAGGAGAGCUUGACCAUACCUCCAAGGGAGUUCUUAUAUUUAAUGUUGUUGAAGGCAACCAAUUAACAAUAUGACGAGCAUAACUUAAUGUCUCGCCCCAUAACGCUUUGUUUAGUCUCGAAUGUGAUAGCAUACAUUAGAUUUUCUCCACCAAUAUACGGUUCAUACGUUCUACUACUCCAUUCUGUGUGUUUUCAAAUAGUAAAAUGUUGUUUUAUCCUUUCAUUUUAGCAAACUUCAAAGAAAGGAUCUGAAGUGUACUCACCACCAUUAUCUGAUCGAAGAGUCUUAAUUCUUUUUUCUAGUUUGAUUCUCCACCAUUUUUCUUCCAUUUCAGAAAGAUAUCAAGGACCUCAUCUUUGUGUUUCAUCAUAUAGACUCAUACUCGUCUUGAGAAAUCAUUAAUAAAAGUAAUAAACCAACGAUUACCUCCAAUAGAUUCAUUCUUUGAAUGUCCCUAUAUGUCUAUGUGAACAUAAUCUAGAAUCUAUUUUAUGUUGUGUACUACAGUGCCAAACUUAACCCUUGUCUGUUUUCCAAGAAUAUGAUGCUCACAGAACCCAUACUUUCUAGUCUUGGUGCCUUUUAAUAGACCUUUCUUGACCAAUCCUCACAAAGCCUUUUCACCAGCAUGUCUUAAACGCACAUGCCAAAGUCUGGAAUUAUCUGCUUCAUCAUCUUUAAAACUCUUGGAGACGACUACUCUACCAGUAACUGUAGACCUAUCCAGGAAAUAUAAGUUUCCUUUCCUUGUGCAUUUUAAAGCAUCUAAUACACCACAAAUUGCUUUUAAGACUUCAAACGAGAAGAGAUUUUUCUUUAAGUCAGGUACAUACCGUACUUCUGUUAGUGUCUUGACUAUCCCAUUAUGCAUCUUCAGAUGAAUAAUCCCUAUCCUUUUUAUGUCACAAACAUCAUCAUUACCCAUAAACAUAACUCCUCCAUCGAACUCUUUAAGUCUCAAGAAUAAGUGCUUGUUGGGGCACAUGUGAUAGGAACAUCCAGAAUUAAAAACCUAUUCACUGGAAUGGUUUUUUGAUGAUAAGACCAUGAAUGAAGAGUCUUGUUCAUCUUCAUCUCGUGCAAUGUUCAUAGUUGGUUCAUCCUUGUCCUUGUUGCCUUUAUUUGGACAAUCUUUCUUCCAGUGUGGGUAUCUUAAAUAAAUAUCAGACAUGCUUGGGUCUUCUUCUUUUUUUUCUUUGUGAGCGUACAAUGCACAAUGGUAGGCAACCUAUAUUUCUUUUAUUAUUAAGCAAACAAUAAUUCACCUAAUGGUUUGAUCAUCUAAAAUCUUGCCAUUAUAAUGAUAGCUGAAAAAAUAAAGGGUUGGUAUAAUAAUUUAAUUUUUAAUUCAUUGACAUCUAAAAAUACUAUAAAAAACUUUUAUAAACCACUUAUCAACUCCAAAACAUCCUUAAGAACAACUUGAACAAAAAAAAAAAACAACUAAAUCGAAAAAAUCUAAAAGAACUUGAAUCUAUUUUUUCAGGUAAGAUGAAUGACAAAGAACACUUAAAUGUAACUUUUCUCAUCGAAAGAAACCCGUUUAUAUCAAGAAUGAUUUUUUCAUGGUCAUAAUCUUGGCAAUCAGAAACUUUUUUAUUUUAUCAUUAUUUUUCAAUGUUUCUCUUUCUCUUAUCUCUCAAACCAGAGAUCAAGAUGAAAAAAAAAUUAUUGGACCAUAACUUCCAAUCCCUAAAUUAGAGGGAUCAAAAAGUAACUUUGACAAAACCAAAAGGCAAAAUUUAACAAAAAAACCAAGACUCUUUUAUUCUUCUUCCAUUUUGGUUUCUUAACUUUUAAUCUUGUGAAACUAAUAAAAUCACAUAAAUUCCAAUAAAAUUAAAAAUCAAUUUAAUGACAAGAAGUUUUGUCAAGAAUAUAAUAGUCUCGUGAAAAAGUAAGAAAGAAUAAGUUAUAAAGAUUGAUUCCAAUAAACGCAGUGUGAAACAAUUAAAUAAAAAAUUGAAGAGCAUUAAAAAAAAACAUUUAUUAGCCCAAAUCACAAAUUCCACUAAAACAUUCACCUUUCUCACCUUUGAUUUCUGGGUCGCCGGUCCUCGUCUUAUUUGGUUUUGGUAUCUGUCAUUGUUUUUUCUUUUUUCUUUGUUUUUUUUUUUAGGGGGGGGAUUUAUAGCGUGGGUUAAACGAGAAUUAUUUGCUGCUUAUUACUUUGUAAUAAAUUAAUUAAUUCUCAAAAAAUAGUAAAUUAAACUUGCCUUCAAUUAGGAUUUGUGUUCUUCAAUUUUGAACCUUUUCUUUUAAUCCCACAAGUAGUAUUUACUAUUUAGUUUACUACUACAUUAUAUUUAUAUUUAGUAUCAAGUUUUUCUUUAAAAAAUCUUAAUAUAUUUUUAUGUUCUUUUCUAUAUUCUACUUUUUACAACUUUUUCUUUAAAAAACAUUAUUUUCUACUUUUUUAAGUUUUUCUUUAAAAAAAUAAUUACUUUUUUUUAUCCAAUCUUAAACAAUUCAUUCAUAAUUGAAUUCAUAUAUUUAUAAGAAUUUAAUUUUUGUAAUUGAUUUUUAAAUCUCAUUCCAAAUUUAUAGUGUAAAGAUUAAACUGAAUUAUUAAAAAAAAUCAAUAGUAGGUCUUGCUUGUAGGAAUUAACUAGUUAGGUGGUCCGCUCUACGCCGAGCGGGCUCAUCUUUAACUUCCAAAAAAAAUUAAGAGCAGAACUCAAGUCUAUUUGGGUCCUGCCAAGCUAGGUUCAAAGCAUAUUUGGAUCCUGCUGCGGCCAGGAUCCAAAGCUAUUUUGGGUCCUGCCCAACCUGGUCUAAGUCUAGUCUUGGGCCAGGCCAUGCAGGACCCAAGGUUAUUUGGGUCGUGUAAUGGUAAGAUCCAAGUUUAUUUUUGGGUCCUGCAACUAAUAAUUUGUAUGUAAUUUGUAAAUGAAAUUAAAUGUAAUUUGAUAAAAUUAUUAUUACAAUACAUUUGGUAAAAUUAGUAAAUAAUAUAACAUUUUCUUUCAAAUUCAUCAAUUAUUUUAUUAAUAAUAUUAAUUACAAAAAAAUAUACUCUUAUAAAUUUUACUGAAAAUAAUAAUAUUUAUAAUACAAAUCAUAAUGUUUUUAGUAUUAAUAUUAUUAAUUAUUAUAAAAAUAAUAUUAUUUAUAACUCCAAAAAUAAUAAUAUUUUUGAGAUUAAUACUAUUAAUUAUACUAAAAAAAUAUAUUAAGAAAAAAUAUAAUAAUAAUAUAAUAUUAAUUAUACCAAAAAAUAAUAUUAAAAGAACAAUUAAUAAUAGUUUUGAGAUCAACACUAUUAAUUAGACUAAAAAAAUAAUAAUUUUUUUAACACCAAUACUAUCAAUUAUACCAAAAAAAUGUAUUAAGAAAAAAUAUAAUAAUUCUUUUAAUAUUAAUUAUACUAAAAAAAUAAUAUCAACAAAACAAACAAUAAUAUUUUUACUAUUAAUACUCUAAAAAUUAAUUAUACCAAAAAAAGAAUAUUAAGAAAACUAAUAUGAUAUUUUUAAUAUUAAUACUUGUAAUUAUACUAAAAGUGUAGGUAGCCCAAGAACCACGUGGCGCUUGGGCUGCACCUAAGAGGACCUGCCUUUGUGCGUGGCAGCGCUUGGGGUGCCUGCGGCCAGGACCCAAUGCUAUUUUGGGUCCUGCCCUGCCUGGCCCAAGGCUAGCCUUGGGCCAUGCCUUGCAGUGCCCACGCCAUAGCGCCACCUGGCACGUGGACUGCAGCGCAGAGGAAGCAGGCCAGGUGCCACAUGGUGCUUGAGUUGUCCGCCCUCAAGAGAGAACUCAAAUGCCACGUGUCCCAACGUGGUUUUUUUUUUUAUAGUAAUAACAGUUUUUUAAAUUUUAUUAAUGAUGAUAAUAAUAUUUAUACUCUUAUAAAUUUUAAUGAAAAUAAUAAUAUGUAUAAUACAAAUAAUAAUAUUUUUAGUAGCAAUAAUAUGAAUUAUUAUAAAAAUAAUAUUAUUUAUAACACCAAAUAUAAUAAUAUUUUAGAGAUAAAUACUAUUAAUUAUACUAAAAAAUAAUAGUAAUAGAACAAAUAAUAAUAGUUUUGAGAACAAUACUAUUAAUUAGACUAAAAAAAAUAAUAUUUUUAAUACCAACUCUAUCAAUUAUACUAAAAAAGUAUAUUAAGAAAUAAUAUAAUAAUUCUUUUAAUAUUAAUUAUACUAAAAAAAUAAUAUCAACAAAACAAACAAUAAUAUUUUUACCAUUAAUACUCUAAACAUUAAUUAUGCUAAAAAAAGAAUAUUUUUAAUACAAUUAUACUAAAAGUAUAGGCAGCCCAAGCGCCACGUGACGCUUAGACUGCACUCAAGAGAAAGGAAAGCUACUGCCACGCGGCGCUGAGGCGGCUUGCCUGGGGGCGUGGCAGCACUUGGUCUGCCCGCGGCCAGGACCCAAUGCUAUUUUGGAUCCUGCCCUGCCAGGCCCAAGGCUAGCCUUAGGCCAUGCCUGACAGUGCCCACGCCAAAGCACCACUUGGCGCUUGGACUGCAGCGCAGAGGAAGCAGGCCAAGUGCCACGUGUACCAACGUGGUUUUUUUCAUAGUAAUAACAAUUUUUUAAAAUUUAUUAAUGAUGAUAAUAAUAUUUAUACUUUUAUAAAUUUUAAUGAAAAUAAUAAUAUUUGUAAUACAAAUAAUAAUAUUUUUCGUAGGAAUAAUAUGAAUUAUUAUAAAAAUAAUAUUAUUUAUAACACCAAAUAUAAUAAUAUUUUAGAGAUUAAUACUAUUAAUUAUACUAAAAAAUAAUAUUAAUAGAACAAAUAAUAAAAGUUUUGAAAUCAAUACUAUUAAUUAGACUAAAAAAAUAAUAAUAUUUUUAAUACAAAUACUAUCAAUUAUACUAAAAAAAUUUAUUAAGAAAUAAUAUAAUAAUACUUUUAAUAUUAAUUAUACUAAAUAAAUAAUAUUAACAAAACAAACAAUAAUAUGUUUGGUUAGUGAACAGACCAAGAGAAAGGAAAUCAAGCACCACGUGCGCUCUUGGUCUGCCCCAGUGCCUAAGGCCGGGCCAACCAAACGUCAAGUGGCGACGCGCUUGGCGCCCUGGUCUGCCCCCAGCCCCAAGGCCGGGCAGACCGAGCGCCAGGGGACAGCAACCCCGGAGGCUUGCCUCUAGGCUGGCGCCCCUGCCCUCCAGCCCAACCACACCCCUGCCAAACAGUGCGGUUCACAGUGAAAUCUAUCACAGUCCACAAUAAAAGCACUCACAAUGCAUCCACAGUGUAGCGAGUGCAAUCCACAGUGAAUUCACUCACAGUGAACAGUAUUCCACGCUACAGUGAAACACUGAUAAGUUUUAGUUAUAAUUAAUAGUGUUUUUAUUUUUGUGCAGCAUAUUCAAUAUGAUUUUAUCUAAUUGCUUUGGUUAGUUUAUAAAUUUAUUUUGUUGGUUUCAGCAUUAAUUUAUUUAAAAUCAAUUUUCUUAUCUGAGACUAAAUUUAUUUUGAGAGUUUUAAAUAAUAAAUUCUAUGAUGUUGAAUUUAUAAUCAUAAUAUUUACCAUGUAAAAAAAUAUAAGAAUUAGAGAUAAAUAUUAAAGAGGGAAUUUUUUAAAAUAAUAUUAUCAUUUUUUAUAGAAAUGAAUUUUUUUUUUGUUUUUUUUAUAUAUCUAUUUCUCUUCUAUACUAUAAAUAUUAAUAGAUAUAAUAACUUGAACUUUUACUAGGAAAUGCAAAUCUAGAAUAUAAAAAAAAUUAAUUAUUAGUAAUAUUAUUAUUAUUAUUAUGGACCUGUUGAUAAACUAGCACGAAAUCCAGAAAUGGAUAAUGCUCGUAAGCCCAACACAAAGCAAUACCCAAUGGAGUCCACAGUCCAGCUAAAGAAGUAGAAAGGGCCGAAGGGAAUCUUUUUAUAAGGAAGCUGCUACAUUUUCAAACAAGAAGUAGAACCCUUCGGUUAUAGUCGUCAAGAAACAGAAGGACAACAAUGGACGAAGUUCAAGAAAGAGAGAAAAAAGAAGAAUUCGAUGCAUCAGAGAUUGAAUACGUUAGCUAUGGUGGUGAGCAUCACCUACCAUUAAUCAUGAAUCUUGUCGAUCAAGAACUUAGUGAGCCUUACUCCAUCUUCACCUACCGUUACUUUGUUUAUCUUUGGCCACAACUUUCUUUCUUGGUAAGUGUGAUUCUUUUCUUCUUUUAUGUUGUUGGGAUUUUUUUUUUGUGUUGUAACUGUGUUUUUGUUGGUGGGUUUCAAUUUCAGGCGUUUCACAAAGGCAAAUGUGUAGGGACUGUUGUUUGUAAGAUGGGGGAUCAUCGGAAUUCAACUUUUAGAGGUUACAUUGCUAUGUUAGUUGUCAUCAAACCUUAUCGAGGAAGAGGCAUUGGUAAUGGCUUCUUUUUUUUCAUUUUGGGAUUUUGUGCACAGUUUUAGGUUGUGUUGGAUUAUAUAUGUGUAUCUUGGAUUGGUUUUUAAUGUACUAUUAUUGGAAACAAGAAAGGAAAGGGGGUGAGGGUUUUCAAGAAAUUGGACAUGCAUUGUUAACAUUAAUGGUAGAAAUAUGGAUGUUUGGAAUGAUUAUGUGUAUAAACUGGCUGCAUUUGAUUUGAACUCAAGGUCCAUUCUUUGUUUUCCUACACUUGGGAUGGCAUUUACAAAGGAUUGGAUGUGGGCUUUGAUAGUUUUUAGGCUUUGUGUUGAUAUAUCAUGUUUUUCUCGUUAAUUGUAUUGUGUAUGGGUACGUUGUAAUUUCCAGUGAAAUUCUCUCCGCACUGCAGCUACUGAACUUGUUACCAGAUCUAUUCAAGUGAUGAUGGAAUCUGGAUGCGAAGAGGUUUGUCAAGUUUUAGUUGGUGUACCUUUUGGUUUGUACUCAUCUAAAUGUAGCAUUAUUCAUACAACUAUAUCACAAAGGAAGUAUGGAUUUUUUAUCCUCAAGCUUUAUUUGUACUUUCCAUGGUACCGAAUGAGCAUAUAGGAGAGUAGAAAUAACUACAUUUCCUAAGCAUUACCACCAAACGUUGGAGCUCUGUUUGGGGCUUGGAACAGCAUGGGAAACAAAGGAGAAUUAUGAAACUGCUUAAGUGGUUACCUUCACUGCCAAUUAUAGGAGAGUAGAAAUAGUUUUCCUUUCUACUCCACUGUGCUCUUUGAUCUCAAACCAAAGGGAAAAAUAAGCUUUCCUCUCGAGUUUGGCUGGCAACUUGGCAUGUGUAUAAAUGGUGAUGCUGUAUCUUGUAUUCACACCUCCAAAAACCUUUUCUUCUGAAAUUUCUUGGUGUUUGUGCAUUAUUCUGUAGUAACACCAUGUCUCUUAGACACUUCAUGCUUCAUUUGUUAUUUCAAUUCCAUCUCUCCUCUUAGUUACCUGAUGCUGCAUGGCUUCUUCUUCUUCUUUUUAGAGGUUAAUAUAUGUUACUGAGAAAAGUACACUUGGCACCCAAAAAGUAGUGAAAGAUUGGUUUUAAAAAUAUAAAAUUUAAAAUUUAACAAUAUAUAUUUGAUUAUUGGCACAAAAAAUUCAAUAUAAGAAAUAAAAAUUUAAAAUUGGAUGUUUAAGGACUCAUUUAGAUUUUUUUAAAAAGUUCAAUUAAAUUUAUAAAGGUUUUAAUUGCAGGAAAUUUGAUUUUUUAAGUCAAUUUGGGCUUUAAUUGAAAGAAAUUAAAGUUUAGGGGUCAAAUUACAAUUUAUAAGAGUUAAUUUGGUCAAAUUAGGGGUUUAAUUACAUAAAUAUUAAAGUUUGAUGGGUAAUUAGAGACUUGAUUUAAGUAAUCUAAAACAAAAAACCAAACUGAAAAUGUACGUUAAUAUAGGGUCUAAAAUGACCGAAUUGAAAAAAUUAAAAGUUUGUUGAUUAAUUAUGGGUCAAAAUACAUAAAUUCAAAAUUAAUGAAAAAUACAGCUAAUUUUAAGGAUAACAUUUGAAUUUAACAGGGAUAAUUGAAUUGAAAAAAAAAAGAAGGUUAAAAAUGAUGUUGUUUCAAUAGCACUGUACAUCUUUUUCUUUCCCUAAUUGUGCUGUAGACAGGGGAAUUAGAAAUUUGGAGGAAGAAAGAAUAAAUUAUCACAAUUUAAAUUAAAAAUAUAAAGUACGUAAAGGCUUUCUAGCUUUGUGAUAAUUUAAAUUAAAUUAUCACAAUUUAAUUAUUAUAAUUUAAUUAAAAUAUAAAUUAUGAAUUUUAUUUACUUUUUCUAGCAUGGUUAAAGAACAAAAUCAUUUUUAUUGAAUUUGUUUUUAAUUAAAUUCUUUAAUAUUAAAAUCAGUCUUUUUUAUGACCUAAAUAUUAUCAGCCAAAUCCUUUUUUUCCUCCCUUGACCACGUUGUCUCCCUCCUCUCAACAUUCAAUAAUUAAAAACUUCAAGGAUCAUAUUAAACUUUUCUACACCACAAAAAAAUAUAUCAAUUAAGAAAAAUAGCUUAAUGCAUAAUAACUUGAGUCACGCUACACAAUAAAAUUUGUUACGGUAAGAAUAACAAAUGUUUUAAUUUAGAAUAUAAUACGAGGCAUGCGCAAUUAAGAUUACAAAAACGAGAUUUCAAGUAGUGGUUAAAUUAGUGGAGAAAUAUAAAUUACGUACUUGUAGCUGUGUCAACCAAUUACCCACUUCUUCGUGGCCUUCAAUGGUUAAGUUUUGCAAAGGCAAUUGAGCAUCAAAAUUCCUUGGACCUUAAAAGCUGAAGAGACAAUUCUCUUAGUUGAGGGAAUUUGAUCCGUUGGAGGUUCGGAAGACAUGGAGACACAGAGACGUAUUCCAGUUUACCACAAUCAUAUAUACGGAGAGUUUUAAAUUUUGGGAAGCAAAGUGACUCUGGAAUUACUUCCCUUUCACCAUCAUUUUCUCUGAUAAUAUGCUCCAAUUCACGACAAUGUCUUAUCUCAAGUGUUUGCAGUUGUGGUAGACUUUCAGCGAGGGACGGUGCGAAGAUAAAUGUCAGUUUGUCGAGAGCCAAACCGUCAGAUGAGCAAGACUUUGCAGGCUGACAUGUCUGGUGGGCCCCUUCCAUAUGCAUUUGAGCUCAGGUAACCUUUGCAGCUCUAACUUAGUUAAAGAUGAUAGCAGCGGCAUCUCUUUCUCCUCAUUGCUUUCAUCAGCCUCACCCAAUUCAAAUACCUCUUCCACUGAUUUGCAGUCCUCAAUUUUCACACUCUUUAGAUUUUUCAAAACUUGCCGCAAUUUUGCUGGAAACAGAGUGAAAACAUCCCCACAAUCCCUCACUUCUACAAAUUCUAAUCUUUGUGAGAAGCCCUUUUGGGGCUCAUGGCCAUGGGUGGUCAUCUGAUCGGAGUGCAAUUCUAUAUUUUUUAAACCCUCUAAACUCGUAAAAACAAUUUGAGACACUGUAGGAAACAACAGCUCAAAUGUCAUCGCAUUUAAGGAUGUGGCGCUUGUACCAGCCAAAUUUAAUCUUGUCGAGGUUGGGUAUCCUCCUGCCAAAAACCGAUUCCCUAACUUUAUAUCAUAUUUGAGCAAGCUGGGAAAAACAAAAUCUCUGGGAAUGCAUUCAACCUUCGCUAUCUUCAACGCGAAUUAAGGAUGAGACAACGAAUUUAGUUCUUUUAGGCUUGCAUUCAUUCCGCCUGUGCUGUCAAUCCAACAACAUCCCAUCCCUCAAAGCUGCGACCCCGAUCAAUAGCUCUUCUAACUUCUUCAACCUUCCAAUCAAAUUCACAGGGAUCCUUCUUAGCCUUUGACAACCUGUCACAUCCAACAACCUUAACUCCUUGAGCUCUCCUAUUUCAUCAGGUAAUUCUUCAAUGGAUAAGCACCACUUAAAAACAAGAAUCUUAAGUCUCUGCAUCUUUCUCAACCAAAUGAGGUCCUUGCAUCCACACCUGAUCAACACCAAGUGAUUGCAAUGACAAACACCCUCCCAUCAGAGACAGAACUUCAAUUUCUCUCAUCCCUUCAAAAAACUUAUCUGGAACAUUCAAACCAUCAUCCAGUUCUAAUAAUAGAACUUUGAGCUGUGGACAUACCAAUCCUUCAGGAACUUCUGCUAGUUUAUUGCCCAUUAACGAAAUUGUUGUACAACCUUUAAAGCUUUUAUUGCCCAUUGGCAACUUCUUCAAUCCAAUGCCAGCCUUUACCAUGAAUCCAUAUUCUUCUGAUGAUGCUAUCUGAAUAGCAAAGUCAUGAACCAAGUCAUGCAUUCUCACAUGCUCUUCAGUUUCAGUGCCCAACAGCAUGCAACAAUCUUUGAGGUGUUCGAUUGCUACAGAAACUUGUCCCCUUGCAUCUUCAAUGGGCUCCGUAUCUUGAUGUAACCCAUAGCCAACAGCAUAUCUCGUCAAGCCCUCGAUUGGAAUGUUGUAAUCUUCUGGAAAUAAACAGCAUAGCACGAAACAUGACUUGGUUUCCUUGGACUUCAAAUUAUCAUAGCUCAACUUAAGACAUGUAUAGGCAUUUUUUUGUUUGUCAAUUUGUUCCAUGCGCGGAAAUUGUGAGUCUUUGAGCUGUUUUGACGCUACUUCCCCCUUUUUUUGGGAGUGGCCCGAACAAUGACCCACUCCUUCCUUUCUUCAAAGGAGGAUUCCUUCCCAUAGAAGGUAUGAAAUCCCUUCUUUUGAAUCCCGUAGUCUGACUCUGCUCACUUGUUAACCUUGGGGUGUCAUUCAUUACUCUUUCCAUACCCUGAGUAGCUCGCACUAAAUCUUGGACCGAUAAAAACUGCAUAGCCACCAAAAUUAAUUUCAGCUCCUGCCUGAGCCCUUCCCAAAAUCGUUCCACCCGAUGAUGCUCAGUGGGAAGAUAGGUGUUGGCAAAGAUAGAUAAGUCCUGAAACCUCCUCUCAUACUCCAGGACGGUCAUAUUCCCCUGUUUCAGAUCCAGGAACUUCUGUUCUCUCUUUCCAGUACUGUCAGGAGUAUUACCGCUCCUCAAAUUCUUCUUGAAAGUGUUUCCACCUUAAUUCUUCUCCUGCCCUUCUUUCUCUAAUAGUCUCCCACCAGGAGUGGGCACUCUCCGUUAACAACUGGGUCACACAGUCUACUCGAGUUUCCUUUGGCACAUGCAUCUGAUCUAUGACCCUUUCUACCUUUCUCAACCAAUGUCCUGCUAUUUCAGCAUCUUCUUCCCCUGAAUAGGUCAUGCAACCCAUUUCCCGCAUGCCCUCCACCCAUUGAACCAGGGUGACUACUCUUUCUACCUGAGGAGUGGAAUUGGAUGCACCUGCGGCCAUCCCUGCUGCUACUGCCUUGACCAAUUGCUCCAGAAAUGUAGGGUCCGAAUAUGGAUUCGCGGUGACCGUCAGUGCCACUAGUGGUGGCCUGUCUUCUGGUCCUUGACCACCCGCUGCUCUAGGUAGUAACACUUCUUCCCGAUGAGAGACAGGGUCAAUCUGAUGCCCCCCCUGAUUCUCCCCUCUUUGAAUGGGCCUACUCUAUAGGUUGGUGGGAGGUUGUGUCCAUCAAUGGGUCCCCUUCAUUUUUGUUCCCAUAUAGUGAGCCAUACUCUCUCCCCUGCAUAGGGGACGAGUUUGCUCUUGCUUCCUGUCGUGUACGAGCCAUCCUGCAACAUGUUUUCAAAUUCACAUAAGUAUUUCAAUCCCUGAAACUUCAACCAGUGGCUCUGAUACCAACUGUAACAACUUCAAAAGUUCAAUCAAUAUAUUCGUUUAACUUCCACAUAAAGGGUAAGUGGAGCAAUUUGUUUUUUAUUAAGUUCACUGAAAUUUCGGCAGAGUCUCCCCUAUACCGGGAGAUCCCAAGUUAUCGACAAUUUACCUUGCACACAAUUAUAAUCACAUCCCACCCAUAAUCACAUCCAUAAUUGGUACAAACCAACCAUUUAAUUCAUUCAAGAAUAUACUCAGGACAAAUCUUCAUUCUCAAUCUCCAUCUCAUAUCACAUGCAUAAGUUAGUAAUUAAGAGAACCAUCCAAGCACUGAAAUUUCAUAUAUAAGCACAACAUAGUUUAGCAUUCUAAACAUAAGCUAAUGCACUAUAAUUUCCCAAGCAUAGAUUAAUACAUUAAUAUUCCAAAAACAAAAUAAUAUAAGGAGCCUACUAUUCUAUUCAGGUUACAUGUUUACUGCGUAACAAAAUUACAUGAAAAUCCCUAAGUUCCUAACUUCUACUCCUGACGUGAAUGGGAGGGACCUAUAAAACAUAAAUUUUCCAUGUAAUUAAAAAUAACUAAAAUACAAACAAUUCACUGAAGAAAAUUUAUAUAGCACAUCUACCUACUUAAGUCAUAUGCAAUUCAAUACACCACCACCAACCCCUUUUGAGGACUAUCCAUUUUAUUUCCUUUAACUACUUCUCCCCAUAUUAGGAAGACUACUACCGACUCUAAUGACCUCCAUUAGAGUCUUUAGUUGCCCAUCCUGAGGUCAACUAAUCAAAUUCAUGAAAAUGUCGACACAAACACGACUGUUGGUGUCAUUAACUAUUUUUGGACCGAAAUAGUUAAUCAAUGUUCUAUGUUACCUUAGGAGGUCCUCGGGUAUGCCGAUGUCAAGGAUUCUUGACAUCAUUGGCUUUCACCUCGAAAAGCUAAUCAAGUCUAUAAAUUUUGCCAAUAUCGACGUCACUCGCCGAUAUCAUUAACUAUUCUGAACCCGAAUAGUUAAUUUAGUUUAUAAAUUUUUCAAAUAUCGACGUCACCCGCCGAUAUCAUUAACUAUUCUGAACCCGAAUAGUUAAUCAAGUUUUAUAUUUAUCCUUUCCUCCCACGUACCGGUAAUGCCAAUGUUAACCAGCUUGGCUAACAUCAUUACCCUCCCAUAUCAGGGAUAGGCUAAUCAAAUUCAAGAAACAAUCAUUACCAAAAUUCAUUGUUACUGUUCAUUUCCUCAAAAAGAACCUAAAAAUUAAAUCUGGUCCUUCAUUUCUAUUUUCCCAUCAUUUAACCUUUCCUUUCUCCCUUUUCUUUUCCUCAUCAAUAAGCACCAAUUUUUUAUAGUUCAAUGGUUAGUUAAAAUAAUUAUUAAUUAGAGAAGAUAGAGGUACCGAGUACCUACCUACUGUAGACGCUCAACUUGCGUUCCCCUGUUGUUGCUGUACUCCUCCCGCGCCACAUUUCCCCAAAUUUUACUUAGGACCCUAAUUUUUCAAACUUCAAAUUAAUGCACAAUUCUUGCAUGAAUUUAAUUUGGCUUUCCUAAUUGGCUUAGAACUUCAUACCUGGAGGAAAUUUAGGUUUGAUUUCUGGUUUGAUUAAAUUUUCCUAACCCCUUUCUCCUCUACAAGCAGCUGGCCUCCCUCUCCCUCUUCUCUUAACAAUUCCGUCACUUCUUGCAAAUCUCCUGCCCAAGUUUGUCAUCCCACUUAGUAAUUCUAAGGUAUAGAAAUUUAGGUGUUUUCUCUUAGGCUUGAUGAAGGAAAAUCUGAAAAUUUUCUCUUAGGCUGGUCAUGGAUGAGAGAAGGAAUGGGUAUUUAUAGUCCCAUCUCUUCUUAAUUCCAUUUUGGCCGAAUCUUUCUCCUUUUUUCUUAUUUUAGCCGUUUUUUUUUUGUAUUAUAACAAAAAUUUUGAAUUAUUAUAAACCUCCCCCUUUUUUGUAUAUUUUAUUCUCAGGCUUCACAAAACAUUAUGGUCCUUUUGAGUUAUUAUUUUGGUUUGACACGACUAAACCUUUUCUAUUGGUCCAUAAAUUUAAUGCCCCUACAUAUAAAAAGAAAUAGAUAGCUGUUUAACUGAGUUAACACGUUUUGGUCCUUUUUCCAUGAUUCAAGUCGCAAAUUUAGCAUUUUCCUAGGUUGAUUGUGUGUGUGAUCUUAUAUAUAAAUUCUCCCGUCCUUCUGCGUCCGAGUUGGACUUCUCNNNNNNNNNNNNNNNNNNNNNNNNNNNNNNNNNNNNNNNNNNNNNNNNNNNNNNNNNNNNNNNNNNNNNNNNNNNNNNNNNNNNNNNNNNNNNNNNNNNNCAGGAAGGACGUGUCUUGUGCAUAUCCGCAUGAGAAGUGGAAGGUUCCACCCUCUUGGAUUCUCUAGCAUUAGCCAACAAGGUAUCUACUUGGAAUUACUUCCACCAAUCAAAAACAUAUUCGCAGCACCACAGCUCAAAGACAUGAAUCUUCGUGAAAUCGCCUAAGGCCGAGUUGAUCAUGUAAUAGGUAACCAACCUUGCCUGAUGCAAACAUGAAGAACAAAGACCAUCCAUGCAUAUCGCAUACGUUGAUUUAAUUGAACCAUUAAAAGAAGAUGGAAAAGGAGAGCAGACAAAUAAUUGCAGCCAUAUCACCUGGUUUGGGCAAGAAAGAAUUAUUAGACUAAACACCUUCAACUUCUCUAAAUGAGGGAAUAAGAAAUCAUAACAACAAGCACACACUCUCUUAUUUUUUUGAGGUUCGCACAGUAAUGACUAAACACGAAACAUUACAUUACAUGGGUAUACAAGCAGAUAACCUUAUUCACACAGCAUAUGCAUUAUUUUGGUCGUCAAUUUGUUCCAUGCGCGUAAAUUGAGAUUCUUUGAGCUGUCUAGACGCUACUUCCCACUGAACUGGAGAUUUAUGGCCGAUUGACAUGCCAAAGCAGUUGUGGCACUACCAUAAAGUAGCCAACCCGACCAGCCUUUCUGUAGUAACUUGUCAGGCCAUGAUUGCAACUUUAAGUCAAUGGUUGGGAUCCUUCAGAGUUGAAUUAAGGGCCAAGGGCACCAUUAAAGACAAAAUGCCCCUCUUCCACCCCUAUAAAUAGAGGUGAAUUUCAUGGCCUAUGAGAGGAAACAAUCGGGUCCAAAGUGUUGGGUUUGUUGCCAUUAAUGUGCAACAAAUGGACGACACCGUCCAUUGACUUUGGUAGCCACCAUUGUUGAAGAUAAGCUGGAGUUGGCAGCCACCAUUGUUGAAGAAGAGCUGGAGCUGGUGGCACCAUUCUUGUCUAUAAAUAGGCACCGAGAGAGCAGAGCAGAGUGAGAGAACAAAGAGAGAGUGAGACCAAGAGAGAAAGAGGGGCUGCCAAGGGCAGCAGCCCUGUUGCCUUGUGCAGUAGUGUGAGAGUAGAGUUGAGUGAAGUGAUCCUCCUUCUCCAUGUGUGUUGUAACCCUUUCUCUAUCUAUCUCUAAUAAUAUGGACUUCUCCCGUGGAUGUAGGCGAUUUGCCGAACCACAUUAAAUAUUGUGUCCCAGUGUGCUAAGCCUCCAAUAGACAACUAUUAGAACACCACCGGUCCAUACAUAAGGGGUCGGAAUCCCCAACAUAAAGUUGAUAAAAAAACCAGCCUUACCCCUAGUAUUUAUCCACCAUUAUCGUUUUUUUCUUCUUCUCUGUCGUCGUACGUGACCUUUGGUGGCCUAGCACCCUUGCCACUCCAUCUCCUUGCCAGCAACAGGAGUAGCCAUCAUUGGCUCCUCCCUUCUCCCCUAAACAAUAACCCUUGCAUGCUUCUUCCUCUUCCUCCUAAACCAACAAUGACUCCUGCACCUUCAACUUCCACUCACUAGUGACAACACCAGUAACUCCAGCAGACCAAUAAUUGCCACCAUUUUAGUUUUGUUCUCCUUCAGCACCGGUAGCAGCAACAACUCCAACCAUGCCAAUGUUUUCUUCUUUUUCUCCCUUCAACAGCCAACACCGCCCACCACCGUCUCCACCAACAGCUUUGACAGUAGUCGACAAAAAGGCCAUGCGGCCACUCCUUCUGUAAUAACCCAAUUUUUUAUUCUCCAAAAUUUUCUUGAAUGUUGUUUUUAUUUCUAUUUUGAUUCAUAAAAAUCCAAAAAAAAAGUUAAGAAAAGAAUAUUAAAAUUCAAAAAUAUAUUUUUCUCGGGUCAAUCGUAUUUUACCAUGAAAAAUGAGCUCAUCGGGUCAAUACGGGUCAAACCAUGUUGACUGGGGUAAAAAUUGAAUUUCAAGCUAUUUUGGGUCAAAACUAUUAUUUUUUGUCAAAACUCGGUCAACUGGGUUGACACUAGUUGAAAAAUAUUUAUUGAUGUUUGAAAUUAAUUUUUUAAUAAUUAAAAUUGAUUUUUAGCAGUUGAAAUGGGAUAGGUAAAAAAUUUUCUUCAGGACAAUGUCGUGUCCCCAUAAACGUUUCUUCAGGACAACAUUAACUAUAAAAGGUAGUGAAAAUUUGCUAAAACAAAGAAGAAGAAAAAAAAAGUGAAUAUGAAUGAUAAUACUAUUCAUGUUUUUUUAGUUUUUUCUUCACACGAGUAAGUUAAUGAUUAAAAAAAAAACAAUUCAAAAGGUAUCAAAACUAUCUUGACCGUUAGAUCUAAUAGUAUUUUAGUUCUUGACCCUUAAUUAGAUUUGAUCUAAUACGGCUUACCAUACUAGAUGAAAACUCAAAUUCAUCUCAGCCAUUAACCAAAUCUGACCUUGGAUCUAAUUUUGCCACAUCACUAAGCUGCACAAGAUUUUUGGUACACCUGGUGACGUCAUAAAAUUAGAUCCAAGGUCAGAUUUGGUUAAGCAUCCAUAUGGAUUUGGGUUUUCAUCCAGUGUGGUAAGCUCUAUUAAAUUUUAAAAUUUAUAGCUGGACGAUACCAAUUUAUUUAGAUUUUGGACCAAUUUUCAAAAAACCAACUUGAUAAGGAAUCUGAAACUAUUCCUUGAUUAUAGAUGAUUUGUUAUUAUAUACAUAUCUUGUAGGAUUUAUAUUGACUACGUUUUAUUUGUUUCCUAUUAUAUAGGAUUUGUUAACUGCUGUACAUUGUAUAUAUAAUGAGAAUCAAUCACCUCUGCAUGAUAGGGUGAAUUACAGCUAUUCUUAAACCUUGUUAUGGUAUCAGAGCUCCUUUAGGUUUUUCUUUUACUCUAUCUCUUUAUCAUGGCUGCGCCGUUCCGCUGAACACGAUGGUGCAUAUGCUUACCAUCAAACUGACCUCCUCAAAUUAUUUGUUAUGGAGAAAUUAGUUUAUACCAUUGUUAACAAGCCAUGAUCUUCUUGGAUUUCUGGAUAGUAGCAUCGCAGUUCCUUCUCCACAGAUAACUGGUACUGAUGGCUCUACUCAGGUGAAUCCAACAUACUCUUCUUGGCUAAACACAGAUCAGACCCUAUUAAGUCUCCUUUAUUCUUCCCUUACAGAGGAAUCUAUGAGUGAGGUGCUUGGUUUGAAACAUGCUCAUGAGGCCUGGACUGCUCUUGAAGCCUCCUUCUCCCACAGAUCAAAGACUCGUGAACUGCAACUCAAGGACGAGCUCCAACUGAUGCAGCGAGGCUCCAAAUCAGUGGCUGAAUUCUCUCGCCUUUUCAAAGGCCUCUGCGAUCAACUGGCAGCAAUUGGUCGACCCAUCGAUGACCUGGACAAAGUUCAUUGGUUCUUGAGAGCUUUGGGUCCUGAAUAUAAAAUCUUCUCAACAACAAUGCUUUCCCAGUCUCCGUUACCUUCUUUUGCAGAUAUAAUCCCGAAAGCUUUAAGCCAUGAGAUUUUUGAACGAUCAGUGUAUCAACAAUCUGCCAACUCGGCGUUUUAUGCUCAGCAACGUCAUUCUUCAACCACUAGAUCAAAAUACAUCAACAGAGGAAAACCCAAACCUCCCUCUGCCUCUGUCACAAAAUCUAGUUUCUCUCCAGUCCAUUGCCAACUCUGUGACAAGGCCACUUGGCUAAACGUUGCUGGACAUUUCUUAAUCUCAAGAAAAAGCAGUCUGCCAAUCUUGCUGAAGCUUUUGCUGCUUGUUCAAUCCCGGCCUCCCCUGAUCCUGCCUGGUAUCCGGACUCUAGAGCCACCUCUCACAUGACAAAUGAUCCUGAGGGUGUUGAUAUUCCUGCUGUAUAUUCUGGUAACGAAAGGGUGAUGGUUGGUAAUGGUCAGUCUCUUUCUAUUUCUCACACUGGCUCCGUUUCCGCUCUUGUUCCCAACAGCCCAUUACUUUUAUCUAUUGUUUUAGUUGUUCCUGUUAUUACUAAAAAGCUUAUUUCCAUUAGUCAACUUACAAAAGAUAAUAAUUGUUGGGUCAUCUUUUUUUAUUCUGGUUUCAUAAUACAGGACCGGGUCACAGGAGUAUUGCUGGGAGUCGGCAGAUGUGAGAAUGGCUUAUAUGUACUCCAGCAACAUCAUUAUGCCCUUGCUUCCACAGUUUCUUCCAAUAAAUUGCGUGUCUCUGCUCAUUUGUGGCAUGCUCGUCUAGGUCAUCCUAGUUUUCAUACUAUUGACUCUCUCACCAAGUCAAGUUUUAUUUCUUGUAGUGAUAAAUUAAUCGGUUUGGAUUCUAGUUUAUGUGUUGGAUGUAACCUUGGCAAAAGCCAUCGGCUACCCUUUUCAAUUAAUAAUACUUGUUGUGAUUUGCCUUUUGAUCGUUUACACUGUGAUUUAUGGGGUCCUUCACCUAUUUGUUCAACUACGGGUUUUCGAUAUUAUGCAGUUUUUGUUGAUGAUUGUACUCGUUUCAGUUGGUUUUUUCCACUCAAACAUAAAUCUGAUUUUUUUGAUACAUUUAUCAACUUUCAACAGUAUAUUGAAACUCAAUUUUCAUCCAAAAUUAAAUCCUUCCAAUGUGAUGGUGGAACUGAAUUUACCAAUAAUAAAUUUCGCUCUCACCUCACAUGUUGUGGUAUUGUAUUGCGUGUUGCAUGUCCUUAUACACCCAGUCAAAAUGGAAUUGCUGAACGUAAACACCGACAUGUUACCGAAACAGGACUCACUCUUAUGUUUCAUGCAUGUGUUCCUUUGCCUCUUUGGGUUGAGGCCUUCUCAACAGCUGUUUAUUUCAUCAACCGACUCCCCUCACAAACUCUUGCUGGCAAAACUCCUUACGAGCUUCUGUUUGGUAAAUACCCCGACUACACCAUGCUUCGUACUUUUGGAUGUUUAUGCUUUCCUUAUUUGUGAGAUUAUGCUCCUAACAAAUUAUCUCCCAAAUUUGCUCCUUGUGUCUUCUUAGGUUAUAGCCCCCUUCACAAGGGUUUCCGCUGUUUUGACCGCAAGACACAACGUCUUUAUGUCUCUCGCCAUGUCCAAUUUUAUGAAACUAUAUUUCCUUAUGCAUGUGAUAAUGUUCAACAAAAUCAUAAUUCCACACCCUAUAUUACUUUCUCUGAUUUCUUGGACUCUCAUAAUAUUGUGUCUCCUGCCUCCCCACCUCCAUUGGUGUCUUCUCCAGUUUCGACUUCUACUUGUUUGCCAUGCAGUGAUAAACCUGUAGCCUCCUGUUCCCAGCCUCCUAUUAUGUCUAUCAUCCCAUCUUCCAGUCAGCCCUCUCCUUCUGUUCCUGUUCCACCAAUGACGACCUCUACUAACCUUCACCCUAUGGUUACUAGAAGGAAAGCUGGUAUAUUUAAACCUAAUGCUUAUCAUGCGCUAACCAUUGCAGGUUCUUCUCAGUUUUUUCAGGUUCUUCUAGCUCUCCAAGAGCCUCGGGGUUUCAAAUCUGCAGCCAAACACCCUGCAUGGCUCUCGGCUAUGGAUGCUGAAAUACAAGCCUUGAAGAACAAUGACACAUGGGAUUUUGUACAGCGUCCUGCAAGUCACAAUGUGGUUGGUUGUCGCUGGAUCUUUAAAACCAAGCUCCGUGCUAAUGGAUCCAUUGAGCGUCAUAAGGCUCAUCUUGUGGCCAAGGGUUUCUCACAGAUUCAUGGCCUUGAUUUUGAAGACAUGUUCAGUCCUGUGGUGCGUCCUGCUACUGUUCGGAUUAUUCUAUCCAUUGAAGUCGGUUCCGGGUGGCCUCUACAUUAAUUAGAUGUUCAAAAUGCCUUUCUUCAUGGUCAUCUUUUUGAACUGGUAUACAUGGAUCAACCUCCUGGCUACAUAGAUCCCCGGUUUCCUCAUCAUGUAUGUCGACUAAAGCGUGCUCUUUAUGGGCUCAAACAAGCCCCUCGUGCUUGGUUCCAACGCUUUAGCUCGUUUUUACUGCAACUUGGUUUUCUUAUCAGCAAAGCAGAUUCCUCUCUGUUUGUGCAUCACUCUGCAGCUGGCACGGUUUAUCUCUUGCUCUAUGUAGAUGAUAUGGUGCUUACUGGUAGCAAUCCCAGCUUGAUCAAAACUCUUAUCACACGACUGUCCACCGAAUUUGCCAUGAAAGAUUUGGGGUCUCUACACUAUUUCCUUGGUGUUGAAGUCCACCAUAACUCCCACGGUUUAUUUCUCAGCCAGACCAAGUAUGCUCUUGAUCUUCUCCACCGUGCUGACAUGGUUGAAGCCAAACCCAUUACCACUCCUUAUGUUGUUGGCCAGCAUCUAUCCACUGAAGGGAAGUUAUUUUCAAAUCCCACUCUUUUUCGGUCUCUUGCUGGUGCUUUGCAAUAUUUGACAAUUACUCGCCCUGAUCUCUCAUUCAGUGUCAAUUCAAUUUGCCAAUAUAUGCAUGCUCCGACAGAAGAUCACUUUCGCGCACUCAAACGUAUAUUGCGUUAUGUUAAAGGAACGGUUCAUCAUGGCCUUCAACUUCAUCGCAAUCCUUCCCGUGAUUUGCUUGCCUAUUCUGAUGUUGACUGGGCUGGUUGUCCUGAUACACGUUAGUCUACCACUGGCUAUCUUAUUUUCUUGGGUCCCAAUCUUAUCUCCUGGUGCUCCAAGAAACAAUCCACAGUUUCUCGUUCCAGUGCCGAAGCUGAAUAUCGUUCCUUAGAUGUCGCUACUGCUGAAGUCGCUUGGAUUGUUCAGUUACUUCGUGAUCUCCAUCUACAAUUACCUUCACCUCCGAAGCUGCUAUGCGACAACAAAAGUGCUAUAUUUAUGGCGGUCAAUCUUGUCACUCGGCCUCGCUCUAAGCAUAUUGCGAUUGACUAUCAUUUUGUUCGUGAACUCAUUGCCAAUGGUUCCUUAAAAGUCACCUUUGUUCCCUCUCAUCUUCAGCUUGCCGAUUCCAUUACAAAAGGAGUCCCCAAACCUCAGUUCCUCCUUUUUCGUCACAAGCUUCACGUGGUUCCUUCUUCCAUGCUCAACUUGAAGGGGGGUGAUAAGGAAUCUGAAUCUAUUCCUUGAUUAUAGAUGAUUUGUUAUUAUAUACAUAUCUUGUAGGAUAUAUAUUGACUACGUUUUAUUUGUUUCCUAUUAUAUAGGAUUUGUUAAUUGUUGUACAUUGUAUAUAUAAUGAGAAUCAAUCACCUCUGCAUGAUAGGGUGAAUUACAGCUAUUCUUAAACCUUGUUACAACUGAAUUUGACUUUGACAAAUUAUUUUAUAAUUUUUUAUUGGUUUAAAAUCUAAAAAAUUAAAAUUUUGAAAGUCUCAAUUCAUAUUUUUUUUUAAAAAAAAUUUGUUAAAUUUUUAAUCAAAAUAAAACUAAAGAAAAAAUUAUUCAAAAUCAUGUUAUAUUGAGUAUGAAAAGUUGACAGGGGCCAAUUAUUAUGGGAUAGAGGGAGAAAUAAAUACUAAAUUCUGCGAAUUAGGGUGCUCAAGUCUAAAAACAUGAGCAAAAACUUUCAUAGAUAGGUAAGAAUGAAAUUGCCUAACUUAUCCAAAACUAUUUAUGACAAGCUUGAAUACCAAGAUAAUAGCUUGCAUAUGGCCUCCGGAAUCCUCAACAAGCUGAUUCUUGAGAAGCAGGAUGGAUUUCCACAGAGGAGAGGCAGGGGCCUGAGCCUAAGCAGACCAAACGUACGAGGCACAUAGAUAGAAAUGAUGUAUCCAUUGGAUCCAUACAGAAUCUGUUUUCAAGUGAAUGUUCCACGGCUGCUUGGCUAAAAAAUUAUUACUGCAGGAUUUGAUAUCAACCAAAGUUGACUUGCUUCUUAAGAAGUUCCCUGUCCAUAAAAAGUUUCGACAGAGUCGAGUAAUGUGCCUAAUGACCGCUUGCGGCAUGGGAAGAAUACUAAUCCAAAACUGAACCAUUCCGUGCAAAACAGACUUAACAAGCUCAAGCCUCCCAACAAAGGUAAGAUUCUUCCCCAUCCAGCCAUGAAUGCCCGCUUCAAGCUUGUGUAGCAAGGGAGAAUACUGACUAGCUAAAAGCCUUGAGAGUUAUAUUUAGAUUUCUUUUUCUUUAUCUUGCUAAAUGCCAUAACCCAUUUUUGGGUUAUUCCCCUAUUCACAUUUUUUCUCUCUUUAAAAGAAUAAAAUACAAAAAAAUAAAAAAAAUAUUAUCAAAAAAUAUAACAGUGAAAAGAGAAUGCUAGAACGCUCAAAAAAUAGUUAAAAAUUGGUUAAGGAGGUUCAAAAAUACAAAGAUUAAAAUUUGACAAUAUUUUGCUAAUUGAUGAGAGCUCUUUUGACAAAGAAAAUUCAAUUUGAGGAAGAAAAGUCCAAAAUCAGAUGUUUAUGGACUCAAUUAAAUUUUAUUGAAGGUUUAAUUGAUUUAUGGAGGGUUUGAUUGCNNNNNNNNNNNNNNNNNNNNNNNNNNNNNNNNNNNNNNNNNNNNNNNNNNNNNNNNNNNNNNNNNNNNNNNNNNNNNNNNNNNNNNNNNNNNNNNNNNNNGAGAGUUAAUUUAGUCAAAUCAGGGGCUUAAUUGCAUAAAUAUGAAAGUAUGAUGGCCAAUUAGGGACUUAAUUGAAGAAAUCCGAAACUAAGGACCAAAAUGAAAAAGGCGCGUAAAUAGAGGAGCUAUUAUUAAAACCGAAUCAGGGGCCAAAUUGAAGAAAUUAGAAGUUUAUUGAUUAAUUGAGGGUCAAAUUGCACUAAUUCGAGACCAAGGACCAAUUUGGAAAAGGAGGUCAACUUCAAGGCCGACGAUUGAAUUUGGCAGGGAUGCAAUUGAAUUAAUUUUUAAAAUCAAAAUUACAAUUGAGGACUCGAUUGAACAAAUCCAAAAUUGAGGACUGAUUUGUACUUUCACAUAAGUUUGCCGCCAUUUUCAUUUAAAUAAAAUGACGCGUUUUGCCCAAAACGACGCCGUUUCAUGCACUGUUAAAAAAAAGGAAAAACCCAAAACAGUGCCGUUUUGAAUGGCAUUGUGGGUCUUCUUCUUCCUCUGGACGUGCGAGGCAGGGGAAGAAGAAGAUUUUUUACUGACUUUUCUCCUCCUCUUUCUCCAAAAAGCAUCAAAAAGACGCCGAUCAUAACCCCACUUGUAUAAACUCUGACCCGUGGCCUACCACAGGGCGGUGAAAAAAGGAGGAAACGUGUCCGUCGGCAGUCGUGGGGCGGCAGCAUAGUGGCCACCCCAGCCAUGUCCCUCCCUUGUUUUUGGCUAUAAAAACAAGGGGGCAGAACAAAAAAAAAAACAAGAGAAUAAGGGGGGAGCACAAGAGAAAAAGAAGGUCUAGAGACCGAAAGGAAAAAAAAAAAAACUAAGAGGAGAAGAGGAAAAAGAAACAGAAGAACAAAGGAAAAAAAAGCAGAGAAAAACAGAGGAGGAAGAAGGAGAAGGAGAAGAAGAAGAACCACCACUGACAACCUUUAACCCAGCAGCGCCACCGUUGCGGCUCCUCUCCAUCGCCAUCAGCAGCAGCAGCUCGUCAAGUAGAAGAAGAAAAGAAAAGGAAAAAAAACAGAGGCUCUCACCUCUGCACACUGAAGAAGAGGAAGCCAGCACCGCGUGCCACCAUGCCCCUAGCCACCACUAGCAGCACCGUUGCCAUCGCCACAGUCGCUCGAAGCACCAUGAGCCACCUUAGGUAAGCCUUCUUCCCUUUCCCUUUCUUCUUCUUCUUCUUCUUCGGGUCUCUCCACUGUUCACGUUGGUGUCGCCACUAUUCACGUUGCAUGUGAACAGUGGAGAGACCCACUGUUUGAAUGGGCCAGCAAACCCGGCCCAACCCAAAACGUUUGAGCUAGGUCCGACCCAAUUAAAAAAAAAAUUCUCAAAAUGCUUUUUUAAAAAAUUGUAAUUUUUCCGUGUAUUUUUCUAUUUUUUUGCUUAAUAUCGGUCUGUAUUUUACGUCAUAAAAAUACAAAUCCGGUAUUAAAAUGCCUGGUUUUCGUCAAAACUUCCAAAAAUACAAAACAAAUUGAAAAAAAUGAAAUUUAUGCAUACGGCCAAGUGUCUCAAAGCUAAAAAAUCAUAUUGUGUUUUUUCAUACACCCAAAAACAAUGUUUUAGUAUGCAUUUUGGCUUUAAUAACCAGUUUAUUAAAGUCAAGAGAAUAUUAGCCAAAAUUUCAAAAACAAAAAAAAAUUAUUUUGUUUGUCUUUUAGUAUUCAGGGUACGACAUUCCACGUAAUACGUAUUCUGAAUAUUAAAUUCUUUUUUCGGAGGCUAAAACGGUUAGGUUUUACCCCAUUAAGAAUAAGAACCUCCUUACAUAGGGCUUUUCUUAAAUCUUAGAUAGACAGAACCAACGAUUAGAAACCACAACCAAACCUUAGAUUUUAUCAGACAACAAAACAAUGCAGCCUAUCUUAGGUAGGGCGUAUUUGGGGUGCCAAUACCUUCCCUUUACGCAACCAGUCUCCGUACCCCAUCUCCGAGACCAGUUAGGGUUCCUAGUGAUCAAAAUACUAGGUGGCGACUCUGAGUUCAUAUUUUACUGAUAAGAGACAAGAAUUCCUUGUCUAUCCAUAUUUGCCAUAUACACCAUUCCAUAUUCCAUUUCCUUGAGUGGUGGACGAUCGUCGCGACGCUGCACAAGUACGACACUAAAAAAAGUACAUCUAGCUCGAUAAUUAAUUUAGAUUCAAGUUGAUUUUUUAUUUUUAAAUCAAUUAAAUGUUUAUUUAAGAUUUUGAAUGGAUUUAUUGAGGUCCCUUUUACACAUAGCUAACUUUGAUAUCCCGUCCGAUGUAUCCAACUCUUCAAUAAAAGGAGCAAUUUUUCAUUACAUUCAGCAUAAUAUUUAUCUAACAUGUAUGAAGAUUAUCGCACCCGACAUCGUGGCGGCCUUAAAAACAUUUACUCAAAAGAAAAGAUUUUUGGCAUCUUUUUCUUAGAUAUGGAAGGUCUUGCUUAAAGAGUCGUCACCUAGUAUAAUAGUUACUAGGUACCCUAACUAGUCAACAGAGAUCCUAUGGUAUGGGACUAGUUACGUAAAAGAGAAGAUAUUAUCACCCCUUAAACGUCAUGUCUGACUGGUUUUGUCUUAAAUUGCUAACAGUUUAUUGGUUUAUGCUAUGAUGGUUUGCUUGUAAUAUUUCUGACUUUAGCGUCAGUGAAUAUUUAACUAUAGAUACUUCCAAUUCUGGUGUCGGUAAAUAUUACGUACUAAAAAAAACAUAUGGUAUUUCUCGACUAUGGAAGUGAAUAACCUAGUAAAAUCAUUUUAAAAUCAAUGCAUGCAUAUUUUUUUUUUUAUAGAAAAAAAUGUAUUGUACAGUAGAUUUACAUUUCACAAUAAAAAUUUACAAGUUAGUUAUACAAUGAAAUACCAAAAAAAUAUAUUUGAGGGACCUAUAAAUAAAUUCAAAAUGAUCCUUGAAUGUUUUUGAAAUUUGCUGAGAUAAAAAAAAAAAAAGCUUGCUAGUUAAAUAUCAAAACCAAAAAAAAAAAAAAGGGGAAUGGGCUGAUUGGGCAUGAGGCCCAGGUCCAACCCGCCCUCAGCUUUUUCAGCUUUACCUUCGCACUGUGUAAUACAAACUCAAAGAAUGAAACUCAAUAGCCAGCAUGAAAAAACCAUCUUCAAAGGAAAUCUGCUCGAAAAAACCAUUCAACAAGAGAUUGUUCUGCUAGGAAAACUUUUGAACAGAUAGUACAGCAUCAAGUUUCAGUCAUCUUGAGAUUUGAAUGCCCAAAUAUAUUCACAUGCUCAUACAAUAACAUUUUUAAUAAUGCAUUAUGCAAUAGAAACAGAACAUCAAACUGACAGAGAAAACAUGCUGAUGCAGAAAAAACUCAAGUCGUAGAAAGGAGAACGCAUGAAAGUCCACACAUUAAACCAAAAGAAACACAAAUGGGCAAGCAAACAUACGCCCUUACUUCUGGAGGCUUGUACGAUAAUGACUACACACACAACAUUACAUUACUUCUAACUUCUUCAGCAAACACAUAGAUAGAUAAGACUGUUACAAUGCGAAGCCAAUUUGUAUCCCAUUGCCAAUGAAACAGUUGGAAUUACUUCCCACCAAUCUAAAACAUAUUCGCAGCACCAACCUUGAAAUCAUGUAACAGCUAACCAACCUUGCCUGAUGCAAACAUGAAGAACAAAGACAUUCCAUGAUUUAAUUCAACCAUUAAAAUUUGAAGGUAAAGGAGAGGAUAAAUAAUCUUCAGCUAUAUCACCUGGUUUGGGCAAGAAAGAAUUAUUAGACUACCAAUCAUCAUCAUCAUCACCAUCUUCUUCUUCUUCCCACCCAUUAUCUCGGGUCCACUCUCUAUUAAUGCUUGAAUCUUCAGCUACUUCAGAUACCUGUAAACCAAUUCAAGCAUGGCAUGCUCGUUUAAACUUGUAAAUCUUAUUAUUGAGCGAAACAAGAAACAAACACAAUAAAAAAGAGGCAAGAAAUCAAGUCAAAUCAGCAGCACCUUUGAUUGAGCACUCAUUGAACCAUCUGGUGUAGUGGCAAAUUUUGUGGUCAGCUUUGGACAUUGAUAGACCUUCAACUUCUCCAAACGAGGAAAUAAGAAAUAAUCACACCAUCCGAAACUAAAACAGACAAUACUUGAUAAUUGUUCUAGCGACAACUCCUUUAGAUUAGGAAGCAUCAUCUCCUUCUCAACGUUGACAAGUGAAGCUUGAUCAUCCUGCCCAAAUACUCCCAAUAAUUGAGAGGCUUUUUUUACCCUCAGUAUUUGGAGAUUUGGGAGACCUGAAGCCAUGGCUACUGGGAAGAGACUCUUCAACUUGUUGCAUUCUCUAAUCUCAAUUUCACACAAAUUGGGAAAGCAUAAAGAUUGGAGAUGAUCUCCUAACAAUAUCUGGUCGUUUUCAUCAUCAUCCUUAGCAAUGAUUUGCUCCAAUUCCUCACAGGACAAUAUCUUUAGCACUUUCAGUGGAACUAGACUGAAAAUCAUACUGCGUGUGAAUACAUGCGUCAGUCUUUUACACUCAACCACAUUCAAAGUAGUCAAUUUGCUUAGCACGAGACCCAUCCAUAUACACCUAAUGUCAGGCACCAGCAGGGAGCCCAAGCGUAAUGUUUCCAAAUUUGUCAACCCCUGCAUUGAAAGAAAACAAGGAUACCUAAUAAAUUUUGUGCACUUUGGAACUAUAUAAUUUUGGUAAAUAGAUGAACGAAUUGUCCCCAAUACUUCAGCCAAAAACUUAUCAACAAAAGGAUAUAAGUAGACAUGGCAACAGGGCAUGGGAAUAUGAAAUCAUAAGCUGCAGGACUGAAACAAUUAACUCAAUAUUGGCAGAUGGAGGUUUAUCUUCCUCUUCAAAUACUUCUAUUAAUUGGGGGAAGAGCCUCAAUUUCACUAAAACUGGGAAAGCAUAAAGAUUGAAAAAUCUAGGUAGGAUUUCAUUACAAUAAUUAUUACUUCUUAAGCCCUCUAUCAAGAGACAAGGAAUGAUACGUACUUCGAGCUGUGCAAACAAAUUUCCCAAUUCUUUGUGGCCAUCAAUUUCUAGAAUUUGCAAAGAAGGCAAUUGGGCAGCAAAAUUCUUUGGACCAAAAAAGCUGCAAUUUGAAAGAGACAAUCUUCUUAGCUUAGGGAACUUGAUGAUGGCAUCUCUGGUGAGUGCAUCUCCUUCUACACUGUAAAAUAUUUGCUUUAAAUUAUGAGCAUUCAAAAUCCGCAUCUCUUCCAGGUUCAGAAGGCUUGGAGACACAGAUACAGGGAAGACAUAUUCCAGUUUACCACACUCUUCUAUGAUGAUAGUUUUUAAUUUUGGGAAGCAAGGAGACUCUUGAAUUAUUUCCUUUUCACCAUCCUCUUCUCUGAUAAUAUGCUUUAAUUCACGGCAUUUACUUAUGUAAAGUCUUUCUAGCUUUGACAGAUUUUGAGCGAGGGACGCUUUGAAGAUAAAUGUUAGUUUGUUGAGAGAAUCCAGAUACAGAUGAGCAAGACUUCGAAGGCUGACAUGUCUGGUGGGCCCCUUCCAUAUGCAUUUGAGCUCAGGUAACCUUUUUAGAUAUAACCCUGUUAAAGAUGACAGCAGCUCCUUCUCCUCACUGCUUCCUUCAUCAGGCAGCUCACCUAAUUCAAAUACCUCUUCCAAUGAUUUGCAGUUGUAAAUGUUCACCCUCCUUAGAUUUUUCAAAGCUCGCAGCAAUUUUGCUGGAAACGGAGUGCGAACAUCCCCACAAUCGUCCACUUGUAUAAAUUCUAAUCUUUGUAAGAAGCCGUUUUGCUGCCCAUGGACGGCCAUCUUAUCAGAGAACAAUAUUAUAUUUUUUCACUCUCAUAAAAACAAGUUAUAUGAUGUAUAAAUAGGAUAAAAAAAUAGAAAAAACAGGAUUAAAUACUUCUUAGAGAUUACAUAUUAGAGAUAAGUUGAAUAAUAAUUAUAUUUUUGCGAAAAAAAGGUUACUACAACUCCUAAUAAUUAGUUUCAUGUAAAAAAUAAAAAUAAAAAUAGUAACUAAUAUUUUAUUUUUCUAAAAGGUUUAUAUAGCUCAUUAAAUAGGUUAGAAAUUGACUUUUGCAAGGUAAAAAAAUUAUAAUCUUAAAUAAUAAAAAGGAAAUACAACAUAACAUUUAAAAUUAAGCAUAAAAUCCAAAAAAAAAAAAAAUUUAGCUCAAACGUCAUCUUCCAAAUCUAACUCACGAGUCUUUCAAGGCUGUUUUUUUUCUAAUAAGCUUGUUUUUUUAUAUAGAAUUGGAUCUGUUAAAUAAUUUAGUGAAAUUUAAAUUUAAUUCAAUAAUUAAAUAUAAAAUUAUGUUAUUAAAUAUAAAAUUAUGUUAUUAAUUAAAUAUAAAAUUUAGCGUAAAUAGAUUUAUUUUUUUGUGCACAUUAUAGCACAUCAAUUUAUAAACGACUCUAAUAGGUUUUCUAAAAAUGAUUCACUGGAUAAUGAACGAAUCUAUGUUUGGAUACAAUAUGUUAUAUAAUUAAAAAAAAAUAUCAAACUUGGAUUUCCCACUGGUAGCUGUGCCAACCAAUUACUUUACUUUUAGAAAUUGGGAGGAAGAAAGAAUAAAUUAUCGAAAUUGACAAUUUAAAUUAGUGGAGAAAUAUAAAUUACGUACUUGUAGCUGUGCCAACCAAUUACCCACUUCUUCGUGGCCUUCAAUGGUUAAUUCUUGCAAAGGCAAUUGAGCAUCAAAAUUCCUUGGACUUAAAAAGCUGUAAUUUGAUCUGAGCCGAAGAGACAAUUCUCUUAGCCGAGGGAACUUGAUGAUGUCAUCUCUGGGGAGUGCAUCUCCUUCUCCACUGUAAAAUAUUUGCUUUAAAUUGUCACCAUCAUAAAUCGUCAUCUGUUCCAGGUUCGGAAGAGUUAGAGACAUGGAGACAGGGAAGAAAUAUUCCAGUUUACCACAGUAAGAUAUACGGAGAGUUUUUAAUUGUGGGAAGCAAGGAGACUCUGGAAUUAUUUCCUUUUCACCAUCCUCUUCUUUGAUAAUAUGCUUUAAUUCACCACAAUCUCUUAUCUCAAGUGUUUGCAGUUGUGGUAGACUUUGAAGAGUUAGAGACACAGAGACAGAGAAGACAUAUUCCAGUUUACCACACUCUUCUAUG
rnacentral:lncRNA from 1 species